UUUUUUUUUUUUUUUUUUUGUCUUCUUUUUUUUUCACUUGAAUUGUUCGAGAGGAGUUUGAAGGCGGGUAUGAAUUGGUGGCUAGUACUUACGACUCGUUAGUGAGUGAUUGUAUUAGUUUGAAAUCGAUUAGGGGAUUAAGAGGGUUUCUAAUUACAUGAUUAGGAACAGGGUGUUGCUUAUGCAUGUGAAAUAUGGGAUGAUGAUUGGUUCAAUUUUUUUCUCAGGUUUUUGGUAUACUGGUUUAGCUUUUUACUUUGUGGUGUUCGAUACCUGAAUUACAUGCAUUGUAGUUCAUCGACUGAUUUCAGUGUGAAACAUAUAGAUACUUGGACAUCUCCCUUUGGUUGCCUGGCUUUUCGGUUUGGUGAUUUAGUAUUUGAAACUUGGAUAAUUGGUAGUUUAAAGAUGAUACCUUGUUUAUCUUUUAUAGUUACUUAUAGGACAAUUACUUCAGAUUGUUAAAUUAGUCUCUUUUUAUCAUUACUUAUAUAAAUAUGAUAGGUAGUUUGACUUGAUAUGUUAUCAUUUUUUUGACGUUAUUUAACAUGUUUUGGGAUAAUCAUGCUUAUAACAGACUUUGUUUUACUUGUAGUCGAAGAUGUGUUGCAUGGAGGCACAAGAAUAAAAAUAAAAAAUAAGCCUGGAGUACAAGUCUAAUCUUUUGAAGUUUCGUCGAGUUAUGGAAGAAAUGAGAAGUAAUGUGGUAAAUGCGCAUCAUAAGUUAAUGAAUCGUACGCCGUUCAGGAGGUUGUUCAAAGCGUACCAUGAGAACUUGAUCAAUGAUGGUGUUUGCAGGAAAUGUGAUGCGAAUAUUGUGUCUAUAUUGAAGUGCUACGACCUAGUACAAAGCAUUUUUUUUUUUUUGUGAAAUAACGGCAACAAUAACUGCCAAAGAUGUAGCUGAGAUUUUUGGUUUGCCCUAUGAAGGGGAAGAGAUCAACUUGAACAGUAGGAAAAGAAAAAGUGUGUUUACAUGUUUUUAUAAGAGAUGCCUUGCAGACAUCAAAUAAAUAAGUAAGAAGAUAUUGGAAGAAAGAAUUUUGAGAGUCGUUAAGUUGCCUGGUAGUGUGCAUGAGGGCGAUUUUGUGCGACUGGUUUGUUUAUAUUUAUGCUUGGCACUGUUUUUCAAUAAGAGUGGAAAUAAUACUAGUUUGUACAUGGUUGGAUACGUUGAGGAUACUACCAAGAUGAAGGGUUAUGUGUGGACUGUAGCAGUGAAUAAUUGGUUGUUAGACACAUGGGAGAACGUUAAUGAAAGUGUAACUAGUUGUGUAAUGGUAUGUUAAUCUACAUUUUAGUUUAUUUUAUUCUAUCUGUGUUCGAUGAAAUAAUGUUUUAAUAUCUUCUAGUUCUGUGAGUGUACUCACUUGAUCAAUCCAAUCAGCAGAAGGGAACAUUUGCCUCUUAAGGUUGUUAAAUGAAAUUUGUCGGAAUUGUACGCAAAGAUAGAAAUUAUAAAAAUCCAUGAGUUGGAGGUAUGUUUAUCUUACCCAUCCAUUUGGUUUAAAAUAUGAACUACCUAUCCUUGUAGAAUAUGAUUUUUACAUGAUAAUUAGUUGUAAAUGUGUUACUAUUUGGAACGGUAUUAAACUACCUACCAUGUAGGAAAAUUACCUGCAGUCAUUUUUAUCAAGACGCAUGUGGAAAUUUUUUAUCCUACCCAUCCAUUUGGCUUACAAUAUAAACUACCUAUCCUUGUAGAAUAUAAUUUUUACAUGACAAUUAGCUGUACAUGUCUUACUGUUUGGGACAGUAUUAAAUUACCUACCAUGUUAGGAAAAUUACUUGCAACCAUUGUUAUCAACACAAUUGCGGUAAAUAUAAACCACCUAUCCUUGUAGAAUUUGAUUUUUACAUCAUAAUUAGUUGUACAUGUAUAUUACUUUUUGGGACGGUUUUGAAACUACCUAACAUGUAGGAAAAUUAUGAAAAUCCAUGAGUUGGAGGUAUGUUAAUUUAUGUAACUUAAAGUCUUAUGUACUUUAAUAAUAAUAAACAUGGUGUGUUUAUGUUACAGGAAGUUGUACAAGUAGAUGGGGGCAGUCCAAAAACACCUGAAAAAGAGAGAAAAAUAUUACAACUGCAUUCGCAUUGCGGGGGAUAAAUGUGGAGCCUCACAAAGUGUUAGAUGAAGAAUUUUUCCCAAUGCUUGAGAUACUGCUAUCAGAAUUUAUGGAAAACAACUUGGGAGAGCUUUCUAAUAGUAAGAUGGACCUUAGUGACUUGGACAGGAAAUUACAAGAGAUGAGUCUUUUGGUAGAGGACUACCAAUCAUAUAUUACAAAGCUUAUUAUUGAAAACGAGAAUCUAAAGGAGUAGCUGAAAUGUAAGGAAAAUUAAAGAGUGAAAGGCAUAUCUCCAAAACAAAACUCAAUGGUAUGUAGAUAGUUGAUUCUUUCUUCAAACAAUGUAGUCGUAGUUAGUAUUUUAGUGCUUCCUACUAUUUUAAGCUUUGAAGAUGUCUGCAGAUUUGUACCAUUUCCUUUGUACAAGUAAUUCAUAUCUACAAAGACAGGUAGUUUAAAAUUUUACCACAUGCGUGUUGAUAAAAUUGGUUGCAGUUAAUUUUCUUCCAUUUUGGCUAGUUUAAUACAUUCGUAACGAAGAAAUUAAAAAAAGCAUUGUUAUUUGGUGAUGAGUACUGCAAUUGUCAAAUGUUGGUUUUUAUUAUUUUGAUAGCUUUCAUAGUUGUAACAUGUUGUUUCUAAUAGAUAUUUCCUAUACAUAUGGUGUAAUAUCAUGUGACAUUUUCAUCUGUCAUGCUGAGCAAUGAACACAACUUUGUUUUGUGUAAUAUUUUUGUUCGUUUUGUUUUUGUAGGAUAUUGUGGAUGAAUCAAAUUUUGUAGUGAGAAUAUAUAUAUUUAUCUUGAGCUUUUACUGAAAAAGUUGCUGGAGAACAACUUUGUUUUCUUUCUGAUUAACCAUUUUAAAGGAAUGCAUUAUACUUUGCUUGUGUUCAACAAACAAAGUGAUGGUGGGAACAUUAAAACACAUUACAAACCAAAUUGAAUAUGUAUGUGGAUCCUUAUUUCAAAGAAGCUAAAAAAUUGGUAAGUCGAUAACUAUGUAGUAUACCUCUUAUCCUUUAAGUUUUGUAUCACACACUAACUUUGCAAUGAGUUUUUGUUUUUUGUUUUUGUUUUUCUUUCUUAGUUGGUAGCAUAUGAAAAUUUCUGACUACUUUAAGUACAUGAAAGAUAGUAUUUCAAGAAAGCUCAAUGAGAACUCUAUUUGCAAACAUAUCAUGAAAGGUGAUAAGGUCCAGAUGUUGUUGUACACACUUAGUCAUGAUGAUAGAGAAUUUCUAAUGUGGUUGAGGCAAACUUAUGUUGAGUAUCCAUUGAAAGCAAACAGCUCAUGGUCACAGCAAUUUCCUAACAUGUAGGUGUUAAUUUCAUCUGUAUUAUGCCUAUUUGUUAAUGUCUUGAUAAUAGAAUGUAAUAUUUAAAUUCAUAUCCUUUUUUGUGUUAACAAUUAUGAUUGUGGAGUUGGUAUGAUGCAUGUUGCACAAAAAAAAAAAAAAAAAACUGAUGGAGAAUUAGUUGAAGGUGUCCUUCCGGCAGAGCCAAUGAAGAAUAUGAAGGCACGUGUCCUUUACAGAUUCAUAAAUGGGGGAGAGGGUAGUUGGGAAAAGGAAGAGUAGAAUAAAGAUGUGAUGCGAAAUUUGAGUUUUUGUUUCAUUUAAGUGUUUUGGUUUAAUAAAAUGAUGGGACUCCAAUCCAUCCAAAUUCAUUUUCUGCUAGAUAAGUUUGGUUGUUAUGUGAACUGAGAUAUGCUUUGUCCUGUCCCUUUUUUUUAUUGAUAUAACUUCGACGGUACAAGGAGAAUUUUAUUGAUAACGAAAAAGAAGUUAUACCUAAUCAGGGGGAGACAUAAACUAACCCCUCAUUGUCACAUCCUGGCCCAAGCCCCCACCACAUCCUGGGAUCGACUCUUCCGUAGCACGAUAUUGUCCGCUUUGGGCCCCGACCACGCCCUCACAGUUUUGUUUCUAGGAACUCACACGAGAACUUCCCAGUGGGUCACCCAUCAUGGGAUUGCUCUCGCGCGAACUCGCUUAACUUCAGAGUUCUGAUGGAACCCGAAGCCAGUGAGCUCCCAAAAGGCCUCGUGCUAGGUAGAGAUGAGAAUAUACAUAUAAGACUUACAGGAUCCACUCCCCUGGGUGAUGUGGGAUGUCACACUAAUAAUACAAGAAAAAUGGAUAAAAAAAUACAUAAAAAAGAAGGGGGGACAUAAACCUUACCCUUCUAUAAACAUAAACAAUAAAGAUACAAGGAAAAGGGGGGGGGGACAUGAAACCUAACCCCUCUAAAAUCAAACCUAAAAGUCUAAGGGCUUGUUUGGAUGUGCUUUUAUAAUGGCUGAAAGCGCUUUUAGAGAAAAUGUUUUUGGGUUCCAAAAACACUUUAAGUACUUUUCUAGGAUUUACUUACAUUUUUACUAAGGAUUGGUUUCAAAAACAUUUUCACCAUAAGCGUUGUCAGUCAUUUGAAAAGAACAAUUCAAAUGAGCUCUGAACCUACAAAACAGAUUAAGCAAUAUCACAAGGUCAAGGAAAAAAAAACAAGAAAGUGAGUCAAAAACAAGAAAGUGAGUCAAACCUGUAUGCCGAUAUGCAAAUUAAUUUGAGAAGCAGUAGCCAGGAAAGCCAGCAUGGUCUAAAAACAAAGCAACACGAGACGCCAAUGGAGGGGAAUUGUGCCAUACUAAAUUUGGAGAAGACAAGCCCAUGUUAGCAAAAUUGUCGGCAACAACAUUUCCUAUGCGAUAUAUGUGAGAGGCGUAGUAAGUCAUCUUUCAAAUGCGAUCCAAACAAAUAGAUCAUUAUGUACGAAGAGGCCAAGAAGGAUCAAAAUCGAUUGAUUGGAGAGUAGAAAUAACACUAGAACAGUCACUUUCCAACCAAAGACAAUGUCAUCCCUGCUGAUACUCAAACCCUACACCAAUAAUAAUUGCUGAUAAUCCUGCAAAGAAAGAGUUACGAUGACCAAUCCCUUGGUAGAUGCCACUAAGAAAAUGACCAUGACAAUCCCUGAAAACUCCUCCACAAGCAGCAGGACCAGAAUUCGACAAACCAUCUGUAUUAUGUUUAAUCCAAGGAAACCAAGGAGAAGACCAAAGCACAAGAAGAAUAGAUAGAGCCUUGUGAGGGAUAGGGCGGAUCCCCUAUGAAGAAAUGAUAUGAGUGUCAAAACCUUGAGAAUAAUCAGGAAUAAACUUCCAAUCAUGAAUGAUCCUAUAAUUCAUAGACAUGCAAAGACAACGAAAAUAGAUUGGGCGACGUUAAAAAAUAAACUUAUUUUGAGCUUUCCAAAUAGCCGAAAAAGUAGAAAGAUCUGCAAAAAUCCAGAGAUCGUGCAACUAUUGAGAAAAAGGCUUACGUACGUAGGCAUCCCAAAAAGCAACCAGAGAAUCUGAAAAAGACAAAGAGGUACCAAGCUAACACGCUAGCCACCUCCAAAGUUUCCUAAAUAUCCAACAACUGAAGAAAAGAUGAACAAUUGAUUCCUCGGAGUUCUGACUUAAACAACAAAUGGACGCCAAAGAAAUACCACGUCAUGAAAGUGCACAUUCUAUAGGAAGUUUGUCAUGAAGAAGCAACCAAGCCAAAAUAAACAGUCAAGGUGGGAUAAAAUGUCCCCUAAUAACCUUAGCUCGAGCACAAUCUCUAUGUUUUCGUCGAAUAAGAUGACAGCCAAAAGAAAAGGAAAAUUUCUCGGUAGAUGUAGGCUCCUAGAUCAAUUUGUCAUCCUCUACAUUUAAAUGCAAAGGUAAAUGUAGAAUAUGUUGCACUACAGAACGGAAUAAAUCUACAAAUAAUCUAGUAAAGGCCAACUUUGAGCUUCAAUAACAUUUGAAAGUUUAGGAAGAAUUGUAGCUGCAAUAAUCGAAGAUAAUGAAGAGCCAAUAAUUGGAUUAUCCAACAAUUUGUCGAACCAAAAGAAAACUGGCUUCCCAACCCUAAUAACCCAACGACUAUUAUUAUUCAGCAUAGGCAAAGCACGCUUCAACCCAUGCCACAUAGAAGAUCGUAAUAUAUAUCUUGUUUUUUAUAAGGUGCAAAAGGAAAACAUUGACGAGCGAAUGAAUCCACAGAGAAGAGGGUUGUAAAGCAUCCCAGCCAAAACUAAACAAAGUCAUCAAGUUCAAAGCAGUUAAAUGCCGAAGACCAAGGUCACCUUCAUGCUUAGGUCCACACACCAUACUCCAAUCAAUAGUUACUAGCUUUCGUGAAGCCAAGUCCCCUGACCAAAUAAAAUUUUAUGCACAAGCAGAAAUGUGCUUUAAAAGACAAAUAGACCAUUGAUAAACUAAGAAGCUAUGGAGAAACAAGCUUUGACAAACAGAUUGCACCAAUUGGAGUUGUCUAACCAUUGAGAAAAGUUUACGCUUCCAACCUAAAAAACGAGCUUUAGCCUUAUCCACCAAAGCUUGAAAGUGAAUUUUCUAUGGCUUACCAUGAAAAAUGGGUACCCAAAGAUAAGUGAAAGGAACAACACCGAUACAAAAGCUAAAAUGUCUCGAGACAUGCACUCUAAGAUGGGCAGAGGUGGAGCUGAGAUAAAAGGUACUCUUAGUUGCAUUAACAAGUUGUCCUGAUGCACAUCCAUACUUAUCCAAAAACUUUCAAAGAGAACAAAGAGAUCAAACAUUCCCAUGACAAAAAAUAAAAAGAUCAUCAGCAUAUAACACAUGAGUUGGAGGGCAACAACCCCAUGGACCUGAAAUAGCAGUGAGCCAUCAAGUAGAGAAGAGCAAAGAUAAAUCUCUACUCCUCUGCUAAACCAAAAAGUAGUGGAGAAAGAGGGUCUCCCUGAUGUGCACCUUGAGAACAAGAGAAAAAACCCAUGUGGUGUGCCACUUACCAAAAUAGAAAGACAAGCAAACUAUAAUAAAACAUGCACCCAAUCCACAAAAAUACAAGAAAAUCCAAAGCUAGAAAGCACAUGGACAAGAAAAUUCCAGUUUAAAGUAUCAAAAGCUUUUGCAAUAUCAACUUUUAUGCCCACAUUACCACAAAAAGCCUUUUUGUCCAUAAAAUUGAACCCUUAUGAACCUAGUCCAAUGUAAUAAAAAAUAUGCCUAGCCUUCAAAAAUGACAUUCGUUGAGAAGAAAUUAUGCGAGUGGCAAUGAGGCUAAGCUAAUCAGCAAGAAUCUUGGGAAAAUUUUUGAACAGAAAGUUAGCAAGAGCAAUGAGCCGAUACUCAGCAAUCAUGGCAGGCCCUUCUACUUUAGGAAUAAGCACCACAAAGUUGAAAUUAGCAUUCAGAUAGAGCUAGCCACGCUUAAAAAAAAUCUUGAACAAAAGCAAUAACAUCUACACCAACAAUAUCCCAACAUGACUAAUAGAAAGAAUCAGAAAACCGAUCAGGCCUCGGAGCACUUUUGGGAUCCAUAGAAAAAAUAGCAUUUUUUAUUUCAUUAGCUGAAAGUAAAAAAGAAAGAGCAAGGUUUUCCUCUUCACUAACCAUACGUGGAAUUACAUCAUUAAUAUCUUCAAUUCCACUUGGAGUGAACUGAGAGUUAUAUAAAGAUUGAUAAAUUUUUACCACAUGACCAGCAAUAUUAGUAGGGGAAGAUAGUGCAUUAUCACCAUCCAAAAGAAUAACUAAUUUGGAAGAAGAAUGCCUACCUCAAACAUGAGCAUUGAAAAAAGUAGUGUUACGAUCACCCUCAGUAAGCCAUUUAACCUAAGCUCGAUUGUGCCAGAAAGCUUCUUGCAAACAAAGAGCAUCGAGGACAACUGUCUUAGCCACAACUUCCUCAGAAAACCUUUCUUGAGAAUUCCCAUAAGAAGAAAUUAUAUUUUGGAUAUUAUGAAGUCUUUCCUUGGCAAAAGUGAAAUUUCUAUGGACAUUACCAAAAACAUUAAUGUUCCAAUCUCGAAGACAAUGCUUAAGAACCUUGAGCUUUUCCAUCAUAAUAAACAUGGGACAACUAUAUGCAAUAGUUGACUGCCAACAUUUUGCAACCAAAUCAGGAAGUCAGAAUGUAAAGUCCACAUUGAUGAAAUUGGAAAGGUCGGGGUCUUCCAAGAAGAGUAGCAAAAGUCGAGAUAACAAGACAAUUGUGAUCAGAAACUACCUAGGGCAAAGUUGAACAACUAGUAUGAGGCCAUGACUGUAACUAGUGUGAGUCACAAAGAGAGUGGUCAAGACGCCUCUCCAUGUAACCACGGACACUCAACCAUUACUCCAAAUAUAAAAAGCACUUGUAGUUUCCAUAUGAGUAAAAUCACAAAACUUAGUAGUGCUACAAAAGUCCUCACAUGAAGUUCGAAAAGGCAAAUGACCGCCCAUCUGUUCAUGAGCUCCAAGAAUAGCAUUAAAGUCACCAAUUGACAUCCACGAUACUGUAGUAAUAGAAUGAAUAUUUAAAAGAUCACACCAGAAAGCACGACGAAGGCUCGAGGUAGUAGUAGCAUAAACAAUUGUAAACUGAGAAAGAACAUCAUCAAAAGAAGCUUGAAAAGUAAUAUGUUGCCCUGGGGAAGAAAUCACAGAAGGAGAACAAUAAUCCGUAGAAUACAAAACCCAAAUAUUAGGCAAUAAACCACCCCUGGUAUUAUCAAUCAGCACAAAAGGACCAAAUGAAUUCCAACAUGCAAAAGGAAUAGAAUUAAAAGCAAACAUAGGUUCAAAAAUGCAAACCAAAUCUAGAUGAUAGGAAUGACAGAUAUUGGAAAGCUUUGUACAUAUGUCAGAAUUGCUAAUACCACAAAUAUUCCAAUAAACUAGCUUCAUUUGGAGGUAGAAAUAACUUGUCUUUUGCCCUAGUGACAUAGGGUUCUUCUUGCCUAGCUGCGUUAUCUUUCUUCUUUUUCUUUUGUUUCUUCUGCUGAGAUUUACUACAUUAGGAUCCAUCCUUACAUCCACUACAUUAGCCACUUUCGUCAAACCAAAACCUGGUGUGACAUCCCCAUCAACAUCAAAAUCAACAUGGCCACUAUUAUUUCCUUCAGUAAGCUCACCUCCAAUCUCAUUUUAAAAAAAUACCAUUUAAAAUUUGAGGAGGGGACACAGAGGUAUAACCAAUAUUCUUGGUUUGUUGUGACUCUAGAAGUGGCCUGUCUAAAUUUGUCAGUAAAUGUUCAUGAUCCUUUGCCGAUGAAUCAAUUACCCUGUCAGCCAACACAUUUAACUCAUUAUUCACAACACUCAAUAGUAUCUGAUUCGCAGAAUAGUUGACUUGUUCAACAUGAUGUUGCUCAAGAGAACUAUAAGGGGGAACCUUUAUAUCAUUAUUAAGUCUAGAAGAAUGCUCAUUUUUGUGAAUAAUUUCAACUGAAGGAAAACGCUCCGUAUGAACAACUGAAGGAGAAACAGUCUUAGUAGACGAUUUUGGACGAUAAACCUGUUAACUGCAUUGUAAUGUUUGGGAAUUGAAGAGAAAAUCAAGAAGAAAGAUGAAGAGAAGAAAGAUGAACAUAGAGAGUUUUAGAGAGAGAGAUUUAGAGAGAGAAAUAUGCUUUUGUAUUGAUUGAUAGAAUGAAGGUUACACAACAGCUUUUAUAAGAGAAAGCCUAACUACUCUAACCAACUUACUAACUGUAUUGCUAACUAUAUUGCUGACUUGUAUACUUAAUACUAUCCCUCAAUCUCAACUGGGGUAUCCCAGUUUAAAAUUGCAGCAAAGUCUCAAAUAACAAACACUAAAUAUGGACAAGUAUCAAGGUGACCAAGAUCGGAUCGUCUUCACUGGAAAGAGACCUGUUAAGUCAGAUAUCUUGAAAGAGCAGCCACUUUUGCCCGAAGAUGAAAGAAGAGUUUCAACAAAUUCUUCUCCAGCUGCAGUCAUCAUAGGGCCUUCAGGUUAUGUUAUAGAACAACCCAAGUCUCCAGAUGUUAGUGGAUCACGAAGCACCCCCUAUCUGCUUAAUUUAUAUUCAUCUCAAGAACAACUUCAAGAACUACCCAAGAAUUAUAGAAAACUUGUAAGAAUGGCUUCGUGCCGCAACAAAUUCAACAAGAAAAUGGCUUCGUGCCUCAACAAAUCAACAAGAACAAUGGCUUUGUGCAUCAACAAAUCAACAAGAAAAUGGCUUCGUGCCUUAACUAAAAUGACUUCUUGCCUCAACAAAUUAACAGAAUACUGGCUUCGUGCCCCAAGAAACAUAGUAAAAACCCAGAACAAAUCACAACUCCGAAAAGAAACAAAUCACCCGAGAAUCGCAGAGAUGAAAGAUUAAGCAUAUUCAGAGCUACAACUUCAACACGAACUCUAAAAAAAAACCCAGAAUUGUCAAGCCCAAGAACAUUCGUGUACCCACAGUGGAUUCGCUGACCCAUUCCUGAUUCACGAAACUCACACCAACAAAUCUCCAAAUAGUACCGUUUUAGAUCACCAAACACCCAAUCUUCGAGUAACACCCAAACCAGCGAAAAACUUCACUAGAAUCGAACAAAUUAACACAAAAUUUUCCACUGAGACAAUCAAACAAACAGUUGGAGUGCAAAAAGAAAUAUGAAACUUGAAUCUUCAGUUCUUGAGUGAAAAAAAAAACCCAAAAAACACACCAGAGAUCAGCAACCAUUCAAGAUACCACAGUGGAAGUAGAAAAAUAUUCUUGAGUCCAAAUAUCACAAAUCAGAACUCCAAUUUGGGAAAAAUAAGGCAUGGCAAUGGAUGGUAGCAACACGGAGGAGUUGGCCCUUAGGUGCUUCGUCUCCAUCAAGACCACGCUCAGUAACGAGUUCCAGGGCCAAGUCAUCACCUUCGAUCGCCCCUCCAACAUCAUCGUCAUUCAAGAGAGUUCGAAAAAAUGAAAGUUGUCAUACUUGGGUCAGGCAGAAGACCCGCUCGAUAUCAAAAAGUGUUAUCUUGAUCUCAAUAUUCUCCAGGCCAGGGAGGAACUGGUGAUUAGGCAAGCAGAGGCGAAGUUGGAGCAGAUUGCCAAGAAGUUACAGGACGAUCACGGAAGCACAUAAGAAAAUCUAAUGAAAAACGAUGAAAUCUAAUGAAAAAAACGGAACCACCAGAAUCCAAGGCGUGAGCCUGAUGGCUCUGAUACCAUGUUAACUACAUUGUAAUGUUUGGGAAUUGAAGAGAAAAUCAAGAAGAAAGAUGAAGAGAAGAAAGAUGAACACAGAGAGUUUUAGAGAGAGAGAUUUAGAGAGAGAAAUAUGUUUUUGUAUCAAUUGAUAGAAUGAAGGUUACACAAUAGUUUUUAUAAGAGAAAGCCUAACUACUCCAACCAACUUACUAACUGUAUUGCUAACUAUAUUGCUGACUUAUAUACUUAAUAAAACCCGACGACUUCAUGAUCGUCCUCGUCGUUGCGCCUCAAUAUGUGGUUGCAUCUAUAUCCCUUUUUUUUAUUUGAAUUUGAAUUGAAAGGGGAUAUUCUUCCUAUUUUCUUUUAUUGAUUGGAAAAGAAGAUUUAUUUGUGAUUUAGAUAAUGUUAUUUUGACUUUAUCUGCACAUAGUUCAUCUGGUUUAAAUUCGAAUUGUACUAGGAUAGGUAGUUUAAAAUAGCUUAAUUUCAUAUUCCUUUUACCUGGAUUCAAGCCAUUAACAAUCAUCCAGAUUGUAGGAACUGUUUUCGUUCUCUCUGCAGAAUAUCAAAAAAUUGCUGGUAACAUCGGACCUACGAGGUUGCAAGUAACCUUCCUAUCAUGGUAGGUAGUUUAAUACCGUCCCCCAAAUAGACUAGUAAUACAUGUAUAGCUAAUUGUCAUGUAAAAAUCAUAUUCUAAAAGGAUAGGUAGUUUAUAUUGUAAGCCAAAUGGAUGAGUAGGAUAAAUUUUUUCCACAUGCGAGUUGAUAAAAAUGAUUGUAGGUAAUUUUCCUACAUGGUAGGCAGUUUAAAACCGUCCCAAAUAGCAAUACAUGUGCAACUAAUUAUCAUGUAAAAAUCAUAUUCUAUGGAUAGGUAGUUUAUAUUUAAAACCAAAUGGAUAGGUACGAUAAAAUUUAACAACUUAUGGCUGCUUGUUGUAUUUAGUUUCGAUUUGGAAGCUUUAUUGAUGAUACCAUAAUAAAUAUAUCUUCACAGAUUGGAUAAGCCAUAUGACAAGUAAGUACGUAAUGGAAAAAGAAGAAUAUGAGUAAAACUAAAAAGUCGAAGGCAUCAUUUUAUUACAUUGAUAAAAUUAAAUUAAAUAAAAAUAAAUAAAAAAAAGAUUCAAAUGGCAACACAUAUGUAUGUCAAAAUGGGGCGUUGCAAGUUUUCCCAUUAUGGCGUGUAGCAUCACCACACCUACUGCACUUGUUGGGGCAUGUUUCUUCCCAAAUAGAUUUUAGUCUUUCAAAUUUCGGUCUACCUGGUGCCUCUUUGUCAAUGAGGAUUCUAUCACAAAGUCCUAACUCAUGGAUUGUUCAUCAUUUUCAAUAUCAGGUACAUGAAUGAUGGGAUAGGAAUAAGAAGACAUAUAAAAAACUGUUGUGAAAUAAUCUUUGACAUAAUCAUAUGGGUUGCCUCCAUCUUUCAAAAUAGCUGCCAAAGCAUAUGUACACAAGAACCAUUUAAUCUACCACUGAUAACAAGAACAAGUAUGACUUUGUAAGUCCACCAUGACGGAAUACUCAUUUCUGACUUCGAAAAAAAUGUUCAGUUGAAUGACACACAUUCAAAUGUCAUCCAACUUCAACCAUUGUCAUCAUUUCAUCAUCCAUUGUUGGGCAUAUUGGUGAGGUCCAUCUUUUGGCAGCGCGUUGCCUAUCAUACUCAUCCCCAUCAACUUGACAUGUAUAUUAUCUCGAUCAUUUGGUAAGUUGGCAUCUUGCGUUCAUCCAAAGUCCAAGAAUUGAAGGAUUUUGCAAUAAUAGAGCACAUCUCACCAUUUUUCCCCCUGAAGUAGGCAUUGGACCAGUUUUCUUUGGGUGUGUUUUGCAAAAAUUUCUGAAUUAUUGUACCACCAUCCUUGAUGAGAGUUUUCAUUUCCUGAUUGAACACAAGUUGGGAUGGAGCAUAACUACAUUUUUCAAAUAGGUUAGCAAUGACUUCACUGUAACCAGAUCCCAUCUACUUUGGAUAUUUACUCUAUAUAUUCAAUGUCAAAUGAAACAUACAAAAUGCAUGUGAUGCUUCUGGAAAAACAGUGGAAACAGCUCCAAGUAAACCUCUGUUGCGGUCUGAUAUGAAUGUAACCGUAUGACCUUGGGGAAGCAAUAUUUCUAUGAAAUUUUCCAGAAUGGGUGUGAUAUCCACACACCCCAUUUUACUUCUCACACACCUUUUUAAUUUUCGGCUGUCAGAUCGGAUGAAUUGAAGAAGAUCAAUGGACAUAAAUUAUCAAGGGGUGUGUGAGAAGUAAAAUGGGGCGUGUGGAUAGCACACCCCUUUCCAUAAACCAUGUCCAGUUGCUUUAAUUUUUAGAGUCCGCAAUGCCAAAAGCUAGCGAGAAGAACCCUGAGCCAUGUGUUGGGGAAGAAAAACAUGUUAGAGAAAAAUUUGUUAACGAUGAAUACCUAAGAACAACUUAUAUAACAUAAACUACCCAGCAUUGUAGGAAAUUGAAUUUCCAUGUUAAUUUAUUUUCAUAUAAUACUAUUUGGGACAUAUUAAAGCACACAAUAUUUGAUACCCUCUAUUAAACGAGAGCAUGCUAGAACAAUUAAGGGAAUGGACACAACAUGUAUAAAGUCAUAAAACAAUACCUUCUUAUAUAUUACAAUUUAGGGCUCUAUUAAACUACCUAACAUAGAGAAAAAAAAUUAACAUAACCAAUUUUGUAAACAUGUAUGUGGUAAACAUUUAAACUACCUAUCCAUGUGGAAAAAAAAAUUAUUAACUUUCAUGAAGCGUAUAAUAUAAGUAGAUGUCAUACCUUGAUUACCAUUUUUCCAAUGGCUACUAACAAAUGACCUUUAUACUUGCACUACUAUAAAAUUAUCUAUAACUGGCGGUCCAAAAACCGACAAGAAACGUAUAUAACUGUCGGAUUUUAAGAAAAAUCCUACAAAAAAUGGAUGCAGUGACGGUUAUAAUAAGCGACAGAUUUGCCAGCGUCAGAAAAUGAAUUUUCCAACAGAAAAUACUCUAAAACCGACAAAAAUUGUGUCGGAUAUAACCGACAUGAUAUAUAUUUAUAAUAAAUAAAUAAGAGAAUUUCUAUUGGCUAAAACUGACAGGAAAUAAUAAAACCGCCAGAAACUCUGUCGGCUAUAACCGACAUAUCACAAUUUAACGGUUAUUUUAGCUUCGAUUUUGAUGAUUUUUUGUAGCUACACUCCUUGAUCCUAUAAGAAUGAAAUGAAUGAAUUCGAUUUUGAAUUUAAAAUAUUUACACUAGUGGAUAAAUCUUAUUUUAUACUUAAUGGAAGUAUAACAUUAACUCUUACGUGUUUGUUAAAUCUAUCAAUUUGAUAGGAUAUGCAUUCUACGAAACUAGUUUCAAUGAUCCAACCGUCAAAUAUGUUUGUAUAUACUCCGAGAUAGCAUGUGUAAAAAAUCGCAAAAAAAAAAAAAAUUAAAAAAUGUGUUUAUUCAUUUAUUUUUAAUCAAUAUAACAUUUUAAAAUAAUAAAAUUAGACAUGAUAGAGUACACUAGAUGUUCAUGUGUGUUUAUGUGCCAGACAAUGUGCUUUGUGACGCAUUGAAAAAAAUUGUUUAAAUUUCUUUGUAUCUUGUUGCUUGCCUGUGAGGGAGCAUAAUCCUUAUUACAAAAAUGAUAGAGCUUCAUAUUGUAGUUUGUUGUUAUUAUUCUCUCAUAAAAUUUAUGGCUCGUGAGAAUUAGGUUCAUUAGACUUUAGGAUCAUGAGUGAAAAAACAAAAUAUUUAAAAUAUGUGUUUAUUUAUUUAUUUUUAAUCAAUAUAACAUUUUAAAAUAAUAAAAUUUUCAUUUUUGUCGGUUAUAAUCGCCACCAUUAACUUAAAACCGCCAGAAUCUAUCAAAAAUAUUUUUUUUUAAAAAAGAUUAAAAAAUACUGUCGGUUAUAACCGACAAUAUUUUUUUGAUAUUCGAAACUAAAUAUCCGCUAGGAAUUUAUGUCGGAUAUAAUCGACAGGAUUUUUCUAAUAUCCACCACUAAUUAAAUGAUGUGUCGGAUAUAAUUUAUCUGACAAGAUUUUUCUAAUAUCUGCCACCAUCAUCCGCCACCUAAAGCUAAUAUUGUAGUAGUGUUGUUUUCUAUAAAAGUUCCAUCGAGGCACAAGAAAGGUCUGUAGAGUUAGAACCCUUCAAUACCAUUAUAUGAAAUGGAUAAACUCUCAAACCGACAUGAACUAUCAUUAUAUUCAAGUUGCACAUGGGAGCCUGGGGUUGGUUGCUAGCACUGCUUUUGCAUACCAUAAUAGUUGUCUGUAUGAUUUUGUAUCAUCACCAUGGACCUCCGUCUUUGCUAACUCUUUGUCAUAACAAGCAUUCUAGUAAGAAAUAGCUAUACCAUAGUUUUUCUUGAAAUGUCUAACAACAUCAAUUGGUCUCAAAAUUGGAUUGGUUUGAAUCUCGUCAGCAAGUCCCGAGGCCACAAUUUUGGAAUCCAUCUUGAUGUUUUUAUUUUUUUAUUAUUUUUAUUAUUUUAUUUAUUUUUUAUCACGAAACCUAGCUUUACAUGUAUGUUCAUUAUUUAGACUCUUAAUGUAGAAUAGCUAGGACGAUUCAAAAUGGCAUGCACGCACCAAACACAGCCCUCAUCAUAUUUAUCGAAGCAUUCAGCAGUAACACGCUCACUAUCAUUUUUGCAUAGACAUACCUGAAACCCUUUUCAACUGCAUACUUCAUCUAUCUUUGUCUGAACUAAUUGACACCGCCUGGAAAUUCUUGACCAACAUGGCUAAUGUAGUUUCUCCACUCAAGGGACAAAUAUGUCUUCCCAUAAGGAGUGGCAAACGUCCCAAAAUUUGCACAAUCAUCCGCGGAUUGUAUGCCUUCAUAUGUAAAAAUUUGUUGACCAUGUGGGGACUUAGAAAUAGGAUCAAGCCACUCAACUGGUUAAACCAUGGAAACACUAACAACAAUAGAUGCCAUGUUUUCAACAUAACAUGAAAACUUCACUACACUCACAUCCAUGUCAUAUUGCAGCAAACAAGAUUGGUGUUGUCAUAAAGAGUACGUCAACUUCAUGACUUCAGGACUUAAUCCCACAAAUCGAGAACAAAUUUGUUUAGUAAUGUGCUUGUACUUAGUACGGUUAAAUAUUGGAAUUAAAAGGGUCUUGCUCUCAAAAGUGCACUUCACAAUGAUAGCUCCCUCCAUGAUUAAACAAUUAUAAAACACAAAAAAAUGAAAAAAAAAAACAUUAAUGUAAUAGGUUGAAAAAGGCGAAUAUACGGGUUACUAAAACUUCGAGAGUAUAAAUUUCAAACAGGCAGAACAUCAAACAUCUUCUGUGCACAAACAAUAAUAAAGGAGAAUUACAAUCAUUAUAUACCUAACUUGAAAAUUAAAUAGCAUUCAAUUUACUAUGUUUUAGUCCUUUGAUAGACGGAGAAGGUUGAGCAUCGCUAAAAAAGAGAGGGAAAACACGAUCAUAAAAUUGUACUGGAGAAUAGGUCUCCUGAAAAAAAAAUCUACACAAAUCAAAACAAAGCAAUAGAAGAAGAUUAACAAAACUACUGAACAAUGAAUUUGAAUGAUGAAAAAAAUCUAAAACGUGGGAAAUAUAUGGAGAACGUGCAAAAGUUAUGGGAGGUUAAAAUAGUAACAACAAAGCAAAAAAUCAACCUAAUUAGAAAAAUUGCUGACAUGGAAUCUUAGUCAUUGGAGCUAAGUCAAAAGCAACUAAAAAUUGGACUAAUCCUAAUGUUGAGCUAUAAAAUUGGACCAGUUUCAAGUUUGUCCUUUUUUAUAGUAAAAUAUUCUAUACGGAAAAAGAUUGCCAAAAAAAAAGAAAAAAGAAAAAACUAAAGGUUAAAAAUGAAAGAAAAUAAUAAAGUUGUUGCAGUCCUAUUUGUUUAGGAGCGUGUUCGUGUAAAUCCUAUUAUAUCUAGGAUAUCCUUGUUAGAUUCUAUCAUAUCUCUUAGACUAGAUAUUAUACAAUUAGAGUUGUAAUCCUAUUGGGGUAAGGAAUUUACCUUCCCUACUACAAUAAAUAAAGGCACAAUGGGUGAGAUAACACACACCUCACAUUUACAUAUCUCUCUCUUUCUCUCUACUACUGCCGCACCCCCUCUCUCUGUCAUUUAUAAUGAUUUAGUAAAUUAGGCCUACAAUACGUUAUCAGCAUGCUCUUGAAGCUGGACUAAAAAGAGUUUGAUUUUCAAUCAAGGGAGUAUUACGUUUUUAUGUUUAACUUAUUAUUUUAUUGAAUUAAUCUACAUGAUAUUGAUUCAAUUUAAUUUUUCGCUGUUAAACCUGAUAUAACGCAUUGGAGAUGCAAUUCCGGCUUUCUGAGAAGGCUUUUCUACAAAUUCAAUGCCUCAAUUGUUUUCUACCAAUCAGGUACACUUCAAAUAAAGGAAGAUAUUUGAAACGACCAAGAAGCAUGAAAACAUUCCCUGAUGAUGCAUGAACCCCCUACAUUUAUUUUUUCCUUCUGAUAUAUAUAUUGUAUAAGUCCAUAUAUUUGUCAAUAUGUAUAUGUUCAUGCAUUUAUGCAAUUUUGCUAUGUGGAAUUUGUGAGUCAAAGAAUCAAAAGAAAUUAGAAGCAAUUAGGGUUUUUCAAACCCUAGAUUUCGAAAAAAAAGAAGGAGAAAGUAUGGGAAAAUCACAGCUCGAAGCCGCAUUGAGCCAAAUAUGGACGAUGUCGUUUCGAGGUCGGGACCAAAACUGUAGUAGCCCUUGCAUAUCACCAGGCCCGCAUGCCUAGGUUCUUCAUGAUUAGGCCUGCAGCCACAAUUUGUGCCCACCUUAUCAGAAGCCAGCCUUGCUGGGUUCUACUUCCUGGCCCAAAACUCGAAACCAGCACUACUGGGUUUCCUCCAUGCAAUGGCCCACCUGAAGCAAUCCAUGUGCUGGACUUUUGUUUUUUUCCCCAACUUGACCCAACCAGCAAGCAAACAUUUGCUUGCUGGGCUUAUAUCAUGCCAAAGUGAAGCCAGUGAAGCUGGGCUUCUCUCACGCCUUAGUCCAAAGCUAGUAGCUUAGCACUGUUGGGCUCUGCCUAUUCCCUUGGCCUGCUAAACCUGUAGCCACUUUGGUCUGUUUUGCAGCUCUGGCCUACCCUUGCAGCUUGCUGCAGGCAACCCCUCAAUAGCCAGCUAACACGUGUUGGGCUAUGGUUUUUUUUUUUUCGACCUGAUGCCAUAUUUUGGCAUCCCCCACUUCUUAACCAUACUAAAAUAUUUUGGGACAUUUUUGGUUAAACCAGUACUAGGCUAUAAUUUUAUUGUCGCUUGACCUGAAGCCAAUCAAAGCUAAUAUGACCCAAAUGUCAUUAUUUUGCUUCCAUGAUCGAUCUCGAAUGGUCCCGUUCUAUUGAAUUAAUUAAAAGUGACCCACAGUUCAUUAAUCUGACAAGAAAUCCAAAAUUAUUGGCCUAAAUCCCACUUUUGGCCAUUAAUGAUUCAAUCAUUUAUUUUUCUUCUUUGAACCGUUGACUCUCUUUCGGAGUCCCGAAGUGCUCACACUUGAGUUCCUAAAGCAACCUAAAUCCACUGCACUUAAGAUUGUACCUUUUAUUAUGUGUUCUUACAGGAACCUCCUUUUAUGAACCAGAAGUUCAUAACUAAAUUGAACAUGUAGUUUUAAAUUUAGUACCUUUGAAACCCGAAGUUUUCAUAAAACAAUACACCCAGGAAACCCCGAAUUUUACAUGUACACCAUGUCUUAGAACUCGAAUGUUCUAACUUUGAUGCUUAUGGAUGUUUUUUUUUCCCAUAGCACCAAUUACAAUCUUGUUCCCUCCAUUCGGUGGUUGUCGAACCAUCACAAAUUUGAUUUCACUGAUUUGGAUGGUUAUAACAGAAACCACUUAAUGUGGGUACAAGACAUGAAUCUUCACUUGACUAUCAAGAAGCUCAGAAACCAUUGAAGCCAACAAUGGCAUGAAAGAGCUUCAUAAGCCUUUACCAUGAUCUUCAUUCAAAGAUUCAUGCCCGAAGCAUAACAAACGGAAGCAUCUCCCUAACGAGGAUUCCAUGGCACUUUGGCUCGUUCUUACAAAUUGUUUAAUCAUGAAAGAUAUUGCCUGAAACACACCAUGAUUACGUCCUUGAAUGAGUAUGAUUCUGAAGUUUAUAAAAUUGAUGAAAUUUUUUAAUGGAGAAUACUUUUCUUGACCUUCCAUGUCUCUAAGUUGCUCUUGAAGUAACAGUGUAGAGAACAAAAAAUUACCAAAUUCUUGGAUCUAAUUACCACCAUAUUUGCUAAAGAAAGGUACCCCAGUGACUGACUAGGUGGUACCAAACGAUAUAGACUUAUCUUAGGCUAGAGUAUACUGAAUGGUGAUACCUAGUUUCAGCUGGGGCCCAUCGAAACGUAUGCUCCGCUUCGGUUGAUGCGUACUGAAUAGGCCCCUCCAACUUCAGCUAGAACCUUUCAAACCCAAGUCUGGGUAUGUCUGUCUCUCUCUCACCCACUUUAAGGUUUCUUUUUACUAUGUAUGGUAAAAUCAAGGCCUGCCAAGGUGUAGCAUCAUGCCCGAAGAGUGAUCCUUGGGACUUAAAACCGUUAACUUCAUGAAUAGGAAUAGUGUUCCAGAACCUCAACCUUGUAGAAUCUACUUUCGUUUUGAUGGAAGAGAUAAUUGGUUAUGCACUUGUUCGUACCCCUACCAAUGUCAUUAAGGAGUACCAUUUGAAGGGAAAUUGUGAGAUUUCAUGUGGGAUUUCUAGUGACUAGCAUGCAUAUACAAUUCAAAAUUUAUAUACGAAAGCAACGGAAGCAUGUUAUCAAAUAAUAUCAAAGCUAUAGUCAUGCAAAUCCUCUUCAAGAUGCAUAGGUUUAUGUAUGAUGCAUCAAAAACAAUUUAUUGAAGAACAAAGUGUAGGAGUAGUUUUAUACCUCUUGAUCUAGACUUUAGACCAAGGAUGGACCACCUCCAAGCCCUUUGUUGUUGGAACUUCUUGAGCCUAGCCUCCCUCCUUGCCUCCUCCACUUUGUUAGAAUGAGUGCUCCUUGGUUCUCCUUAAGUCUCCAAAGUUGAAGACCUCUAAAGAUCCUCACCGACUAGAGUAGUAAGAAGGAUGAAGGAAUAACCAAAAGGGUGAGAAGAUGAUUAGCUAAACCCCCCUUUGGUGGCCGGCCCUUUGAGUGUUGAGAGAGAUAUUUUCUUUUUCUCUUUUGUUGUUUUAACACUUCAAAAAACCCUAAUGAAACUUUUUGCUAUAAAGUUCCUUUUAUAACCAAAAAAAAACAAGUCAACAUUUGACUCUCUCUCUCCCUCCUUUGGCCGGCCCCUUUAGUGUUGUUUGGGCUUUGGGCUUUUAUUAUUUCAAGUCAUCAUAUGCUUGAAUAAAAGCCCAAUGGGUUUAGGCCCAAUGGGCCCAAUUAGACCCGAACUUUUCUUUAAGCCCAAAACGAUCUUUUAUCGCUUUUAUGAUUUCUUUAGACAUUCUAAUUAAUCACAACACUUAAUUAAUCCAAUUAAUUAUUUCCAUCAUCCAUUAGUUACUCACUCCAAGAGUGUAUUGGUGAACAAUCAUUUUAGGUUCUAAUUAGCAAGGCAGUAAGGUGAUUGGCACCAAUCCAAUUGAUUAUUUUUAAUCCAAUCACUUAGUGAAUUAAAACUUACUUUUAAUUCACCUUCUUCUUUGACGACUACAUUUAAUCAUCUAAAAGAACUCACAAGUCAUGAGUGACAUCUAACCAUAUAUCAUGGCUACCCAAGUUAAUGUAGAAUUUGUUCGGAGAACCUAUUCAGUUGGAAUUACAAUGUAAUUCAAUCCUUCUCUAAAACAAUACUCUCAAUCACAUUACUAGGGUAUGGAUAUAUUAUGUCAAACCCCUAAUGUGAUUAUUCCUUCUUAUAUGAUUCAUUUGAGUCGUAUAGGAACGCUUUCCUUUAUUACGCUCGAUACUUCGGCCGAAGAUUCCCGAAUCAUAUCUUAGAGUAUUCAUCCUCUCUUAACGAGGAUUAGAGAUUCCUUGUUGCGCAUUCACUUGCCUCCAUGACUAAGUGGCUUAACCCCAACUAUGCCGUGGACACCCGCGGAUGGAGUGACUUUGACAUAAUCAAAGAUCAAGUACCUAACCACAAGACAACUAUGAUGCCUCAGGUCAAAGGACUACUUACAUUAUUCCAACCAUUAGAGUUACUUGCUUGACAUGUGAGUAGACCUCCAUGCAAGUACUCUCGUUCGAUUGUGUUCAGUGAACUCAUUCCCUUAAUGAGCACCUACAUACCUGUCUUAGUGUCACUACACGAAUGGGACGAGACUUUCCAUCCUUCCAAUUGAAGCGGACAUAGUAUGUACCGGUCUAUGCAUUGUCAGUAUCCCUCCGACAAUCAUAUGACCAAGAACCUUUUGGACAUGAUGGUUAUGUGAAGAAGGUCUAUGUAGUCUAACAUCAUUAGAUUACUUCUUCCAUCAAUCCAUUGUCCAUGGAUUCACUAUUUAGGACAUAUAUCGUGUGUUGAGAUAGUCCUAAUUAGUAUCUUUGCCAUUUGAUGUACAAGAAUCAUCUAUACAUCCAUUCAUUGUCCUGAAAGGUUUCUUCCAAAGAUUGACUUUCAGGGCAUAUUCCAACACCAUUCUCAUAGUCAAUAUGUGAGACUAAUUUUUCUCCACAUAACACUGUUUAAAUAGCAGAAUUUUGACAUGGAUGGCCAUGUUGGCCGAAUCCCCUUAGUAAAUUUGGUUUACUUUGUGAACAUUUUUCUAUGUUCUUGGAUUCAAGUUUGGUGUUUCUUUUAGUUAUGGAUACUGUUAUCGAUAUUUUCCUCGAAUAUGAGUUAAUUGAAUCAUGUUUCUUAAAACAUGUGACCAAAUUCAAUUAAACACGUAAUUAGGUACAAAUGUGGGAAAAUUAGUUGUCUGGAUGAAUACGAUACUAUGCACACCAACUUUAUACCUAAAUCACAUCUCUAGCAAUGACUUUGUAAUUUAACUGCAACAAAUCUCGAAUUAAAAUACUAGACGCAUUGUCAUAAACAUGCAACAAUAUAAUUGUUUUGUAUUCCAAAUAAUUUAUUCACAAAACGUUAUUACAAAAAGUGUGACUUUCAUACUCAUUUGCUCUUCUUGGUCAACCAAAAUUGUAUUAGUUUGAUUCGUGAUUUUAAAAUAUGGGGAAUGUUUAGCCCAUUAAUAUGUGGCCAAUCGUUUGGUCCUUCCAUGGCCUCUAGAAGUGUUUGGUGCGAAGUUGAACAAAUGAUCGCAACCUAAUUAAGAGCAUUGGCAUACUCCUUGUUGUAUGAAUGGUAUUAACUUACCAUUUACAGUGGAAUAUCUUUGCACCACCUCCAAAAUACAAAGCCUGAAACUAUGUUUUAGGGCCAAUGGGCUACCUCCCAACUGGGAUAUGCCACAUGUGGCUAGCCUAAAGCAUGGUGAUUGACUACUUUAAUUGCUUUGGCAUGACCAUUUGGGACACUUAAGUUGAACAAUGAUUCCAUGCCAUACUUCUUUACCCAAAGUAAGGAUCUUGUGCUUACAAGCACACUUUGCCAAGCUCGCUCAUUUGGGAAAUUGAUUUUCUAUAUCAUCCCUAACAAAGAUACGAAAGCACCCUCUUUUCACAGUGGAUUCAAAGGAAUAUACGUGUACUAAUCCAACCAACAUGCGAAUCAUAUAAAUACUUAGUGUUUUGGUUGGUGUAUCGACAAAAUGGUCACAUGUUUGUCCACACACAUUGCUUCUAAACCUCCUGGCUAAUUUUAAGGGUUCACUUCCUUAAUUAUCCCAUAAAGUCUAGAAGACUGGAUAAUGCCGGAGAGUUUAAAUCAAAGGUUUUUGCUAAAGUAUUGCAUUUAUUUUGGGUUUAUAAUUGGACAUCAAAUUCUCAUCUUCACCCCAAAACAGCCUCGCAGAGUGAUUAUAAAGUGCAAUUUAAAUGAUUGCCCAGACUUGGGUGAACGCACUAAGCUUUCAGUUUCUACCUAAUGUUAUGCAAUCUUGUAUGCAGCUAUGUUGGUCUGCCUUGAGGCCCAUUGCCACCCAACCUAUUUGAUGUUCUAGUUGGUUACUGGGUACUAAGCUGAUGUUUCAUACUUAUGUAUUUGGGUGUGCAUUCCAUGUGUCAGGUUGUGCUGCUGUAACGUACCAAUAUGGUUCCUCAAAGAAGGAUGUCAAUCUUUGUUGAUCAUGAUUCUCUUUCACACUAGCUCUUUAGAGGCCUUAAGUGACCUCUUUACAACUCAUUUUGCGGAUUGUCACUUCAAGGAGACAACCUUCCUGAAUUUGUGUGGACGGUACCCAUUUUGUCUUAUCUCGAUCCCCAUACCACACAAGUGUGAUAAGAAAGUGCAAUGUAUUCUAGCUUUCAGAAUGUUGCUCUAGACGCAUUCCUUUGAUCUAGCUAAAGUGACGAGAUCAUAUACCAGCUACAAACAUGCCUGCAAGGACAGACAUACUUAACGGAUAUCAAGUCAACAUCCCCAAAGAAUGUGCCGCCCUUUACAGUUUAGCCGCCCAAGUUGGAAGACCCUGUACACCGGCAAAUAGCCAAUUAAUAUAUCUUGACCCGAAGCAUGAUAGAUCACUCAGUUUAUAGGAUCACUUCCCUAGAAGAGGAAGGUCACGACACAAAAUGAAUCUAUACUCGAUCACUGUCUUAAAUCAUUUCCGUCUCAUGAGAUUAAUUUGGAUUACCCUCGAGACUUGAAGUUCAUGGUCCAAUAUACUAGUUUGGAUGAUGUAUGAAAUUGGAAGAUUAUCAUCGAUGAUGUGAUUGAUGACAUAAGGUUUAUCUUAAACGCUCUGUGAUUGACUGUAGCAAUAUGAAAUGUGGUUGGUGUUUCUCCAUGGAGAUAUUGAUAUGGAGAUUUACAUGUAAGUUCCCAAAGAAUUACAUGAACUAGUUCAAAUAGUUCCAAACCAUGGAACACUCUCUCAACUUUUUUGAGGCGUUCACUUACGGAUUAAAACAAUCCAGCAGAUGUGGUAUACUUGUCUAAGUGAUUAUUUGAUCAAUCGGUUACCCUUGUGUGUUAAAGUAAGAAGUCAUAUUCAAAAUUGCUAGAGUUACAGUUUAUGUCGAUGACAUUCAUCUCACUAAGACUCUGGAAGAGCUUGAGAAAAUUGUCUCGCACUUGAAGACAGAAAUAGAGAUGAUGGAUCUUGGGGAAACUUGUUUAUGUCUGAAGUUCAAGUAUUGAUUUGAUGGUACUUUGGUCUACCAGUCGAACUACACCCCGAAAGUGUUACCUUUGAGUCCACCUAAUAUCUUCCAUAGGCUAUAUGCCAAUGAGACCCUUAAGAGGUUAUGGAAUCUGAAGUUCUAUAUAUGAGUUCAACUUUGCGCUUUGUUGUACUUAGCUCAUUGCCUUAUACAGGACAUCUCAUUCGCUUUUAAUCUAUUGGUUAAGAUGUAGCACCGCGCCUACACGCAACCACUUAAUUAGUAUUAAAGACAUUUUUCCACUACCUUGAAGGUAUGUGUGGGCUUAUCCCAACACAUAUCGAGCGGAUCUAACCGUUUUGAUCCUUAGAAUGAUGCUUGCCUUGUUUGUUAUGCUCACGCUGGUUACUUAUCACACUCGCACAAGGUAUGUCCUCAAAUUGUUAUGUCUUUACCGUUAGGGAUAUCACAAUAUCUUGAAGGUCCACGAUAGACCUUAGUUGUGAAAUCUUCGAAUCGUUUCAAGAUCAUCGCACUUCACGAUGCCACAUGUGAGACAUGGUUGAGAGUUUUUGUUGAGCACAUGCAAAUUACUUGUUGUUUUCAUCCAUCAUUGAGUCCUUACAACAAUCCAUGAAGACUAUGCCACAUGUAUACACUUGACCAAGACAUGAUACAUCAACAAAGUCAAUGCCAAGACAUAUUGUGUCUACAUCACAUCAGUAAAGUAUCAGGAGAUUGAAGUCAUGCAAGCUGAUCCCAGACAACUUUGCCGAUCUUUGCACGACGUCACUACUGAAGUCAACUCCAGAAACUUGUUCGAGGAAUUGGUAUGUGACAUGCUCGACCCCAAUAUUCUCAAAACACCCGAGUAGACACGUGCAGGCCGACACCCAAGGGUGACGAAACCAUAUUCACAUGCAUGUAAAAAUAUGAAGAAAGAACGAACGUAAAUUUAACUAUAAUGAAUAUGCAAACGUGGGAACAUGUUUAGAAUACAACUAAUCAAGAAUACUGUAGAAGGAAUAUAAUGAAAAGGUACGAACAAAGGAAUGCGUCCUAAACAGAGAGGACUGGAAGAUAUCGAUGCGGAAGUGCCCUGACACCGGGAUUGUACGCCUCGAUUCUAAGUCCUAAAGAGGGUGCAAAACAAAGCAUGAGUGGACCAAGUUUAUAUAUAAGUAAUACUAAAACAAUUACUCUUCAAACGUACUAACCCCCAGUUUUAGAAAACCUCGUAAAGCUAAUAAGUAGUAGGUUUUCCAAAAAUCCUAGCAUGCCAUAAAACAUUCAUAAAACAUAUAUCAUAUAUAGUGUACUUAGUAGUGGUAUCAUAAUCGCCCGAAGACAUUACAUCGCCUGCCUGAAGCUGCUCGAAGGCCCUACAUCGCCCACCUGAAGGCAUAUAUAAAUCAUUUGCCCGUAGGCACAUAGUAUGAAUAACCACUAAGUAAGCACAUAAAAUCAUAAACAUAAUCUUUCCAAAAUGUAUCUCAUCGAAGCUCAAUAGCUCAAACAUCAUAUCAUAAAUCCAUAGGAGCAUUCUAUCUCAAAUCAUCAUCAAAAACCAUGUUCAUAAGUAAAUAUAAUCAUAAAUAUUUCAAAGAACGUAAAUUCAAUAAAGCAUGAUAUUUCAUAAAGCAUAAAUCCAAUAACUCAUAAACGUUUCAUAAAACAUAGUAAUAAAAUCAUGUUUUUCAUUUAUGCAUUUCUAGUAAUAAAAUCAUGCAUUUUGGAAAGGUUCCACUCACAGAUACUCCAACACUGAAGAGCCGCUUAAACUACAGAGGACGAGGUCAUCACUAACAAACGCAUCUAAGCACAUAAAGGGAACAAUUAGUAAAAUCCUACUAAAACAAUUGAAUUUGGGAAAACGAAGCGCGAAUUUGGAAUAAGGGUGUUGAAAUACCCUAAGAGGGGUCCUGGGGAAAUUUUGUAAAAGUCAACGAAAAGCAAACAGGAACAUCUAGGGAAUAUUCCAUUAUUCCUUAACAGAAUAUUCCCAAACGGAAUAUUCCAUCGGGUUCGGGUCGAGUCGAAUCCAGGUUAGAUCUAGGUCGGGUCGGAUUCAGGUUCGGUUGGACAACGAGUCGGGUCAAGUUGUUAGUCUGGGUCGAGUUGCUGGCUUAGGCCUGGUUGCUAGGUUUUGGAUCUGGUUUUUGGGUUGUUGGUCAGGUCGAAACGGUUUUAGGCUGUGGGUUGGCCGGAAUCUGGGCGGGGUUCUAAAGCUCCGUUCGAGCUCAUUUCUUCACCAUUUUCGAAGUUCUAGCUAUGGUACCAAUUUAGAGUUGUGUUGUGGCUGGAGUUGGCCGGAAAACGACCUACAAGUCACGGCAUCCCUCAUCGGAAAAUGGGUUAGUUAACCUAAGCUCUUUCUGUGCCCAACAUGUGAAAACAACUUAAAGCCUACCUUAAUCUAACCUUAAAGCAUAAGCCAGACGGUUUAAAGGACCUACUUACGUCGGGGGUGGCGAGAAAUCACCAUGGGUUUGUCGGGAAGAAGGUGACAGUGGCCUCUGCCACUAUCGAGUUUCCAGGACCUUAGUCUGGGUCUAAGAUGACGACGUUCAGGUGGUGGUGAUGGUGGUUCACCGGUGUUGUUUGUUUGUUCGUGUGGGUCAGUGCCUCGAAAAGGAGAGGAUAAUGCAGAGGUGAGAGGGAAAGCUAAGUGAAAAUAGAGAAAAGUGAGGGGGAGAGAUAAGAUAUAGCUAAGGGAAAAGUUACGGGGAGAGGGCAGAAAGAGAAAAGGCCAAUAGACCAAAACGAAGGGGUGUGCCCCACUAGCACACCAAACAAGCCCAAAAAGGACCAACAUGAAAAAUAUCUCCCACACAUGAAAUUACCGAUUUACCCUCGUUUCGAAAUUCGUAAAAUUUGGGAUGCGUCGUUACAAUCUAUCCCCGUUAAGAAAAUUGUGUCCCUGAAAUUGAAAUAACUUGCUAUAGAUAAAUACUCGAAGAUAGGAAGAAGAAUAUAGAAAAAAGUAAUCAAGUCAGAGCGGUUGCAUAAAAGAGAAUGUCACUCUGUCGCGAUCGGAUUGCAAUGAUUCCUCUUUCAUGCUUCCAAGCUCAUACUUUCUUCCCCCAUCAGUAUAAUAGUAGUAUUAUAACUAUAUAAAAAUAUAAAGUCAAAAAUAUAUAAUAACAUAAGGUCAAAAAUAUGUAUGCAUAAUAAGAUAACGUCAAAAUAGAUAUGUAUAAACAUCAAGGUUCUAAAAAUCGCUAGGCGCUAGUCGGGCGGUGGGCAUGGGUCUAGCGCCUAGGAGGCUAGGUGGGGCCUAGGCGGCCUAGGUGGAUUUAUGUAAAUUUAUUAGGCUUUUUUUAUUAGCACCCCACAUAUUGUUGAAUGCACCCCACAAAAAAUUCAAUAUUAAAUUACUUAUUUAUUCUACUAUGCAAUGACAAUUUCGACCUUAUUAAAUUUAAAAAAAAAAAAAGAAAUUUCCAAAUACACCCCACAUCACUUUUAACAUAUUAUUUAUCUUCUUCAAUUAUCAAAAUCCUCACACCCUCCAUUGUUGAACAAAAUCCUAACUAAUGAAAUUACAAACACAUUGAUUGAGAAAACCCUAACUAAUGAAUAUGCCAAUGCUAUUCAUCACUAUGACUGCAAGAAAUUAUUUUCUCUCCAACCACACAUUUUAUCACAUCCCGACAUUUACUAUGUCGAAAAACUUCAGAACUUAUGCCUUUGAACCAGCUCUGUGAAUUGCAAUGCCAACAGCUUGAAACUUUCAAUAAUUCUUUUUAUUUUUUUUAUUUCUUUUGUUAUAGAAAAGUUACAUAAGAUCUUGAGUUUGGAUAAUUCUUGAGUUUGGAAGUGACAUAAGAUUUUCCAAUCUGCACAAAGAUCAAAAAAUUUAAGACAAGUGUUAGCGUCUAAAACGGUUAAUGAUAAUAUGCUCUCAAGCUGGAAAUGAAAAACAAGUCAAUCACAGAAGUAAUUAGCCUAGGAACAGCAAGGUAUCUAGAUUCAAUCCAUUAAAAUUGAAAAUGAGUAUUAUAAAAUUUGAAGAAAUUGGGCUGUAUAUAGAAAUAUAAUGUGUGUUUUGAGAAUGUGGGGUGUGUGAAGGUAUUAUAGAGAGGUAUGUGGGGGUGUAUAAAGAUAAUUUUAAUUGAAAAAGUAAAUGUGGGGUGUAUUAAGUAUGUGGGGUUUAUUCAACAAUUUGUGUUAAUAUAAUAAGUGAUUUAUUAUAGGGGUGUGAUAUCCACACACCCCAUUUUACUUCUCACACACCUUUUUAAUUUUUGGUCGUUGGAUCGGAUGAAUUGAAGAAGAUCAACGGCAUAAAUUAUCAAGGGGUGUUUGAGAAGUAAAAUGGGGUAUGUGGAUAGCACACCCCUUAUUAUAUAUCUUGUAAAUAAGUGCCUAUUUACACCUAAAACAAAACUAUACUUGUGAUAGCCCGUCCCGGAUGUAUAUAUUAUUUAUCCUCGAGAGCAUGGGAAUUUCUAUUAUACCCUUGUUAUUAUUGAGUUGUGUGUGUCUGUAUUAACUAAGGGUUUGGACCAAUAGGUUCUAUCCCUUAUUAUUUGGACCUAAAUUAGAACUAAAGACUUAAGAUUUUGGUUGGUUGACUGCAAACUGGACCACACACACAUACCCUUCCUUUAUCCCGUUGACUCUCUCUCUCUCUUCCCUCUCGCAUUUUCUUCCAUGUCCAUACAAUUGUACGGACAAACCUUGAACCCUCCAUUUCACGCACGGAUCGAGCUCGUGGUUAGCAACAUCAUCUUCCUCUCAUCGUCACGCACUCAUCUAUACCAUUUUUAGAACGUGAAGACCUCAUUUUCCCGAGAACCCAGUUUUGGGUCACUGUUCAUGCACUCAUGUUAUUGAAGUUUUUAAGAGAUUUAAAGCUACUAGUGAGCUUUAGGACAUCUUCACGAAGCUCGGAGAAGAAAACCGAAGUGAAUUGGACGUCGGGAAGUCGAGUUUGGUGAGUUUCAAGUUUGGCCGGAUCAAGGUUCCUCCGGCGAAAUCCCGUGGAUUUCAAGGCUUGAAAGUGGUAAGGUUUGUUCCUCUCGUCCUAAGCUUCAUUUUGGUAAAAAUUUCAUGAAAUUUGGUUGAGAAAUGAGCGGGAAAUGACGAUUUGAAGUUUUCCAAUUUUCCGGCGAAAACGUUGGUCACCGAAGUUCGAAGGUUGAAGAACACGGAAUAUUCUGACGGCGUCAGGUUAGUUUUAAUGGAAUAUGCUGCCUUUUGACGGAAUAUUCCCUAACGCCAUUAAAGAUUCUGUUAGGUGUGCCAGGCACAUGGCCGCGCGUGGGGGCGAGUCUGGCCGUGCCCUUGCCGGAGCGUGGGGCAUCGGAAAAUUUUUCUAAAAAUAUGGGGGUGUUCCUGAGGUUGAGUAGGUCAUGGUGGUAUAUUCAAAUGCCCCAUUUGAGCAUUGUAUGAGAAGUUAAUUCCUAGUUUUGGGUAUGUGUUUUAAAUAACGUUUUAUUCAGUUAUUUCGUAUAUAGGUGAGACCUAUCCUGAGGACGAGCACCAUCAAUCGAGGCUCGGAGGCUACAUGUUGGAAAUGUGCCCUAAAACCAAUCAUAUGAUGAUACUUUACGGACAUUUCACAAGUUAAACUAAUGUAGUUUAAAUAUAAAGGGCAAAAGGUUAUUGUUUGAGUCGUCUCAUAUACAUGUUAUAUGCUUAAACGAUAAGUCCAAGGAAUAUGUGAUUGGGAGAAUGCAAUCUAAAGAAGUUAGAUUCAUGAGACCAUUAUUUCGUAUACGUUGGAAGUAUGCCCACAAAGCCACUCAUUUGAUGUAAUAGCUUUUGGAAUACUUAUUGUAUUAAACUUUUAUAUGUUUAAUGAAGGGCAAAGCUUAUUGUUAAUCACUAUUUAUUGUAUCAUGUGUUUAAGCAAUAAGGGAAUCCAAGGAAUGUAUUUGUUCUAAGAGAUAAGUGAUCUAAUGAGUUAGAUUAUCGAGACCUUUCUCUUAUGUUCAUUCCUAAAACGUUCCUAGCCAUAGGAUUGCCAAUUGGGCAUUGACAAUCCGCUAAGGUUAGUAUGUGUUAUGUUGACUCAAACGUGAGUAUGAACUAGUCUCAAGUCAUUUGGUGUUGGACACUGAGACAAACACAUAGGUGCUCGAAAAGGUAAUCGAGUACACUGAACGUCGAUCAAAAGAGAGUUCGAACAUACAUGUCAUGUAUGAACUCUAAAGUUGCAAUAUGCAAAGUAGUCCUUUGACCUGAGGCAUCAUAGAUGUCUAAUGGUUAGGUCCUUGAUCUUUGAUCAUGUCAACGGCAUUCCUUCGGAUUGUCCACGGACAUUGUUGGGGUCAAGCUAUCUAGUCAUGUAGGCAUAUGAAUGCACAACAAGGGAUCUCUAACCUUCCAUGGUGGAAGGAGAAUACUCUAAGAUAUGAUUCUAAAGUCUUUGGCCAAAGCAUAUGAAUAUGACUUAGGAAGUUUGUUCCAAAUCAUAUUCAAAGGAAUCAUAUAGGAAAGUAUCACAUUGGAUAGUAGACAUGAAACAAACUAUCACUUAAACAAUGUGAUUAAGAGUAUUGUAUUAGAGAAGGACCGUAUUGCAUUGUAGUUGUAACUGGAUAGGUUCUCCAACCAAUUCUACUUAGCUUGGGUAACCAUGAUAUGCUGCUAGGUGUCACUCAUGGUUUGUGGAAGCCCUGAAGAUUAGCAAACACUAAUCUUAAGGGAGAAUUGAAAUGUGGUUUCAAUUCACAAUCGAUCGUUAAGAGUAACAUCGCCCACUGCCUCGCUAAUUGGAACCUAAUGGAUCGCACACCCACAUAAGGAUGUUAGUGAAGAAAUUAUAGGAAAUGGAUAAGCAAUUAAAUGGUUUAAUUGAAGAAUGGUCAAGAUUAAUUAAUUAGUUAAUUAAUUAUACGAAAGGUUCGUAUUGGGCUUUUAUAUGUUGGUUUUGGGUUUCGGGGCCCAAAAGUGUUUUGGUCCACAAGGCCCAUUAUGUUUAAGUUGUAUGACAACUAAAACAAAAUGGGCAAAUUUAGCCCAAUAACAAGGAGAGGCCGGCCAUUAGGGUGAAUGGGCAAAGCUUGCUUAAUUACAAGUUUGCCACUCACCAAAGAAAAUGUUAUAAAAGCAACUUUAUAGCAAUUUUUCUCAUUGAGGGUUUUCUUAAUAGAAAUUGGGUGAAACAUUUUCUCUCAUUUUCUACAUAGAGGCAGGCCACUUAGAGGAUUUUUACUAGCAUCUAAAAUCUCUCUUAAGUCAUCCAUAUCAUCUUCACAAUAUACAACCUUGGUGAAGAGACUUAGAGACAUCAAGCUUUUGAUGUUUUUGGAGAACAAAUCCUUUUUCCUCUAAUCAUCAAAGGAGCACUAAAGGGAGGAAAACACAAGGAGGAUUCAAGGAGCUUGGAGGUGACUUGAAGGCCCUCCACUUGGGUGAAUCCCUUGUGUAAACAAGGAUGAGCUUCAAGGGUAAAGAAUCACUUAAAUCUUUACUUCUCUUUAAUGUUGUUAAAGAGUUUUUAUUUUGGUUCACCAUAUACUAGGCUUUGAAAGUCAUGGGUUUUAUGAAUUGUUUUUGGAUGCAUGCCUACUUUAAAGUGUUAAUAGCUUGCAUGUGUAUUCAAAUGUUCAUACUUGUUCUUAGCUAGGACAAAAUUUUUCCUUCAAGUGGUAUCAGAGCCUAGGCCUAGUGUAUGGUGAAUCCUUUUGGGUUUUGUGAUGUUCAUAUUUUGUGAUUUAAAUGUUGUAAAUGUUACAAGCUUUGUUCUUGCUUUUGAAUAUAUAAAUUUUGCUAGAAAAUUUAGCAUCUCAAAUGUUGUAGAUGUAUUUCAUUCAAGCAUGAAUAUUGGAACUAAAAUUUGGUGCCAUGUGUUUUGGGAAAUUCGGCCAAAUCCUUAGGGUGACUUUUUGGGUUCAUGUUUGUCUUGUUAAAAUGGUUUUAAGGUGAUUUUUGGAACCCCUAAGUACCCUAGGAUAUUAGCCCUCUUUUGAGUGGUGAAAAAUUGAGUUUUGGUGAAUGAAAACAUCCAUGGAGCUAUUAUGAGUUUUCAUGGUGUUCUUCAAAUGUUCUUGAAGUUCUUGCCAAGAACAAAAAGGUUUGAAGUUUUGAUUCUAAAUUUUUAUGUUUUUCAUAAAGUUUUGGUAUAUAAUUGAUUUAUUAUUUGAUGGGUGAUGUUAUUGGUGAGAUGUGAUGAAAUGGUUUUAAUGUUUGUCAUAAACUUUAAGUUUUUCUUACAAACCAUCACCUUCACCUUUAACCUCACCUAAUAAAAUCAACUUGCAAAAACUUUUUAGAAAUUUUUCAAUUUUUCAUUAAAUGGCUGGCCACCCCUAGUGGGGGUCCUUUUGGGGCCUUUUGUGCAAUUAACAUAAAGUUUUGAUACUUUUGUGUUUUUGCAUUUUGGCCCAAAAGUUUACGUUUUUACGUUUAGGCUUAAAAACUCUAAAGGACAAAUUGUUUUGAUCCUUUAAUGAUGUUUUUUACAUUAUUAAAAUUUUGGGAUCUAGUUGUAAUUUACAUGAAGUUGUGGACUAUUGUGUUUAUACAAAGUGACCCCAAAAGUUUUUGUAUUUGCAUUAUGGCCCAAUUGUUGUGGUCAUAGUUUCCUUUUGGCCCAAAUAAAAUGAGAACAAAAUUGUUUUGUCUCUUUAAUGAGAAUUGGAUUUUCAUUUCAUUUAGUUCCAUUUAAAUCAAUUCUAUGGAUCCAAAAACCAAUUGUUUAAAGUUGUUUUCUUAGUUAAUAUGAUUGAUUAAGAAAAGGGUGAUUAUGAACCAAAGGCCACGAUAAUUGAGCUAUGUGAUUGGCCGAUAUACAUUAUGAAUGUUUGGGUUUAGUAGUGUAGAUUUGAAUGUAAUUUGAUUAAUUCAAUUUGUUGUAAAUGGACAUAAGUCCAUCAUUUGAUUUGUGUUGUAAAAGGGCAUAAGCCCUUACUAUUAUUAUUUCAUGUAUUCCUUUUGUUUAAUUGUAUGCAAAUGGAAUAGUUGGGUCCAACGCCCAAUAGGAAAUAACGGUUUAAUUGGAUUAAACGCGUAACUAAAAUCAACAACUAUCUACCUUAAACCCAAGGUCCAACACAAGGCUCGUGUUGGAUCAAAUCAAUCGGUUCAUAAUCAUCCUAAAACCUAAUAUGACUAUAUAGUCCAUAUGAGGAUGCAAUGCAUUCGUUAGUAGUUCCAUAUAGUCUCGCUUGUUUCAACGAAACAGUGGGAGUAUUAUAUGCUACUAAAUCAUAUUAACUUGGACCAAUGGUUGUGAUAGGCCCAAGUUCUUUUAAUGUGAUUAAAAUGUUUUGAUGUAGCCCAAAACAACUCCCUCAAAUCAAAUAUUAAGUUGAUAAGCGAGAGAUGUUUUGAACAUCUCUUCGUAGGCCUUCCACCGUGGUGGGUUCCAAGCGUUUGUGACUCAUGCACCGGCUUCACCCUAUCAUGGGGAAGUACAAAGCAUGUGCUUACAUCCAGGAGGAAUCCAUAAUACAUAUGAUGAGGUGAGUGUAGGCAACGAGGAUAGCCGACAUCGUAUCAUCGUGAGGCUAUUCUUGAACCCCUAUACAAACUAAGCAUGGUGGGAAUAACUUAACUAAGUGCAAUGGAAGCCGACAUCGUAUCAUCGUGAGGCAACAUUCUCUAGAGGCCAAACGGAUGGGUAAUUACAAAACGUUGUAAAUGAAUAAUGCGUUAUUCUCUCAUCAUUAUUUUUGCUAAGCCAACAUCGUAUCAUCGUGAGGUGGGCUUGGUAAUGGUGAGUCUCCCAUAACCCGCUAAGAGUUCAAUAUAACUCUCGAAUUCUAUUGAGGGAUGUGGAAUUUGCCAAAAAUAGUGGGUGGUACUAUUUGAUUCAAAGACCCAAUCAAAUAGUUUUUAAACAAACAAUCUAAUACGAUUUCUGUUAUGUUAUGUAGUGAACGACAUGCCUAAAAUUAUACCCACCAUUAUACUUGACAAAAGGGGCCUUAAGGGCCAACGUUUCCUUGCUUGGUAUCGCCACAUUGAGAAUGUCUCAAAGGUGAAAGACAUAUUGUAUGUGCUUAAGCAAUCCCCUCCUCAUGUACCUCCUACGAAAUUAGCUUCAAAGGAGGAGUGUCAAAAUUAUGUUAGACACUAUGAGGAUGACUUACAAGCCAAAUGCUUAAUCCUUACUUCACUUAGUGAGGAGCUUAUGAAGCUACAUAAGCACAUGGACACUUCUUGUGCCAUGGUUGAAAGUUUGCAUAAGAUGCAUGACAUUGAGACUAGUAAUGUACGAUUCUCAAAUGUUUGUAGUCUAAUGAAUGCCAAAAUGGCAAAGGGGGCAUCGGUUCAUAAACAUGGACAAAAGGUGGAAAAGAUAUUUAGAAAUCUUAAAAGUUUAGGAACUUCCAUCGAUGGGAAAAUGGCCCAAGAUUUUUUCCUUGCAUCUCUCUCGGAUGAUUUCACUAAGUUUAUUGUAAACUAUAAAAAGUGAAUAGAUUCGAUCAUUCUUUGAAAAAGAGAUGAUUGACAUGUGCUGUAAAUUUGAAAAAGGUUUCAAAAAGGACAGUGGGAGUGAGAAUGCAAUGAUAAGGAAAAGGUUGCAUAAGAAGAAGGCAAAAGAAAUCCAAAGGAACAUGCUUUCAUUGUGGAAAGGAUGAACGUUGGAAGAAGAAAUACAGGGUGCGCAUUGCGAGCCUUAUGACACGAACUUUUGAAGAGACUAUUUCUGUCAUAGAGAGUUCUUUUACAGUGAGCUCCAAGUUCCUGGAUAUUUGAUUCAGGCGCUAGUCAACAUAUCUGUAAUACGAUGCAGGGACUAGUGGGGAGCAAGCCACUGAGCAAUGGGGAGAUGGUUGUGCGAGUUGGGAACGGCACUAAAAUCUCUGCAAAAGCAAUAGGCACCUACAUGCUUAACCUACCCUCUGGGGAAGUCCUGGAACUUAAAAAUUGUUUAUAUUUUCCUUCAUGUAUAAAGAAUUUGAUUUCCAUCUCUAAGCUUUUACGAGAUGGGCACUCAGUAUUGUUUGACAAAAUGAGUUGCACUUUAUACUUGAACGGUCGUAUUAUCUCUCAUGGUAAUAUGAUAGAGGGACUUUUUCACCUAGAGACGAAUAGUGGGUUGCACUGUAUUGAAAGCAGGAAUACCUCAAAACCCAAAAGGGCUAGAGAAGAAGUUAACCAAGAAAAGAUGUGGCAUCUUAAACUUGGACAUGUGAACCUUGAUAAGAUUCGCAAGAUGUCGAAAGACGGAUACAUCCACCCAUUAGGUAAUGACCGGAUGGGUACUUGUGAAUGUUGCUUGAAAGGGAAAAUGACCAAAUCUCCAUUUACUGGAAAAGGAGAGCGUGCCACUGAAAUUCUAGGGUUAAUCCACACUGACGUAUGUGGACCUAUGUCUACUACGUCGAGAGGAGGCUUCUCCUACUAUAUCACAUUCACCGACGAUCACUCUCGGUUUGGCUAUGUGUAUCUUAUGAAGUACAAGUCAGAAUCCUUUGAAAGGUUCAAAGAAUUCAAGAAUGAAGUUGAGAAGCAAACUGGGAAACAGAUAAAGAUCCUAAGAUCGGAUCGAGGGGGUGAAUAUCUGAGUAACGAGUUCCUAGAUUAUCUCAAAGAGUGUGGAAUAAUAUCACAGUGGACUCCACCGGGAACUCCACAACUCAAUGGAGUUUCUGAAAGGAGAAAUCGAACCUUGAUGAACAUGGUUCGUUCUAUGAUGAGUUCUGCUGAUCUACCAGUAACAUUCUGGGGAUACGCUCUAUAUACAGCAGCUUACUUGCUUAAUAGAGUACCUUCCAAAUCAGUUUCACAAACGCCCUAUGAGAUAUGGCAUGGAAGAAAGCCAAGUCUUAAACACAUUAAGAUUUGGGGUUGUGAAGCAUAUGUCAAGAAGCUUGAAGCUACUAAGCUUGAAGCGAGAUCAGUAAGAUGCUAUUUUUGUGGGAUAUCCUAAAGAAACUAUGGGAUAUGAGUUCUACCAUCCUGACGACCAGAAAGUCUUUGUCGCCAGAACUGCUAAGUUUCUAGAGGACGAAUUCGUUCUCAAAGGGACUAUAAGCAAACAGAUGGAAAUUAAUGAGAUUAAUAAUGAACCACAAACAAGCACUAGACAUAUUGACAACCCUGUUCCUGAACCCCUAGCUCCACGUAGAUCUGAACGGGUUAGUAAGCCACCUAAGAGGUAUGGCUUAGACAAUGACUUUGAUGAAUUGUACCUUCUAGGUGUAAAUGAAACAAAGGAGGACCCUAGAGACUACACUGAAGCAAUGUCCGACAUUGAUUCAAAGAGAUGGCAAGAGGCCAUGAAAUCCGAGAUGGAUUCCAUGUAUCAAAAUCAGGUCUGGACUCUUGUAGACCCUCCAGAAGGUAUUGUACCUGUUGGAAACAAAUGGGUCUUCAAGAGGAAGAUAGGCGUUGAUGGGAACGUGGAGACUUAUAAGGCUAGAUUAGUAGCCAAGGGUUACAGGCAAAGAGAAGGGAUUGACUAUGAAGAAACUUUCUCUCCUGUAGCCAUGAUUAAGUCCAUUCGAAUUUUGCUUGCUAUAGCUGCAUACCAUGAUUAUGAGAUCUGGCAAAUGGACGUGAAGACGGCCUUUCUGAACGGCUACCUAGAGGAAGAGCUCUAUAUGACUCAACCCGAAGGUUUCGUGUCCAAGUCUGAAAAGACUAAGGUAUGCAAGCUUCAAAGGUCCAUUUAUGGACUUCAAGCAAGCCUCCAGGAGCUGGAACAUUCGUUUCGACACUGAAAUCAAAACGUUUGGUUUUACUCAAAACGAAGACGACAAUUGUGUUUAUCAAAAAGUCGUUGGGAAUGCAGUUGUAUUCCUAGUGUUAUAUGUAGAUGACAUAUUACUAUUCGGGAAUGACACUGCAAUACUUUCUUCUGUAAAAGUGUGGUUGUCCAAAACCUUCCACAUGAAAGAUUUAGGAGAUGCAUCUUAUGUACUUGGGAUAAAGCUCUAUCGUGAUAGAUCCAGAAAAUUAAUUGGAUUAUCCCAAUCUAUGUACAUUGAUAAGGUGCUAAGUAGGUUCGAGAUGGAACAAUCUAAGAAAGGCUUUCUUCCUGUAAGACAUGGAAAUUCACCUUUCUAAGUCCAUGGAACCUAAGACUCCUGAAGAGAUACGGCAAAUGAGUUAGGAUUCCUUAUGCUUCAGCCAUAGGAAGUCUCAUGUACGCCAUGAUAUGCACAAGGCCUGAUAUCGCAUAUGCUGUGAGCAUUACUAGUCGAUAUCAAUCUAACCCAGGAUUAGAACACUGGGCAGCUGUCAAGACGGUCCUUAAGUACUUAAGAAGAACUAAGGACAUCCUCAAAGUUAACAUCCUCAAAGUUGCUUCAGCCGAUAACGUAGCAGAUCCACUGACAAAGCCAAUGUCUCAAAUCCAGCUUGACCGUCAUAUGGAAAGGAUGGGUAUUAGAUACAUGGGAGGAUGGCUUUGAGUGCAAGUGGGAGAUUGUUGGAAGUAUGCCCACAAAGCCACUCAUUUGAUGUAAUAGCUUUUGGAAUACUUAUUGUAUUAAACUUUUAUAUGUUUAAUGAAGGGCAAAGCUUAUUGUUAAUCACUAUUUAUUGUAUCAUGUGUUUAAGCAAUAAGGGAAUCCAAGGAAUGUAUUUGUUCUAAGAGAUAAGUGAUCUAAUGAGUUAGAUUAUCGAGACCUUUUCUCUUAUGUUCAUUCCUAAAACGUUCCUAGCCAUAGGAUUGCCAAUUGGGCAUUGACAAUCCGCUAAGGUUAGUAUGUGUUAUGUUGACUCAACGUGAGUAUGAAACUAGUCUCAAGUCAUUUGGUGUUGGACACUGAGACAAACACAUAGGUGCUCGAAAAGAGUAAUCGAGUACACUGAACGUACGAUCAAAAGAGAGUUCGAACAUACAUGUCAUGUAUGAACUCUAAAGUUGCAAUAUGCAAAGUAGUCCUUUGACCUGAGGCAUCAUAGAUGUCUAAUGGUUAGGUCCUUGAUCUUUGAUCAUGUCAACGGCAUUCCUUCGGAUUGUCCACGGCAUUGUUGGGGUCAAGCUAUCUAGUCAUGUAGGCAUAUGAAUGCACAACAAGGGAUCUCUAACCUUCCAUGGUGGAAGGAGAAUACUCUAAGAUAUGAUUCUAAAGUCUUUGGCCAAAGCAUAUGAAUAUGACUUAGGAAGUUUGUUCCAAAUCAUAUUCAAAGGAAUCAUAUAGGAAAGUAUCACAUUGGAUAGUAGACAUGAAACAAACUAUCACUUAAACAAUGUGAUUAAGAGUAUUGUAUUAGAGAAUGACCGUAUUGCAUUGUAGUUGUAACUGGAUAGGUUCUCCAACCAAUUCUACUUAGCUUGGGUAACCAUGAUAUGCUGCUAGGUGUCACUCAUGGUUUGUGGAAGCCCUGAAGAUUAGCAAACACUAAUCUUAAGGGAGAAUUGAAAUGUGGUUUCAAUUCACAAUCGAUCGUUAAGAGUAACAUCGCCCACUGCCUCGCUAAUUGGAACCUAAUGGAUCGUACACCACAUAAGGAUGUUAGUGAAGAAAUUAUAUGAAAUGGAUAAGCAAUUAAAUGGUUUAAUUGAAGAAUGGUCAAGAUUAAUUAAUUAGUUAAUUAAUUAUACGAAAGGUUCGUAUUGGGCUUAUAUGUUGGUUUUGGGUUUCGGGGCCCAAAAGUGUUUUGGUCCACAAGGCCCAUUAUGUUUAAGUUGUAUGACAACUAAAACAAAAUGGGCAAAUUAGCCCAAUAACAAGGAGAGGCCGGCCAUUAGGGUGAAUGGGCAAGCUUGCUUAAUUACAAGUUUGCCACUCACCAAAGAAAAUGUUAUAAAAGCAACUUUAUAGCAAUUUUUCUCAUUGAGGGUUUUCUAAUAGAAAUUGGGUGAAACAUUUUCUCUCAUUUUCUUACAUAGAGGCCGGCCACUUAGAGGAUUUUUACUAGCAUCUAAAAUCUCUCUAAGUCAUCCAUAUCAUCUUCACAAUAUACAACCUUGGUGAAGAGACUUAGAGACAUCAAGCUUUUGGAUGUUUUUGGAGAACAAAUCCUUUUUCCUCUAAUCAUCAAAGGAGCACUAAAGGGAGGAAAACACAAGGAGGAUUCAAGGAGCUUGGAGGUGACUUGAAGGCCCUCCACUUGGGUGAAUCCCUUGUGUAAACAAGGAUGAGCUUCAAGGGUAAAGAAUCACUUAAUCUUUACUUCUCUUUAAUGUUGUUAAAGAGUUUUAUUUUGGUUCACCAUAUACUAGGCUUUGAAAGUCAUGGGUUUUAUGAAUUGUUUUUGGAUGCAUGCCUACUUUAAAGUGUUAAUAGCUUGCAUGUGUAUUCAAAUGUUCAUACUUGUUCUUAGCUAGGACAAAUUUUUUCCUUCAGUAUACAUAUCCUAAACGUUCCUGAUCAUAGGAUUGCCAAUUGGGCGUUGACAGUCCGUUAAGAUCAGUACGUAUUGUGUCUUCUCUCAGGGAGAGUGACUAGUCUCGAGUCAUUGGUGUGUGUGACAUCAAGACAAGUACGUAGGUGCUCAAUACAGAAUGAGUUCACUGAACACGAUCAACGAAGAGUUCUCAUAUUCAUGUCACAUGAGAACUCAUGGUUGGGAUAAUGCAAAGUAAUCCUUUGACCUGAGGCAUCAUAGUUGUCUUGUGGUUAAGUCCUUGAUCUUUGAUUAUGUCAAAGUCACUCCAUUCGAGGGUGUCCACGGCAUAGUUGGGGUUAAGCCACUUAGCCAUGGAGGCAAGUGAAUGCGCAACAAGGGAUCUCUAACCUUCAAACCGUUUGAGGGAGAAUACUCUAUGAUAUGAUUAAGAAUCUCUGGCCAGAGUAUGAAUGAGAUUUAGGAAGUCGUUCCAAAUCACAUUCAAGGUAAUCAUAUAAGCACACGAAUCACAUUGGAUAGUAGACAUGAAUAAACUAUCAAACCAAACAAUGUGGUCAAGAGUAUUGUAUUAGAGAAAGACCGUAUUGCAUUUGUAAUCCUAAACUGAAUAGGUUCUCCACCUCUUCUGAUUAGCUUGGGUAACCAUGAUAUGCUGCUAGGUGUCACUCAUGGUUUGUGGAAGCCCUAAACGUGUAUAAUCACUAAAGGGAGAAUUGAAAGUAAGUUUCAAUUCACAAUCGAUUUGAAAUGGUUUUAAUCGCCCACUGCCUCGCUAAAAGGAACCUAAUGGAUCGUACACCGUGUAAGGUGGAGAUUGAAGAAACAAUGGAGAUGAGUAAGAAUAAUUAAAUGGUUUAAUUAUUUAUGGCAAGGAUUAAUUAAUAUGUUAAUUAAUCAAAACGAAUAAGUUCGUUAAAGACCUCGGGAUAGUUUUUGGACCUUAAGGCCCAAUGGGCUUCGAACGUCAAGCCCAUUGGACUUAAGUUGUAUGACAACUUAAUGAAUAAAGAUUCACAAAGGGCCCAAAAGCCCAAAUCCCUCAAUUGGCCGGCCAUGUUAAAAAGAAUGGCUUUUUUGGUUCUUUAGGUCACUUAAUUUGAAGGACUAUAUAAAGGACUUUAUAGCCUAAAAUUCAUUAAGGGUUUUCUUUUGGAGAAAAUUGGAGAGAACAUGUCUCUCCCUUUCUCUCUAAAGAGGCCGGCCCCCUUGGAGGGAUUAGCUAGCAAUCCAACCUCCAAGGUCACUCAUUUCUUCUCCAAUCUAACCUUGGUGAAGAGACUUAGAGGUUUCUCAAUUUUGGGAACUUGGAGAACCAUUUCUUCCAUCCAAAUCCAUGGAUCUAAGAAUGCAAGGAAUGAAGGCCCUCUCUUUGGGUGAUUAGCCUUUGCUUAUGCAAAGAGGAAUCUACAAAGGUAUAAAUUUCUCAACUCACUUUGAUUUUUGAGUUGAGUCUUGGUUCACCAAUCUACUAGGCUUUGAAUUUCAUGGUUAAUGUUUUGUUUUAAGUGCAUACAAGCAUGAUUCCGCCUUUAAUUGUUAAUUGCAUGCUAUAGAUGUUGCUUAAAUGAACAUGUUUUUCACAAAAUUUCCUUCAAGUGGUAUCAGAGCCUAGGUCUAGUAGUUGGUGAAUCCUUUUGGGUUUUGUAGUUCAUAGUUUUGAUUUAAAAGUUGUAAUAUGUUACAAGCUUUAUUCUUGUUUCUUUGAAUGUAAAUUUUGUUAGAAAAUUUGCCAUCUCAAAUGUUGUAGAUGUAGUUCAUAUGAGCAUGAAUAUUGGAGCUAAAAUUUGGUGCCAUGUUUUUUGGGGAUUUUCGGCCAAAUCCAAAGGGUGAUUUUUUGGGUUCUUGUUUGACUUGUUAAAAGUGUUUUCAAGUAACUUUUGGAACCCCUAUGUACCCUAGUUUGGUUAUAUGUUAUUUCCCUUAAGUUUGAAGUGGUUUUUGGGAUGUUUUUGGAUGAAAAAUGUUCAUGGAAAGCUUUUAUGGGUUUUUCAUGAAUGUUCUUCAUUGUUCUUGACAUUUUAGUCAAGAACAAAAAGUUUGGUGUUUUGAUUCAAAGUUUUGGUUGAUUUCAUAAAGUCUUUGUUUUGUGUUGGUUGAUGUGAAUUUUCUAUCAACAAAACAUUUAUUUGAAAGGUGAUAGAAAUGGUGAUGGGUGUGUAAGAAGUACUUCUCUUCUUACACACCACUUGCAUGGUUUUAUGAUUCACACCAACCAAAUUCCACUUGCAAGGCUUUAUGACAUUGUUGAAAAAUUUCCAAAUUUUUGUGGACACUUAUCUCUUCUCUAUUUUCUCCCUAAAACCGGCCACCCUAUUAAAAUAGGGUAUUUUUUGGGCUUUUAUGCAAUUACAUAAAGUUUUGAUACUUUUGUGUAUUUGCACUUUGGACCCAAAAGUUUACGUUUUUACGUUUAAGGUCCAAAAACGCUAAAGGACAAAUUGUUUUGCUCCUUUAAUGAAGUUUUUAUAUUUGUUGAAAUUUUUGGGUUCUAGUUGUAAUUACAUGAAGUAGUGGACUUUUGUGUUUUUACAAAGUGACCCCAAAAGUUUGUGUUUUUGCAAUAUAGCCCAAAAAAGUUGUGGUUAAUUGCAUUUUUGGCCCAAAUUAGGUUGAGAACAAAAUUGUUUUGUCUCUUUAAAUGAGAAUUGGAUUUUCAUUUCAUUUAGCUCCAUUUAAAUCAAUUUUAUGGAUACAAAAACCAAAUGAAAAUGUUGCAUUCAAUUUAAUUAGUUAAAGCGUUAAUUAAUUAAAGGGUGAUUAUGAACCUAAGCCUACGAUAAUUGAGCUAUGUGAAAGGCCGUUUCAAAUUUGUUUGAACCAUGGGAAUGUGUAGAUUAGAUUUUGGUUGUAAUUUGAUUUGAUCAAAUGUUGUAAAAGAGCUUAAGCUCUUCUUUACUUUAAAGUAAUUUGUUUUCAUUCAAAUGUUGUAAAGAGCAUAAGCUCAUCUUUACUUUGAAGUACUUCUUUCUUGCUUUAUUUGAUAUGCAUGAAAUUGAAGUAGUUGGGUCCAACGCCCCUAAGACAACACGCCUUAAUGUGAUUAAACGCGUAACUAAAAUCAAUCACCAUCCCUAGACCGAGAUUCAACACUAGGCUCGUGUUGAAUCUAAUCAAAGGUUCAUAGUCAUCCUAAGGCCCUAAGGCAACUAUAUAGUCCAUCAAAUGAAUGCAAAGUUUAUGUUAGUAGUAUCAUAUACUCUUGCUUUAAAAACCGUUUUAUAAGCAUAGUGGGAGUAUUAUAUACAACUAAAUUCAAUCAAAUGGACCAAUAGUUGUAAUAGGACCAAAAUUGUUUUAAUAAAGAUUAAAAUGAAUAUUUAUAUGUGAUGAGACCUAAAACCCUCAACCAAACCAUUAUUAAGUUGAUAAGCGUGAGAGUGCUUUGAACACUCUUUCGUGGCCUUCCACAUAUAAAGUGUGUGCAAAGUGUGUGCUUUGAACACUCGUACACCGGCUUCACCCUAUCAUGGGGGAGUACAAAGUGUGUGCUUACACUCAGGAGGAGUCUAUAUGCAUACUUGAUGAUGUGAGACGUAGGCAACGAGAAUGAUCAACAUCAUAUCAUUGUGAGGUUGUUCUUGAACCCCUACCCGAACUUGCAUGGUGGGAAUGACUUAACUAAGUGCAAUGGAGCCAACAUCAUAUCAUUGUGAGGUAACAUUCUCUAGAGGCCAAAUAAGAUGGGUACUUGCAAGAGAUGCAAAUGAGUAAGCGUACUCUCUCAUUAUUAUUAAUGCUAGCCAACAUCAUAUCAUUGUGAGGUGGGCUUGGUAAUAGUGAGUCUCCCAUACCCUACUAAGAGUUUCCUCCAAAACUCUCGAAUUCCAAUGAGGGAUAUGGAAUUUGCCAAAAAUAGUGGGUGGUGCUAUUUGAUUUAAAAGACCCGGAUCAAAUGGCUUAAAAUCAAUCAAUUUAUAUUCGUUAUGUAUUUAUUUACCAAUAUAUUUGCAAACGCUAUCCAACACUUGACAAAAAAAGCCGAAAUGCUUUAGUUUCCGGACUUGGUACUACAAAAUCCCAUAGAUUGUCUUUAAAUGGCUUGUAAAUGUACCUAAGUAGUCUCAUCCUCACAAUCUUCCUAUUGAUAAUGUAUCAUUAGAAGAAUAUGUUAGAAAAAGUCUAUCAUAAAGAGGACAACACUUUUUAAUGUCAUAAUUCUUCAAUUACAAAUUUGUUGUAUGAAGAAAUAAGAGUUGCUUUGAACAACUCUUAGUUAAAUGCAAACAUUAGUGCUUGUUUCUUUGUUACAUGAACAAGGAACUUUAGAAGAAAGCACAAAGGGCAUGGACACUUUAUGUGCCAUGAUUCUUCACUUACAAAUUGUUGUAUGAAGAAAUGAGAGUUGCCUUGAACAACUCUUGAAAGUUUGUAAUUAUGUUUAGAACAUAAUGGUUGGUUGACAAAAAUAGUCCAUCAACAUGGACUUAUGAUGAUUUUGAAUCAUUGAGUGUUGAAGUGAUAAACCACUUAACGAGACGGAAACUAGGCAAGGACUUCACCUUUGUGUCCCUAUCCUAAUGGUUCACUAAGUUUAUUGUAAACUAUGUAGUGAACAAUAAACACAUGCUCUCCAAAAUGUUUGAUGUGUAUAACACAAUUGAAAUAAGUUUCAAGAGAGAUAGUGGGAGUUUAGGGACCAUGACUAUUGUAGUCAAAGGAGAAGUCAAAUGAAGAAGAUAAAAUUAACUCCAAGGGAACAAACUUUCUUUAUGAAAGGAUGGACAUUGGAAGGGGUAUUUGCAAGAAAUGUCUUGCAAGUGUCAAGAACACACCUUUCGAAGGUGUUGUAAAUUGUUCUUGAAUAGUUCAAAACAGUUGGUUCUUCUACUUGAAUGCUUGAUUCCGUAUUAGUAACUAUGUUUUACAAUCGUUGUAAAAGUGUGACUAAUAAGAAGUAGAAGAUAUAUGAGAGAAGAAAAGGUGCUUCACAUUCGGAACGUGAAUAAAAUAUAGAUCUCUGCGAAAGCAGAUAGUACUUACUUCCUCAUAUGAACUACCAAAGAAAUUGGAAAAACCAAAGAUUGUCUUUACAUUCCAAUUUUAAGGAACUUAAUUCCGUCACUAUAGUAGAGAUGGAUGAAUGUUUUGUUUGACAAAACAUUGUUCUUUAUUAAUCAAUGAUUGGAUUAUAGUAAUCUAAUUGAUUGUCUCUAUAGUAGAGAUAAUAUGGUAGUGUUAACUGUUUAGAAUAUAAUGAUGCUUAAAACCCAAAAGGUUGCAAGAUAGUGACUAAUACAUAAAUUACGAGUUGGUCAUAGAUGGAUGCUUUGGAUCGUUAGAUCCGGAUCCAAUACCUUCUUGUUAAAAUUGUAUAGAGGCGAAAUGUUCGAAUCUUUAUUCUUUUGGAAAGAAGAAAGAAUCACAAAGUUGUUGAGGUUAAUUCACUUAGAUGUUAGUGGCACUUGUCCACAACAUAAUACUACUCAUGUUGGAUGACAUUCACCGAAGAUCACUCUCGGUUGGACUAUAGUUUAUUUUUGAAUAAACACAAGUCCGAAUACUUUGCAAAAUGUUUCAAAGAAUUCAAGAAAUGUAAGUUGAUGAGUAAGACGUCUAAAGUAUUUACCUCCUUAGAUUUGAUCCAAGGAAAAGUAACACUUUAGAUGAGUUUCCUUGAAAGAUAUCAAGGAAAAUAGCAUCAUAAGAUAAUGAAUUUCUCCAUUAGGAGAAGAACGAACUCGAAUAAGAUUUAGUUCGUUAGAUGUUAUCUAUUACCCAUAUAUAGGAUAUAUACUUCUAAAAACAAUAUGAUUGUCAAUUAGAAGAUCUUCCAAAUUUUCAUGACUCCAUAAGAUGUAGUUGGAAAGAAAGACAAAUCUCAAGCAUGUUAAGAUUUGGGGUUGUGUGCUAAUAAGCAAUAUUUGUUUGAUAACAAUCUUGUGGGAUAUCCUUAAAUUAACUUUUGGAUAUCGCUUCUAUAAACCAACUAACAAAUGUUGUUUUGUUGGGUAGUUCAUUGUAAUCCUACAAUGUGAUUUGCCUAAGAGCAAAUGAACGAGAGAUAGAACUCAAAGAAUGGGUUCUUUGAGAGACAAGAAAGUAAUCAACAAAUAUAACAACCUAGUUCCUAUACCACAAGCUCCAAGGUAGUCGAGAAGGAUUUAUAAACCGUCUCAGUUGAAUGGUUUGAACUUUAUGACUAUGUCAUAGAGUUACACCUCUUAAUUCGAAAGAAAUAAGAAUGAAAAUCCUUAUGACUACAUUGAGUGUAUAUACGAUAUAUACUCAAGGAAAUGGUAAAGUACCAUUUGACCCGAAAUAAUGAAACCUUAAAUAGCUAAUUGGUAGCUUAAGGUGACUACAAUCAAAGAGAAUGGUUGACUUUGAAGAAACCAUCUUUGACGUAGUCUUGUUUUCAAUUAAUUCGAAGAUUGCUAGCUACAACUAAAUGGUGAUUCAAUGUUUGGACAUAAUAUGGGUUUCCGAAACCAUUAUUAAGAUAGUCUUGAUAAUAUAUGUCUAAAACUAUAAAUCACAAGACAUGUAAGUUGUAGAGAUCCAUCCAUCAUGAAUCUUAGCAAGCUAGUGGGAGCUAUAAGCAUCUUAUGAGAAAAAGGAUCAAAUCGUUUGAUUUCUCAUAAAGAUGUAAAUGAAUCUUUUGUUUACUAGGUUUACAAAAGAUUAGUGGGAGUUAAUCAUGUUCCUAAAAUUUAAAUAUAUAUGAUAUAUUAAUUUUGGAAAUGAAAAGAAUACUUCUUCGUUAAAGUUAUGACUUUAAAACAUUAUAUGAAGAUAGAAUGUAUAUGGGAGACAUAGUCUAUAUACAUGGGAUGGAAAUCUAUAUUGAUAGAUUUUAGGAUAUAAUUGGAUUAUAUCAAGCCCUAAAUAUAGACAAAAGAUGCUAGGAAGUUUCUCAUAUGAUGAUAAACUUCAAUAGAAGGACAACUCUAGUGAGACUAAGAAGUUGCUCUUCUCAAAGAGAACGUACUCUUUGACUCCCAAAGAAAUAAUGCGUAAAUAGAAUCCUUUAUGCAUACGCAGAAAGGUGAUUUAUGUAUUUCAUAUUGUAUGAAAAACAUUGAUAUGAGUUGUACCUAGAACGGUACAAGACGAUAUCAGUGCAAGCCCAGGAUCAGAACCAUGGCAACUGUCAAGUGAGUCCUUAAGUAUUUAAGAAAUACUAAAGGAUAAAUUCCUCAAAGAAUGAGGAAGAAUUAGAGUAACGUAAUGGAAGCGUAAAUGUAUUAGAUUAUGAAUCUAAUCCAUCAUUGGAUGUUUCUUCAUUAUGAAUGAAGAGAUAAACAGAUAUCUCUUUAUUAUGACUAAAGAGAUAUUUGGAUGGAAACAUUAAAGUAAUGACUUUAGUGUGUUCCAUUAUGAAUGCAAAAUAUAUUGCCAUAUAGAAGUUUACAACAAUGUUGUUUGGAUGGGAAAGUUCAUUUAUGAACUCUCUAUUCGGUUCCAACCAGAAAGUGUAUCUAGUGUACUGACACUAUGACACUAAUGGGGCGAUAGCUCAAGCCAGGCGAAUCAAGGUCUCAUCAAGGUCCGAACUCAAAUGAGAGACUGAACCACAUGAUUAAGAAUCAUGUAUAAUGGUGACGUCGUUAUUCUCAAGGUUGCUUCUAUGGAUAACAUAUAGAUAUCCAUUGUCUAGGCCUACUACUCAGCCAUUUAUGAAAUGACUACAGAAGAGGUAUCAUCACUGAUGACCAAGCUGAUUGGCUCUAGUGCAAGUGGGAGAUUGUUGGAAAUGUGCCCUAAAACCAAUCAUAUGAUGAUACUUUACGGACAUUUCACAUGUUAAACUAAUCUAGUUUAAAUAUAAAGGGGAAAAGAUUAUUGUUUGAGCCGUCUCAUAUAAAUGUUAUAUGCUUAAACGAUAAGUCCAAGGAAUAUGUGAUUGGGAGAAUGCAAUCUAAAGAAGUUAGAUUCAUGAGACCAUUCUUUCGUAUACAUAUCCUAAACGUUCCUGAUCAUAGGAUUGCCAAUUGGGCAUUGACAGUCCGUUAAGAUCAGUACGUGCUGUGUCUUCUCUCAGGGAGAGAGUGACUAGUCUCGAGUCAUUGGUGUGUGUGUGACAUCAAGACAAGUACGUAGGUGCUCAAUAGAGAAUGAGUUCACUGAACACGAUCAACGAAGAGUUCUCAUAUUCAUGUCACAUGAGAACUCAUGGUUGGGAUAAUGCAAAGUAAGUCAUUUGACCUGAGGCAUCAUAGUUGUCUUGUGGUUAAGUCCUUGAUCUUUGAUUAUGUCAAAGUCACUCCAUUCGAGGGUGUCCACGGCAUAGUUGGGGUUAAGCCACUUAGCCAUGGAAGGCAAGUGAAUGCGCAACAAGGGAUCUCUAACCUUCAAACCGUUUGAGGGAGAAUACUCUAUGAUAUGAUUAAGAAUCUCUGGCCAGAGUAUGAAUGAAUGAGAUUUAGGAAGUCGUUCCAAAUCACAUUCAAGGUAAAUCAUAUAAGCACACGAAUCACAUUGGAUAGUAGACAUGAAUAAACUAUCAAACCAAACAAUGUGGUCAAGAGUAUUGUAUUAGAGAAAGACCGUAUUGCAUUUGUAAUCCUAAACUGAAUAGGUUCUCCACCUCUUCUGAUUAGCUUGGGUAACCAUGAUAUGCUGCUAGGUGUCACUCAUGGUUUGUGGAAGCCCUAAACGUGUAUAAUCACUAAAGGGAGAAUUGAAAGUAAGUUUCAAUUCACAAUCGAUUUGAAAUGGUUUUAAUCGCCCACUGCCUCGCUAAAAGGAACCUAAUGGAUCGUACACCGUGUAAGGUGGAGAUUGAAGAAACAAUGGAGAUGAGUAAGAAUAAUUAAAUGGUUUAAUUAUUUAUGGCAAGGAUUAAUUAAUAUGUUAAUUAAUCAAACGAAUAAGUUCGUUGAAGACCUAAGGAUAGUUUUGGACCUUAAGGCCCAAUGGGCUUCGAACGUCAAAGCCCAUGGACUUAAGUUGUAUGACAACUUAAUGAAUAAAGAUUCACAAGGGCCCAAAAGCCCAAAUCCCUCAAUUGGCCGGCCAUGUUAAAAGAAUGGCUUUUUGGUUCUUUAGGUCACUUAUUUGAAGGGACUAUAUAAAGGACUUUAUAGCCUAAAUUCAUUAAGGGUUUCUUUUGGAGAAAAAAUUGGAGAGAACAUGUCUCUUCCUUUCUCUCUAAAGAGGCCGGCCCCCCUUGGAGGGAUUAGCUAGCAAUCCAACUCCUCCAAGGUCACUCACUUCUUCUCCAAUCUAACCUUGGUGAAGAGACUUAGAGGUUCUCAAUUUUGGGAACUUGGAGAACCAUUUCAUCCAUCCAAAUCCAUGGAUCUAAGAAGCAAGGAAUGAAGGCCCUCUCCUUGGGUGAUUAGCCUUUGCUUAUGCAAAGAGGAAUCUACAAAGGUAUAAAUUUCUCAACUCACUUUGAUUUGAGUUGAGUCUUGGUUCACCAAUCUACUAGGCUUUGAAUUUCAUGGUUAAUGUUUUGUUUAAGUGCAUACAAGCAUGAUUCCGCCUUUUAAUUGUUAAUUGCAUGCUAUAGAUGUUGCUUAAAUGAACAUGUUUUUCACUAAAUUUCCUUCACUACAACCCUUCGACAUAUCAGUAAGUGGGCUUUUGGUUUUCCGUAUAUACCUCUAUACUUGAGAUUUUCCCAGAAAAUGUGUUUAAAUGAUUAUACAUUUUGAAAUGCCAUGCAAAGUAUCUACCUAUUUUAUUUAUGCAUUAGUAGUUGCAUAUAUUUAUGAUUGGUGCUGCGGACGCACAGGUCAGUGCCAGGUAAGUUCAUAAACUAAAGAUAUGAGAUUACUUCAAUUAUGUGAGAUAUGAUGUGAUGUAUGAGAGCUCAUAAACCUGCACCCCAGUCCUUCACGUGAUGUUCACCUCCCGCACCAUAUGCUCACCUUGGAUCCUAGUUAGGUGCACAAGCUUGUCGUACAUACCACUUUAGGUGGUUCCAACUCGUAGGUGACCCAUGAUUAUUUGCACAGCCUUCACAUGAUCGUAGCACUAGAGCAUAUUUAUUUUACACCUAGUCUUGUCGUACAGGCCACUUGAAGUGGUUCCGACUUGUGUGCAGGAAAUGGAUUUAAUAUAAUAUGAUUGAGGUUGAUUAUGAGCAAUAUACUCAGCCGUACAAAUUGAGUUAGAGGGAUUUGGCUAAUACAAUAUUUGACAUUUAUAUAUUUUGCCUGGAUUACUUAUAGUAUUGCAUUGAGAUACUUUGGCAUGGUAUACUUCUAUGGAUUUUCAUCUUGAGUAUGAUUUCUGUUACAGCUUAUUAUUACUAUUAUUUUCUGGGAAAUUAUACAGGUUUUACGGUGAGGGGUUAUAACUUCUGAGAAAUGAAAUGAUUUUGAAAAGCUUUGUUUUUUCCCACUCACACUUUCUAAUUUGCGCCCCUCUAGGUUUUAGGUAGAAGUGCUUGGUGGAUCACGAGGAUUUCGACGAGGAUUCUGACAGAAUAUCAUUAAUGUAGGAUCACCUUUGGGUGUUGAAUAAUUAGUACUUGUCCUGCUUGACUGCACUUAGGAUAUUUAUACUCUGGUUGUGUAUUUCACACUUAAUCUUCCUCUAGCACUGUAUCUUAGCUAGUACGCUAAUUGAUUUGGUUUUUGUUUAUUCGUAAUUCCUUAUAUCUCUAUUGCUUCCGCACUGUGCACAUGGCUACGUCACCCGCAUGUGACGACCAGCAUGCCUUGAUCUAGGUCGGGGUGUGUCAAUACUUGUAUGGAUAAUAAAAGAAUGAUAAAAUGCAAAAAUAGAAGUAGAAGAAUACACAAAUUAUAUACAUCCAAAAAGUUCAAUAUUUAAAAAACAGUAAGCAUAUAAUCAUAAUGAGGAGGAUUUGGAUGAUAGCCUAAAUUCUUCUUGUUCAUGAAUCAUGAUCCUUGCAUUGGAUUAGACAUAGACUAAAUUAUUUAACCUUGUUGUAUCUAGUUUAUUUCUUUUCUUUGUAUGCAUCCCCUCAAAAGUGCUCCAAUUCGUUUCACUAUUGGAUGAACUUGUAGUAAAUCCAUCAUUUACAAAUUAGGUACACCAUUUCCAUAAGUAUACCACCAUGAAACCAAAAAAGAAAAAAGCACACAAUUAAUAAAAAAAUAUAAAAAAAACCGCCUAGGACCGCCUAGCUCUCCGCCUAGGAGCCGCCUAGGACCACCUAGGCGGCCGCCUAGCUCCAGACCGAUCUUUUAAAACGAUUUGCCCAAAAUUGGGGCAGGCCUUCACCGCCUAGUGCCUCGGUGGCCACUAUGCCGAUUUUUAGAACACUGAUAAACAUAAAAGCCGAAAACUUGUGAAUUUAAAACCAAAAGUGAAAAUGACUCACCAAACCUUUGUAAUGUCGAAGUACAUAUAUGUAACCAUAAUAAGGUAAGUUAAAAUACUUGCACUAAAAAUUAGAACCGAAAAUGAAAAUGGGUCACGCCCAAGCAUUCAUAACAUCACGUACUCCGAAAAUAGGUGUGUGAUUAAUCAGUAACUACUACCGUAGACAAGUUUACUUGCCCACUUGCUUAACGAACCCAUCAAAUAAGCCAUUGAUAUUACAGUCUGCAGCCGCAAUAUUGACAACUCAUUGUUGUCUCAAUAAACAAGUAGUAAAUACCGAGGGUGGAAAAUGACCAUUUUGUCCAAACUCCAAGACGACAUCAUCUGAAGUACACAGUUUCCCAUAUAAAAAAUUUGAUCCUUCAAAUACCUUUUCACAAUACUCUUCUGUCUAACAAGUGUUGCAUGUAGAAUCUCUCAUACCAUGUCUCUAAUAGUGCCAUACCUAAAUCGAAAAUAAUAAUUGUCAUUGUAAACAACUCCAAAAGAGAUCGGUGCAAUUUCUAAUCAUGUUGAAACCAUAGAACAGAUGAACACAACAUGUCUUCCAAAUUCUGGAUAGUUCGUUUAGACUGGCCAACAGUCUAAGAAUGAAAUGUGGUACUAGAUAACAACUUAGUGCCCAUGGCCUUCAAAAAGGCUUCACAAGACUUGGAAGUGAAACGCGCAUCGCGAUGAGGUACAAUAGUGACGGCAUGCCCUAUAAUCGAACAAUGUGAUUCACAAAGCCUAUGCGAGAUGAUUCAUUGAAAAUUUCUCUCGGGUUUAGCAAAAGGCUAUGCCGAGAAGGCUAAAAGAACACUAAAAAAUUUAAGGGUCAAAACAAGUCCAUCAAAUAUAAAGUACAAGAUAAUAGGAUUGAAUGCGUAACCUUGAUGCAAGAAUACAUGUAAGUACCUAACUUGAUUUUGUGGUGGCAAGCCGAGAUGGUUGAGCAUGGACUCGACUUGAGUGGUAGUCUAAAGUAAUCUGAUAGGCGGGAACUUAGACUUUUCCCCAUUCCAAUAUUCACAACAGCUAGUUACAACAAUAACCUCAUGGAUAUUCAAUCACCAGUUGUAAUGAUUCGCUCAAUAAGGUGUUAAUGGGUAAUUGAAUGGCUGAUGGUCUCGGCUAAAACUUUCGAAUCUAAGUUGUCUUUCUGAACAGUCUGCCUACUUUAGAAAUGAUAUUAAGUGUUGUAGGGUAACACGAACCCAAAGUUGACUAGAAUGUCUUCCAUUACCAGGAAGUGAAUCUGGGAUUACAGUCGAAAACGAUGUUAAUCAAGACGUUAGUCUAAUGAAGUCUAGAAUGAAGAAUUCUGCUAAGAGGUCAAAAGUAUGGUCCUCAUGGACUGGUAGAUAAUAUGUUGAGUGAGUUGAUCAACAAAUACCGAAAUGUCAUCAUAGUCUCCAUGUGUACAAGGUGGUUUGUACAGGAAAUCUAUGGUGACAUUCACCCAUUUCCAUUCGCAUCCCCAGUGGGUCCUCAACAACCUAAAAAGGACAACCAUGGAAAUUUCUUCCUUCCUCCAAAUAGGAUUAAAAGGAAAUUAAGAUAAGCCCGAUGGCUUCCGUCUCUCCACUUCCAUUUACCAGUAAAUUAGGCAUUUCCUCACAUUUCAUUGAUAUCCCCUUCAUACAAUACCCGUAAUAUAAUGGACGAAAACAGUGGUACAACUUAGUACUGCCAUCACGCAUGGCAUACGCUGAAAUGUGAACCUCAUUAAAAAAUUUCCUUGUUCACAAUUUCAUUAUCCUUAGGCAAAAACAAUUUGUUUCUUAUGAACAAAGUUCCAACUCCUCGGACUUUCAAAUCCCAUCUCAUGUCAUCUAACACAUGCUCAUUCAAACUCGCAUAUUACUGAUUAAACUCUUGGGCUUCUUACCGUAAAUCUACCGAUACAAGUUUGACUUAGAAGUGAGCUGACAGUACUCACCAUGGAUCGGGCGCCAAAAUAAAAUCAAUUCCUCGAAGAGAAAACAAUAGUGGGACACGGAUAGCUUGGAUAAAGGUAAGCUGUCCAUGGGAUUUUUUUACUAAGAGCAUCAGCUACGACAUUGAUAGGAGCAUAUUUAUGCGACUUAGUUGGCUUGUUCUUGUGCAUUUAUGUCGUGUUUCCUUAGUUAUUUUAAUGUUUAAAGUCAUUUUCGUGUGUUUUCAGACUCUAAGUACAAAGUAUGCAAGAAGAUGCAUUUUUGGAGGCCUUUGGAGCAUGUUUCGGGCUUGGAAUGGAUAGCAAAUGCAUGGGCCAAGUGGAUGGACGAAUUUGAGAACUAAAGAGGCCAAGAAUAUGAAGAAUUAUGGUCCAAAAGAUGAAGAAAACAGCCCAAAAAUCUGUCACCCCAACUUGCAUUCCUUGCCAUGCAAACCACAUAGAAUUCCCUUUGGAUUCCAUGCCAUGCUUGAUCACUCUUGUCCUCUACAUAAUUUCUAAUUUCAUGCUUCAACUCAUUUAAUUAUUACACUCAAUUGCUUGAUACCUCUUGUUCCCUUCACUCAUUAGAUUUUAGACAACAUUUACAUCCAUUACAUGCACCAAUUGAUGCUCCAUCAUUCACAUUUGGAAUCCCAUGCCUUGUGUACCACAUGUUGCUGCACCUUUGACCCAUUUAUUGACACAUUUUCACCUCCCUUUCCAUCUCUAUGCAAUGUACACAAUCAUUCAUGCUCCCUAGCUUCAAGACCACUCCAUUUUACCCUUCACACUUUGCAUCAUCACUUCAUUUUCACCCUUGGACCAUUGCACACCACACACACACAAAUUACCAUGCUUUUCAUCCUUAACCUAACCUGAUUUUCUAAGGUUUUUGGGGCCUAUAAAUACAUGUUUACACCCCUUGGCCAAAGAACAAUCCCCCAUAUUCAUCAUUUUAUCACAGAAAUUCGUCCAUACACACCCUAGGAAGCAAAACACCCCAAAAACACAAUUCUAGUGCCUAGAAAACAUAACAGCCACUCCACCUUCUUCCACCCUCUUUGCCUAGUUCUCCACCACCUUCCAACCAUCAAACACUCUUCCACACUCACCCUAAACCCCUCCAUAUCAUUCCCCAUCCAUUCUACACCAUAAAUCCACCCAAAAAUCUGUCCACAAGCUUCAUGCCGCAACAAGGAGGAAGGGAGAUCCAUUGAUGCACUUGCUUUCCAAGUUGGAGCAUUUUAGGUGUUUUCUUUCCUUUGAUUUUAAUGUCUAAUUUUAUGUAUCUUUGUAUUGCAAGAAUGAGGAACUAAACCCCCUUAGUUGGGGGGUGAUUCGAAACCAUGUACAUGCUUGCAAUAUGAUUUGAUUACAUUCAGUUGUUAUUUCAUAAGUUGCGGAUUCAAUUCGUUCAUCUACUUGAUUGAUAACUUAUUUGUGUAUGUUGAUUGAGAGUGCACGCUUAGUUUUCAUGCAUGAAUAUGAUGCUAGAUUAUGAGGGAGUUUCACCUAAUAGUUACAAUCUUAUAAUCACAAGUAGUGAAGGUCGCUUGAAAACGAUCGCGUUGAAUGAAUUCUUGGCACUAGUUUCAUGCUCAUCAUAGUAACGAAUGCCUCGUCAACACUUAUAGUUCUCAUUGUGCUUCAUGAUUCUUGAUUGUAUCUUUAUUGUGCUCAUCACGUAAGGAACCUUUGAGGAAUGCUUUGAAUUGUUGUAUGCGCUUUUCCAUCCAAUUCAUUAACUUAAGGAGAACUUGAAGGUUAAUUUAAGCGUAUCUAAUUAACUUGGGGUGUUGAGUUUCAUAAUUUAUUGAAAGAACAACUGAAAAUCAUUUUGUUUGCAAGUGUGUCAUGUGUGGAGAAGAACCUCCUAACUAGCCUUUUAUCCAUCCUUUUCAUCCAAAAACAUUUUACAAUCUGUUUUGUUUUAAAGUUUCUGUUUUGUUUUCAAUUUUCGUCCAAAACAAAUCCCCUUUUAUUUUGAAGUCUUAGAUUAGUUAGAAAGUGUUUUGAUUUGUGUUUCUAAGUGUUUUGAUUCAAGUUUUUAUCCAACUUCGUCCAAGUUCUUGUUAGGUUCUCAAAACUACCCAGAAAGUGGUUUUUAGGCAGUUUUGAGUCAUUAGGUUGCUGUUUUGAGUUUUAUGUUUGUUUAAGUAUUUUAAAGUAUAGUUUUGCAUUCUUUGAGUCUAGUUUAGUGUUUUAAAUUUUGUUUUUAUGUUUUUAAGUCAGUUUUCAAGUGUUUAGCAAUCCCUCCUAAUCCCCGGCCUAGAACGAUCCCUACUUACAUACUUUACUACAUUUGAUAAAAAGAGGGUUUAAUUUUGUGUGUUAACUUAUUUCACGCAUCAAAUUUUGGCGCCGUUGCCGGGGAUUAGCAACUUUGCUAAUCUCUUGGAUUGUUUUCUUUCGAAUUAUUGUAUUUUGUUUAAGUUUCUGUUUAAGUUGCUGAUUUGUUUUGUUUUCUUUGUUUUUAGGUACUAGUUUAUGACCCGUAGCUCACAACCUGUUCGCGAGCAUAUCUCCGACUUUGACGGUGAUUUUGAGAGGACUUUGAGAAGGAAAAAGAAAUUGCAAGAGUCUAAUCCUCCUAGUCCCGAGCCUGAAUUAGAAGAGCAAGAAGUUGAGGUUGAAGAGAAGGCCACGACACAAGUGGGUGGAGAAGAGCAAGGUAUAGCCAUGGACAACCGUACGCUCAAGGAGCUUGCCGCCUCGGGUUUGGAUAAUGCCGCACCAUUGUGUAUCCAAUAUCCCAUGGCUGCUCAAGGUAAAACCGAAGAGUUCGAAUUAAAGUCAAGUUUGCUCCACCACAUUCCAAAGUUCCAUGGGCUGUCCAUGGAGGAUCCGAACAAACAUUUGAAAGAAUUUGAAGUGGUGUGCUCAAGUAUGACUCCGGUUACAGUUGACGGAAGUAUUUUAAAGAUGAAGGCUUUUCCAUUCUCUUUAAUGGACAAAGCCAAGGAUUGGUUAUACGAGUUGGCUCCCGGUACAGUUACAUCUUGGGAGAGUAUGAAAAGGGCGUUUCUGGAGAAGUUUUUCCCAACUUCUCGCAUCAUUCUUCUUCGUAAAAAAAUAAGUGGAAUUCAGCAAAGCCAAGGUGAAUCUUUCCCAUCUUAUUAUGAACGAUUUAAAUCACUUGUUGCUUCUUGUCCACAGCAUCAGAUGAAGGAGGAGCUACUUCUUCAAUACUUUUACGAAGGUCUUUUACCACUUGAACGGCAAAUGUUGGAUGCUUCCGCAGGAGGAGCUCUAGUGGAUAAGACACCUAGGGAUGCCAAAACCCUCAUUGCGAAUCGAGCACUCAAUGCACAACAAUAUAAAGGUGUUGGGCAAAGAGACACCCCACGGCCACAUCAUGUCAAUGAGGUAAGUUCUAUUUCUGAGUUACAAUCCCAAAUGGCUAACCUUACGUUAUGUUAUCGCAGUUGGUUGAAGGCCCCAAAACGUAAGGAACUACAAUCUGUGGUGUAUGCUCCAUUCAAGGACACCAAUCUGAUCAAUGCCCUCAAUUAAUUGAGAAUGGAGGAUGGGAAUCGGCCAAUGCUGUAGGUUAUGGGAAUCAAAACCAACCAAGGAAUGAUCCUUUCUCCAAUACAUACAACCCGGGAUGGCGUGACCAACCCAAUUUCAGAUGGAGAGAUGCACCACAAUAUGGCCAACAAAGUGGAUUCCGACAACCCCCGGGUUUCUUUCCAAGGCCAAUGGAACCACAACCACCUCCUCAGGCACAAUCUUCCCAAACUAACCCAGGUACGUCUAUGAAUGAUGAUAAAACAUAUCAGCUACUAACCACCAUGGCGCAGGGAAUGCAGAACCAAGCAAAGGAGGUUAAUGAGCUGAAGAAGCAAAUGGGCCAAAUGGCCGAAUUUUUGGGGCAAUUCCGUGAAAAUGGUAAGUUACCAAGCACUACGGUGGUCAAUCCAAAGGGUGGCUUCGAAUCUGCAAAGGCUAUCACAUUACGAAGUGGAAAAGAGGUGAGAAACAAGGAAGAUGAGAAGAUACAACUCGAAGAAGAUGAGAACACCUACCCCACGGCAAGGGUACCAUCACCCAUGCCGCAGCUAUCUAAGACAUCCCAUCCGUCCACCUCAGGUAAGAAUGUUCCAAAUGUUGUGAUUUCGAACACUAAUCUGCCCAAUGUCCCCUUUCCUAGCAGAUUUUUGCAAUCAAAGAACGAAGAGGAGGAAAAAGAUGUUCUAGAGACAUUUAGAAAGGUGCAUGUCAACAUUCCCCUCCUUGAUGCCAUAAAGCAAAUCCCGAAGUAUGCCAAGUGUUUAAAGAAGCUUUGCACAACAAAGAAACGUGUCCGGGAGAAAGAGGUGGUACAUGUAAGCGAGAAUGUCUCCGCCAUCUUGCAACAUAAACUACCUCCCAAAUGCAAAGAUCCGGGAAGUUUUACAAUUCCGUGUGUCAUUGGUAAUACCCGUUUCAAAUCUGCCAUGCUUGAUUUAGGUGCUUCUAUAAAUGUUAUGCCAUAUUCCAUUUAUGCAUCUAUGAACUUAGGAGCAUUGAAAAAUGAUGGUGUAAUCAUACAAUUGGCCGAUAGAUCUAACGCUUAUCCAAAGGGAGUUUUGGAAGACGUUUUAGUGCAGGUUGAUCAUUUAAUCUUCCCAGCAGAUUUCUAUGUCCUCGAAAUGGAUGAAUCGGACCAUGCCCCUUCAUUGCCCAUCCUCCUUGGAAGGCCAUUCAUGAAAACGGCUCAAACGAAGAUUGAUGUGGCCAAAGGAUUAGUCACUAUGGCAUUUGGUGGUGACAUGAUUAGUUUCAAAAUUUCUGAAUCCAUUGAGACUCCUAAUGUUGUUCAUUCUUGUUGUGCCAUUGAUAAAAUUGAAAAGAUAGGACUGGACCGUUCAGCACCAGGCACAAAGGAUGCAUCAAGAACCAUGCAAGACGAGGGAAUUGGAGUGGCGCACAAGGACCAUACGACCACUGCUCUCAAAAUGCUCAAAUUGGCCGAACGCACCAUGGGGAAGAAUGUUCACAUUGCUGCCACUUCAUCACAACACAUAGGUAAGCCACCUAAUCCAAAUCCAAUUUCCAUUAAAGUUGAUAGGUGGUUCCCUUCUUUGGUGCAGGUACCUAAGCAAAUCCCCGAUGGUGGGCGUAUGAACAUGAACCUUAGGCAACACAACGCACCCAUCAACAAACAUCACUAUCCAUUUCCAUUCAAGGAUGUAAUCUAUGAGAACUUUGUUGAGCAUGUUGUGGAGGACAUUCCCUUGCAUGCCGUGGGCUUCAGUGGGGAGUAAUUGUGUUCAUCGUCCGGCUGGAAGACGUUAAAGCAAGCGCUUUAAGGGAGGCAACCCAUUUAUUCUGCUUGAUUGUCAAUUUUAUUACUUGUUUAAUUAUUUUUGGUUGUGACUUUCUAUUUUGAAACAUUAACAAAUAUGCAAAGGAUUUUAACAUUAAACUUCGUGGAAAUGAACAGCAAACUGGGAAAUAAAGAAACAUAGCAUAAUACAAGAGGGAGCCUUCACAAAGGCUGCUUGGGAGAGGUCGCAGUAGUCGGCGGAGUUGCAGUAGUCGGCGGAGUCUCAGCAGUCGGUGGGGCCACGGAAGGAGGAGGUAUCGGAGGUUGAUCAGUUGGAGCUUCACUACGCGGUGCCACCCCAGAAGACGAAGGCAGAUGCGGUUGGAACAAACCCACAAACCUCUGGUGAUCAAGUAAAAUCUGACCAUCAGUUUCUUGCAGCUGGUCAAUUUUCCUCUUCAUGUUUGUGGCAUAAUUGUGUGCAAGCUUGUGCAAUUGUUUAUUUUCAUGCUUGAGUCCUCUAAUCUCCUCUUUGAGACUCUGUAUUUCAGCCACCAACGAUUCAACGUGACGGGUUCGAGCAAAUAGGCGUUGGGCCAUGUUGGACACAGAACCCGCACACUGCACGCUAAGAGCCAGAGACUCCUUAACUGCCAAUUCAUCAGACCGUCUAGCGAGCAGUCUGUUAUCUCUGGGGGUGACAAGGUUCCGGGCCACCACCGCAGCGGUCAUGUCAUUUUUCAUCACCGAAUCCCCAACGGUGAGAGGACCAGUAGGGGAUAUGAGGGACGGACGCCAUAUGUUGUCUGGAGAAGGAGGGGCUGCUCCUUCACUAAGGUUCAAGUCAAAACGACGGUCGGAAGGGCCAGACAUUUUUCAGAGGUGUUAAAGAAAGAGGAGAUCGGACAAGUCAAGAUCGUAAAAGUGCAAAACGAGAGUUUUUUUUCAGGCAGAAAUUCAAGUGUGCUUUGAACGUCCUGCAUACCUCUAUAAAAAUCAGCACGCGAUGGGAUUUCAGAGAUCGAAGAGGUGAGCUCAGAAAUCGAAGAAGCCAUUCGGAGAUCGAAGAGGCGCCAGCUUUCUCAAAAGUUGGGCUUGCUCACAAACCACCAAUUCCAGAUACCGAAGAGUGUCAACUGUCUCAGCCUCGUCAGCACCCAUCACACGCAACUCAGCUUUGCGAAAAUCACGGGCAGUCUGUCGAAGCACCGAUUUCAACCAUCCGUCUCUCUCAGCCUCGUCAGCACUUGUCACAUGCAAUCUCUGCCCUCAACGAAGCUCAGAACUCGAAGCGUAAAUUCCGGAUAUUAAAGAGACCUCUGCUUUAUCGAGACGUGUUAGCAUCUGUCAAUUUGCACAUCUGCGUUGCGUAAAUCACGCGCAAUCUGUCGAAAUUUUUUGGAGAAGCGGAAUGCACGUGGAAACUACUGUUAAAUUAUCCCAGGCUUGCCGACACGAGUAAUGGAACAAUGCCUUCCCAGCCAUUAAGAAAAUUCUAUAAAUGUUGAACUUCAAAGUGAAGCAGUCUCACCCAACUUUCAGCCUCACUUAACCCUUCAUCCUCUCUGAAAUGGCUUUCCAACAAACCCUCUCAAGUCACUCUGUAUUUUUCAUCCCCUGGGAUACCCCUGCAAACAACCCAUCCAGAGCACAAGUAUUUCAUAUCAUAAAGGUUGAGAGCACGAGUAUCUCAUAUCAUGCUUUCUCCCUGUCCUUUCUCCAGCCAGCACCUGCUCUCGAGUACUCAUCAUCUUAUGCUUCCGCUUCGUCUCUCACGUAUAAGGGAAGUGAAGAUGAUACCUCGAAGCAUGUGGAGACAACGUGCUGAUUCAUCCUCAACUAAGGACAAGGAGAAAGAGAGCAAGAGGUGGGCACUUGGAAAGAUUGAAGAAAGAAACAGACCAACACCUCUCCCUCGUGCCUGCCCGUUGUGCAGAAGAAACAAGCAGAGAAGAAUGCAGCUCGUACAAUCAUCCCAGCGGAAGGAGUCCGAGCUGAAGAACUAGAGAAGCUGCCACAUCUGCUUGGAAAACAAAUAAGGAACUGCAACAUCACCAAAGAGCAAAGCUUCGCCGUACAAUUCCAAUCCAGUUCAAGAUCAAAGCUGUGGAAAGUCAACAAGAUCAACUAUCUCCAAAACCAGAUUUGCGUUCUUAAACUCUACUCUGUCUGGUUUUUACUUUGCCAUAUUUGUCAUGUUUAUUUGUCGUUUGUUAUUUGCUUGUUUUUGGUGUGAGUAUAUGCUUGAAACAUUGAGGACAAUGUUUGAUUUAAGUGUGGGGGGGUAACCAUUGUUUUGCAUGAAAUUCGUAGAAAUUUAUCACCCAUUACUUCUAGUGUUGUUCCUUGCUGUUUUAAGUAUUUUUAAGCUGUUUUGGAGUGUUUCAGUGUGUUUUGACAUAAAAAUCCGAAAAUUCAUAAAAAUUUGAAAAAUUGUUUUGAAAAUCCAAAAAAGAGUUGUUUUUGUGUGCUUAUUUGUGUCUUAGGGUACCUUCCAACACAAUGAUGAGGAUUCGUUUUGUAAUUGCAUGACUAUUAAAGAGAGUUAUAAACAUGGAUGAAAGUUUGAUUUACUCUUUAUUUAUGCGUGGUUGUGGUUAUAACUUAUGAAAUCACAUGUAAUCAUAAAAGAAAAAAAAAUUAGUUUUUGUAACAUGCUUGAAGGAAAGAACUCAAACUAACGCUACAACCUUGUGAGACUUGAGCCUAAACGUUAUUUGGAGAGUUGAUAUCUGUGCAUUAUUGUUUUCUAAAGUCGUUGCAUGAUCUCAUUUUUCUUUGCUUGGUUACUACUUAGAAGGCGUUUCAUCAUUUAGUUCCAAAUGCUAGAACUCAUGCCCAUUUCAUUCAAAGCAUGAUAUUGAUUUGCAUAACACAUAUUCAAGAUGAAGUUGUGUAGUUACCACCACCAAAGCCAAACUGCCAUGUAUCCCAUAUCGUUAUAUGUUUAAGUUAACCCCAUUGAGCCUUGAUAGCCUACAUUCUUUGUUAAACCACAUUAUCCUUACCUAGCCUAGUUUAGGACCAUCCAUACCCUUGUUCUUGAAGCAUAGUAAAACACGAUUCAAAUUGAAUUUCUUUUUGAUUAAUGUAUGGCAGAAAACAAGUGUGGGGGAAGUGUGAGUUAUUAUGCUUGUUGAAAAGAAAAGAAGAGUUGAAAAAAAAAAAAAAAAAAAAAAAAAAAAAAAAAAAAAGAGUUGAAAAAAUAUGCGAAAAAAAGAGUUUUAAAGUGCUGCUUGUUGAAGAAAGGGUCCAAAACAUAGAAUUCGGCCCUAAUUAUUGCUUGAAUUUUCCUUUCGUGUCUAAAAGCUGAUUUCUGCAAUUUAAGUGAAUUCUAAGUUUCAAUUUCAUUACUUUACUUGCUAUUGCUUUAAGAACGAUUGUUAUCCUUAUCCUUCAUUUGUUAGCCAUCACCCCAAGCCCCGUUACAACCCUUAACUUCAUCUUGAGUGUCAUGCGUUUCAAUAUGUGGAGUUUGAAUUUGGUAUGAGCAUAUGGUGUCACUGGUUCUCGCAUCUAAGUAGUAGCAUUCCAUUCAUGAGAUCAUAUCUAAACAUGCUUAUUAACUCCAGAAAUUGCUUUCUUUAUGAUACAUAUAUGUGAGCGUUCGUUUUCAUAUCUACAUCAAUCUUCUCACAUAUAACUAGUAUAGGGUGUGUAGUUAGAAAAUCUGAGUGAAAAUUGAGUGCAUAUCUUGUAAGGAAUUGAGUGAUUUCUCUAAGGCAUGUUACUACAUCAAAAAACAUUGUUUUAAUUGAUUAAUUGUGAACUCGUAAGUGUGUGACUAUGAUUAAGUAUGUGCUUAAGUGUAAAGAUGACUCAAAUCUGUGGGGAUAAUGAUUUUUAACAUGUCAUGUGCAUUGGAAAUCCCUGAGGCAAAUGUUGGAAGGUUUAGGUUGUGUUUUAUUUGUUUUGUUUCGUUUUAUUUCUUUGUUUUGCUCGAGGACUAGCAAAAGCUAAGUGUGGGGGAAUUUGAUAGGAGCAUAUUUAUGCGACUUAGUUGGCUUGUUCUUGUGCAUUUAUGUCGUGUUUCCUUAGUUAUUUUAAUGUUUAAAGUCAUUUUCGUGUGUUUUCAGACUCUAAGUACAAAGUAUGCAAGAAGAUGCAUUUUGGAGGCCUUUGGAGAGCAUGUUUCGGGCUUGGAAUGGAUAGCAAAUGCAUGGGCCAAGUGGAUGGACGAAUUUGAGAACUAAAGAGGCCAAGAAUAUGAAGAAUUAUGGUCCAAAAGAUGAAGAAAACAGCCCAAAAAUCUGUCACCCCAACUUGCAUUCCUUGCCAUGCAAACCACAUAGAAUUCCCUUUGGAUUCCAUGCCAUGCUUGAUCACUCUUGUCCUCUACAUAAUUUCUAAUUUCAUGCUUCAACUCAUUUAAUUAUUACACUCAAUUGCUUGAUACCUCUUGUUUCCUUCACUCAUUAGAUUUUAGACAACAUUUACAUCCAUUACAUGCACCAAUUGAUGCUCCAUCAUUCACAUUUGGAAUCCCAUGCCUUGUGUACCACAUGUUGCUGCACCUUUGACCCAUUUAUUGACACAUUUUCACCUCCCUUUCCAUCUCUCUAUGCAAUGUACACAAUCAUUCAUGCUCCCUAGCUUCAAGACCACUCCAUUUUACCCUUCACACUUUGCAUCAUCACUUCAUUUUCACCCUUGGACCAUUGCACACCACACACACAAAUUACCAUGCUUUUCAUCCUUAACCUAACCUGAUUUUCUAAGGUUUUUGGGGCCUAUAAAUACAUGUUUACACCCCUUGGCCAAAGAACAAUCCCCCAUAUUCAUCAUUUUAUCACAGAAAUUCGUCCAUACACACCCUAGGAAGCAAAACACCCCAAAAAACACAUUCUAGUGCCUAGAAAACAUAACAGCCACUCCACCUUCUUCCACCCUCUUUGCCUAGUUCUCCACCACCUUCCAACCAUCAAACACUCUUCCACACUCACCCUAAACCCCUCCAUAUCAUUCCCCAUCCAUUCUACACCAUAAAUCCACCCAAAAAUCUGUCCACAAGCUUCAUGCCGCAACAAGGAGGAAGGGAGAUCCAUUGAUGCACUUGCUUUCCAAGUUGGAGCAUUUUAGGUGUUUUCUUUCCUUUGAUUUUAAUGUCUAAUUUUAUUAUGUAUCUUUGUAUUGCAAGAAUGAGGAACUAAACCCCCUUAGUUGGGGGGUGAUUCGAAACCAUGUACAUGCUUGCAAUAUGAUUUGAUUACAUUCAGUUGUUAUUUCAUAAGUUGCGGAUUCAAUUCGUUCAUCUACUUGAUUGAUAACUUAUUUGUGUAUGUUGAUUGAGAGUGCACGCUUAGUUUUCAUGCAUGAAUAUGAUGCUAGAUUAUGAGGGAGUUUCACCUAAUAGUUACAAUCUUAUAAUCACAAGUAGUGAAGGUCGCUUGAAAAACGAUCGCGUUGAAUGAAUUCUUGGCACUAGUUUCAUGCUCAUCAUAGUAACGAAUGCCUCGUCAACACUUAUAGUUCUCAUUGUGCUUCAUGAUUCUUGAUUGUAUCUUUAUUGUGCUCAUCACGUAAGGAACCUUUGAGGAAUGCUUUGAAUUGUUGUAUGCGCUUUUCCAUCCAAUUCAUUAACUUAAGGAGAACUUGAAGGUUAAUUUAAGCGUAUCUAAUUAACUUGGGGUGUUGAGUUUCAUAAUAAUUUAUUGAAAGAACAACUGAAAAUCAUUUUGUUUGCAAGUGUGUCAUGUGUGGAGAAGAACCUCCUAACUAGCCUUUUAUCCAUCCUUUUCAUCCAAAAACAUUUUACAAUCUGUUUUGUUUUAAAGUUUCUGUUUUGUUUUCAAUUUUCGUCCAAAACAAAUCCCCUUUUAUUUUGAAGUCUUAGAUUAGUUAGAAAGUGUUUUGAUUUGUGUUUCUAAGUGUUUUGAUUCAAGUUUUUAUCCAACUUCGUCCAAGUUCUUGUUAGGUUCUCAAAACUACCCAGAAAGUGGUUUUUAGGCAGUUUUGAGUCAUUAGGUUGCUGUUUUGAGUUUUAUGUUUGUUUAAGUAUUUUAAAGUAUAGUUUUGCAUUCUUUGAGUCUAGUUUAGUGUUUUAAAUUUUGUUUUUAUGUUUUUAAGUCAGUUUUCAAGUGUUUAGCAAUCCCUCCUAAUCCCCGGCCUAGAACGAUCCCUACUUACAUACUUUACUACAUUUGAUAAAAAGAGGGUUUAAUUUUGUGUGUUAACUUAUUUCACGCAUCAGACAUUUGCCUAACCAAGAUACCCAAAAGUUCAUUGAAAGUCAUUGAUGAGUUCCAUCCACCUCUUAUGUCUCAAGCUCAACACCUUUUGGGUGAAAACACAUUAUCACUUCUUUGGUCUGAAAGGAUACAACAUUUAUUGCUCUAGAGAAAACGUUACCAAAUUUUAUAGCAAGGGAAAUUGUUACAAGUUCUAGGUCAUGAAUAGUAUAAUUCUUUCCAUGAGGUUCGAGAUGUCCAGGAGCAUAGGCGAUGACCUUCCCAUGCUACAUCAGAAAACAACCCCAAAUGUGACAAGGAUGCAAAACAAGAGACUUUAACACUCACCACCAAUGUCAAGAAAAGCAAGGACGGGAGCAUUAGUAAGACGAUGUUCCAAACUCCAGAAAAUUUUGUUCCCAACUUUCGUCCCACAUAAAUUUCUACAAAGAAAGGGUGUCAUUAGGUUUUCAAGUAAAAUGGUAACCAUUGGCUCAAGGUCGUAGAUAGAAUGGUUCAUUUCAUGCGAUUCCAACCAUCAAGAGGCACAUGCAUUACUCGGUCAUGCUGCAUCAGCGUGCAACCAAACAUUCAAUAAAACAUCAUCGUAGAAUUCGAAAUUUAUCGACGGCAUCGAUAAGUGUAAGAUUAAUGAUCAAGUGAGACAAUACUUCAGUUGUCAGAAACUUCAUUCACCUUCAACAUCUCAAACAAAAUUGACUAGUUUCUUAGCCAAAAAGGAAAUAGGGCUAUGCAAAGUUUUGUUAAGAACUACCGAUAGAAAUUGCCAAGACCAAAGAUAUUUUGUAUUUCACAACAUCUUGUGAGGAUUUUCAAAUUUUCAACAGUCCCAACCUUUUUGGAAAUGGAUAAGAAUAACGUCUGCUACAAUAGAGUCUCAUAUGAAAAGUAUCUAAUCUAAAUAAAAACAACGUUUGAAGAAUUUGAUGUAAAGCUGACUGUCGAUGUUUAGUGAACUUGACCUCGUUGUUGGAGUAGACAAUAAGGUUAUCGAUAAGAAAAUCACGAAUUCGUCGGAAAAUGGGUGGAAUAACUGGUCAAUUAGGGAAUCCAAGAGCAUAGGCGUAUUAAACUUUUAUAUGUUUAAUGAAGGGCAAAUUUAGUUAACUGUAUUAAAAUGUUAUUAAUAAUUAUUUAUUGUUAAUUCAAAGGUUUAAGCAAUAAGGUAUCUAAUUUGUUCUAAGAGAUAAGUGCUAAUGUUAGAUUGAGUACUAGACCUUUUCUCUUAUGUUUCAUUCCUUAAACGUUCCUAGCCAUAGGAUUGCCAAUUGGGCAUUGAACAAUCCUAAAGGUUUAGUAUGUUUAUGUUGACUCAAACGUGAGUAUGAAACUAGUCUCAAGUCAUUUGGUUGUUGGACACUGAGACACUGUGCUCAAAGUAAUCGAGUACACUGAACGUCAAUUGAAGUCAGAGUUUCGAAACAUAACAUGAACAUGCACAUGUAUGAACUCUAAAGUUGCAAUAUGCAAAAGUAUCCUUUAGUCCUUUGACCUGAGGCAUCAUAGAUGUCUAAUGGUUAGGGUCCUUGAUCUUUGAUCAUGUUUGAUCAAUGUCAACGGCAUUCCUUCGGAUUGUCCACAUGGCAUUGUUGUGGUGUGGCUAGCUACCUAGCCAUGUAGGCAUAUGAAUGCACAACAAGGGAUCUCUAACCUUCCAUGGUGGAAGGAGAAUACUCUAAGAUAUGAUUCUAAAGUCUUUGGCCAAAGCAAAUGAAUAUGACUUAGGAAGUUUGUUCCAAAUCAUAUUCAAGGGAAUCAUAUAGGAAAGUAUCACAUUGGAUAGUAGACAUGAAACAAACUAUCACUUAAACAAUGUGAUUAAGAGUAUUGUAUUAGAGAACCGUACCGUAAUUGCUGGAUAGGUACUUAGGCUUGGGUUGAUAUGCUGCUAGGUGUCGAAGCCCUAAAGAUUAGCAACACACUAAUCUUAAAGGAGAAUUGAAAUGUGGUUCAACAAUCGAGUAACAUGCCCACUGCCUCGUAAUUGGAACCUAAUGGAUCGCAACACAGAAGGAUGGAUAAGCAAUUAAAUGGUUUAAAUUGAAGAAUGGUCAAAGUUAAUUAAUUAGUUAAUUAAUUAUACGAAAGGUUCGUAUUGGGCUUUUAAGUUAGUUUGGGCUUCGGGGUCCAAAAUUGUUUUGGUCCACUAGGCCCAUUAUGUUUAAGUUGUAUGACAACUAAAACAAAUAUUGGUAUUAAGCCCAAUAACAAAAGGAGGCCGGCCAUAGCAAGGGUAGUGGGAAUUUUUGCUUAAUUGCAAGUUUGCCACUAACCUAAGAGAUGAAGUAUAAAAAGUCAUCAUCUUUAUAGCUUUGUUUCUAAUUAGGGUUUUCUAAUAGAAAAUUGGGUGAAACAUUUUCUCUCAUUUUCUACAUAGAGGCCGGCCACUUAGAGGAUUUUUACUAGCAUCUAAAAUCUCUCUAAGUCAUCCAAUUCAUCUUCACAAGAUACAACCUUUGUGAAGAGACUUAGAGACAUCAAGCUUUUGAUGUUUUUUGGAGAACAAAUCCUUUUUCCUCUAAUCAUCAAAGGAGCACUAAAGGGAGGAAAACACAAGGAGGAUUCAAGGAGCUUGGAGGUGACUUGAAGGCCCUCCACUUGGGUGAAUCCCUUGUGUAAACAAGGAUGAGCUUCAAGGGUAAAGAAUCACUAAAUCUUUACUUCUCUUUAAUGUUGUUAAAGAGUUUAUUUUGGUUCACCAUAUACUAGGCUUUGAAAGUCAUGGGUUUUUAUGAAUUGUGUUUUUUGGAUGCAUGCCUACUUUAAAAGUUAAUAGUUUGUAUUAAAUUGUUUUGUUCAUACUUGUUCUUAGCUAGGACAAAAAUUUUCCUUCAUUGCGCCCCCUUCAGGAGUUAGAAUCAAGGCAUACAGUCCCAGGGUCAAGACACUUCCGCAUAGGUAUCUUUGAGUCUUCUCUGUGUAGGACCCAUUCCUUCGUUUGUACCCUUUUAUAAUAAUUCUUUCACAUUAGUCUUAAUUAGUUGUAUGCUCUAAACACGUUCUUGCAAUUGCCUACUUCAUCAUAUUCAAAUUUCCACAUUUUGUUUACGUUCAUUCUUUCAUUAUAUGUUGAUGCAUGUUUAAAAUGGCUUCGUCACCCUCAGGUGUCAGCUAGCACGUGCCUAUCCUAUCCUGAUAUUAUUUGAGAAAAUAUUGGGGUCGGAAUCAAUGUCACAUAUUUCAAAAGCCCAAGAAAGACUCGAAGAUAAUAUCGAUCAACCGACUAUUUAAAACCGAAUUUAUAAGGGAAAUUUAAAGGUCGAAGAGUUUUUGGAUUGGGUGGUAGAAGUAGAUAGAUUCUUCCAAGUCAUGAACGAAAUGAUGAAGAUGGUUACCUUCCAUCUCAAAACAACUGAUAAUGUUUCGUGGGAUAGAACACUCGACCAAAGGCAAGGAAAGAAUCGAGUUUGAACGUGGAGGAAAAUGAAGCAGCUCAUGAUGGAUCCAUUCUUAUCUGCUGAUCAUGAGCAAAUCUUGUACUGCAUGUAAAUUAGCUAUACAAGGCAAUAGAACAGUGACAAAUUAUAUAGAUAAUUUCAUGUGACUUGCAGAAUGUAACCAUCUGACAGAGAUAGAAAACUAGAAAGUUGUGAGGUAUGUGAAUAAGCUAAAACUCUGCAUACAAGAGAAGAUUGGAUUGUAGAAUUUGUGGCCUUUGCAAUAGGCUAUUAACAUGGUUUUUAGGGAAUAAUUAGUAGAAAAAGAGAGGCGUCAUAAUUUUUUCGGAGGAAUGUGACAGAGUAUUUCGAAACCUAUAUUGUCUCACCAGCAGAUAGGGAAAAUUCAUGCAUCUAAUGAAGGAAGUAGCAAAACUUUCAAUGGAGGGCAGAUCAUAAACCAAACCUGUAGGGAGAAUCUGUAUGCCAAACCUUCAACAAACAUUUUAAAUCGGUGUAAGAAAUCCAGGCAUCGGUUCAACGUUUGUCCCAAACGCUGUUAAGCUAACAUGCUGGAUGCUGACGGGAAUUAUGUAGAACAAGAAGAUGAAGUUGCCAAUGGUGACUAAUUAGGGGUUGAGUUUGCAACUAAAGAAGGAAUAGAACACCUCACUUUGGUGUUGCAGCGAGUUCUCUUGGCGCCAAAAGAGGUCGGGCAUUAACACUAUAUUUUUGCUCUAUGUGUUCUAUUAACGGUUAUAUCUACGAGGUGAUUGUAGCCAAUGGGAGUUGCAAAAAUUUUGUGGCCAAGAAAAUGGUGGAUUGCCUGCAGCUACCUACUGAGCUACACAUCACUCCCCAUGCACUUGGUUGGGUGAAGAAGGGGUAUUUGGUUCGUGUCACAGAAACUUGUCAUGUCCAGCUUUCCAUCGGUACACAUUAUCAAGAUGAUUAAGUAUGUGAUGUAAUUGAUAUGAAUUUUUGUCAUCUACUAUUAGGGAGACCUUGGCAAUUUGAUGUGGAUUUGAAAUUGAACAAUCAUGAUAAUGCGGUGUUAUUCACUUGGAACAACCACAAGAUUGUAAAGGCUCAUAUUUCGCCUUCCGAUAUGCCGAAGAAGAAAAAUACUAGUUUCUUAAUUCUGACUAGUAAUGAGUAUGAGAUAAGAAGAUGACUCCUUUCCAAUUGUGAAGAAGAGUUUGUUGACAUAAGGCCAAAAAAAAGGAACCAAUCAUUUCGGUAGUGCAGCAGUUAUUAAGGGAGUUUGAAGAACUCAUUUCUGACGAGUUGCCUAAUGAACUUCUGCCCCAUGAGGAACAUCCAACAUCAAAUUGAUUUGGUACCCAAAGCUAGCCUAAAAAUCUUCUCCAUUGUCGGAUGAGCCCCGUAUAUAAUGAAAUAUUGAGGGAGCAUAUUAAAGAUUUGCUGAGGAAGAGCUUUAUUAAGGAAAAUAUGAGCCCUUAUGUGGUGUCUACCCUCUUAGUCCCAAAGAAGGCCAAGGGAAAGGAAAAGAUGUGGCGUAUGUGUGUUGAUAGUCAAGCUAUUAACAAAAUGAACAUAAAAUACAAAUUUCCUAUACCCCAGUUGAAUGAUAUGUUGGAUGUGCUCGAAGAUUCAAAAUGGUUCUAAAAUUAGACCUUCGCAUCAGUUAUUACUAGAUUCGAAUUAGGCAAGAAGAAUGAAAAACGGCGUUCAAACACAAGGAUGUGUUGUUCAAGUGACUGGUGAUGCCGUUUGGAUUGUCUAACGCACCAAGUACCUUCAUGAGACUUAUGAAUCAAUUCUUUGUCCUUUUAUUGGUCUCUUUGUUGGAGUUUAUUCAAUGAUAGUUUAAGCUAUAUCAAGGCCAAAGAAGAACAUUGGAUGCAUUUGAAAGUUUUGAGUGUGUUGAAAGAAAAUAAGUUGUAUAUGAAUGUGAAGAAAUGUAUUUUUUGUAAAUUGCUAUUUUUGGGAUUUGUGGUUGGCGAGAAUGUAAUUAAGGUGGAUGAUGAGAAGACCAAGGCCAUCUGAGAUUGGCCAACUUUGAAGUCAAUCUACGAUGUAAGAAGCUUUCAUCAGGAUUUGAAGUUUAUUAGCAAUAAAAAAAAUGUUAAUAAAAUGCAUAUCAAAUGAGUAACCUUUAUUUUUUUGCAAAAAAUCCCAUUUGUUACAAAGCACAAAUCUAGUGCUAAAAACCUUGUUGUCAAUGCCCUACGUAGACGGGCAUCCUUUCCCAAGAAGUUUUGGGGUUCAAAUGCUUGAAGGACUUGUUGAAUCAUAUGAUGUUUUUCAAGGAAUCUGGAGAAAUUCGUAAUCAUGCACCAAUUACAAAUUACUUUAUCAAGGAAGGUUAUUUGUUCAAGGGCAAUCAACUGUGUGUGGGACCAUGAUUUUCUAAAGUCGGAGUAAGGUUGAUCUGAAUACUAUUACCUCAAAAGUCCGGUCAUGAACUCAGCGGCUCCAAGCGAAGUUGUAUCAAACAGAACAGUGGUGCCACCAUCACCUUGUUUCGUGGCAAUAGGCGAAGUCCAAAGGGAGUCCAAUGGAUGACCAUGCUUGUUCCUCAAGACACAAGAUCUGGUCUAGAUAUGUACACAAUCAGAUCCUCAUAAUCUUGGAGUUCCUACAAUCUAGGAAUUGGUGUGUGCUGUACGCAAUCACACUUCUAAGAGGACCCAAUAUCUAGCCCUAGAUAUUCUCUAGGAUUCUUCUAGUUUAGUACCAGGAUUUUAUCAUAAAUAGGUCUCUCUCCCGGUCAGUAUAAAUACACCUAUCUAGGGUUCUUCUCGGGUAACACAUUCUUAGUAUACUUAUUCUCUUGUUCACUGCUUGAGUCUAAAAUUGUUUACCAACUUGACCGUCGGAGAGCCUUUGACCCACACACCCCCUCCAGUCUUGGGCUUGCUUACUGUUGUUUCUUGUUUUGCAGGUUACUUGAAUUUAUGCCUCCACCAACAGCAGCGGGCGCAAAUUUAGUUCCAACAAUUGUUGCUUUCAUUGAGAGUUUGACUCAUAUUCCUCUUGGCCCAAGUCACUCUAGCCAUCAUGAAAACUGUUCAUAAGCGAUCACGUCGCAAUGGCACCACUAGCUCGCUCAAUGAAAAGGCUUCCUUUAUGAAUAAAUUAUGGGAGAAGAUGUUGAAAAUACAUGCGUUGAUAAAAGACGUACGAAGAAGCUCGCAGGCUAAAGAAUGAGCAAGGCUAAGGAAACUUAAAGAGCGUAUGAAUGAUGUUGAAAACACCAUAUCUCACCUAGAACAGCAGGCGAUUUAGGCGGCACUUGAAGCAUAACGUGGGAAACCGAGAAAGACACAAAUUCCCUUUCCAACCCAAUACCCCCAAAAAGGGUCUCGCAUCGGAAUCAACCGCCUGAAUAGAAAGCAUGAACGCCAAAGGGAGAUUUGUACUGAAUGAGAAGAAGCGUGCCGCAAGCUUCAAUCGACUAAGAAGUCACCAUUAAUCAGCCUGGACACCACAAAGUUCUGAAAUCCUGAAGUUGAAAUUGUCACCGUCUCCACAACAACAUUUUUUUCGCCAAACUUCAAAUCGCCAACUCCAUGGUUGGACGAGUCUUGGUAGAUAACUGAUCAGAAAUUAAUAUCCUUUUUAAGGGGGUGGCCAAGGGAAUGAAUGUUCUUGGCGACGUCAAGACGAGGAGAGCUACCUUCCAAGCCUUCAACGGAAUGUAAUGCCCUGCCAAUCUAAUUCAGAAUUUACUCUUAGUGGUAGGCCAAAAAUGUCCUAGUUACCCUUUAUGUUACUAACCAUACUAAUAUUUCUUUCUUUGACAAUUUUCCACUAAUAUUUAAUCUCGUACAUUUUAUGGUUACAUCUAACUUUCUUGUUAGAUUGCCCACGUACCCUUCGAAAGAAUCAAGCCAGUCGUAGUUCACAAUACAAUAUUAAUCCAUUUUCUAAAUCAUUCAAGUGACUACCAAUCACGAAACUAGGUUCAAACAAAUGAAUCACACAAAAUUCAUAUCAUAUAUGAAUUCAGAAUAUCAACAUCGGCCCUCUAGCCACGUGCCGGAAACCCAGUUUUCCGACGAACUCCAAAAAUUACCAAAUUUUACAGGAAUGUAGAGUACAACUAAGGGAAUAAUUUUCAUACCUAGGCCGAAAUCCAAUUCGGCUGGAAAACACUUGAAAUUAGCCUCAAUCCAUGUAAAACCCUAGAACUUUGUGAUUUUGAUUCGACACCAGAACAACUCUAACGCCCCAUCCAAUGCAUGGGCUUUGUUCCUGAGGGUAAGGUGAGUCUAUUGAUGGUGGAAAUUGACUGAGUUAGCUUCAUGGUUGGCGGAUCGUCGCUGUACUAUAACAUCCCACAUCGCCUAGAGAAGUGGAUCAUGUAAGCCUUAUAUGCAUAUUCUCAUCUCUACCUAGCACGAUGCCUUUUGGGAGCUCAUUGGCUUCAGGUUCCAUUGGAACUUCGAAGUUAAGCGAGUUCGCACGAGAGCAAUCUUAUGAUGGGUGACCCACUAGGAAGUUCUCGUGUGAGUUCUCAUAAACAAAACGAUGAGGGCGUGGUCAGGGCCCAAAGCGGACAAUAUCGUGCUACGGUGGAGUUGAGCCCGGGAUGUGGUGGGGGUCUGGGCCAGGAUGUGACAAUUUGGUAUCAGAGCCAAUUCCUGGCCAGAAGUGUGCCGACGAGGACGUCAGGCCCCUAAGGAGGGGUGGAUUGUAACAUCCCACAUCGCUGAAGGGAGUGGAUCAUGUAAGCCUUAUAUGUAUUUUCUCAUCUCUACCUAGCACGAGGCCUUUUGGGAGCUCACUGGCUUCGGGUUCCAUUGGAACUUUGAAGUUAAGCGAGUUCGCACGAGAGUAAUCCCAUAAUGGGUGACCCACUGGGAAAUUCUUGUGUGAGUUCCCAGAAACAAAACCGUAAGGGCAUGGUCAGGGCUCAAAUCGGACAAUAUCGUGCUAUGGCGGAGUCGAUCCUGCGAAUGUGGUGGGGGCUGGGCCGGGAUAUGACACGUACACCAAUUCGCAUGCCCCCGGUGUUUGUUUGUCGAUAAACAGAGCCUAAUGACUCAAAUUGACGUGAAAAUGAAAGAGAUGUCGAGAGAGCCCGAAGUGCAGGUCAUUUUGACACUGGUUCCAUCACCAUCAGUGGCUGGAAUAGAGAGAUGGAGUCGAGGCAGAUCGGCGGGUCAAUUAGAUCUGGUGUCCUCCUUCCAUCCCUUAUUUCCCUCAUUUCCUUCCUUCUCAUGAGUCUUCUCUUCCCCCCCUUGGCCACAGCCACACACGUGGCUUAUCUCUACCAGAACACUCCUCCAGCCAAAUCUAGAGCUUUCCAGAUUCAUGGCAAUGAAGGAAAUUUUGUGAAAAACAUGUUCGUUUGAGCAACAUUUGUGGCAUGCAAUUAACAAUUAAAGGCGGAAUCAUGCUUGUAUGCACUCAAAACAAAACAUUACCUAUGAAAUUCAAAGCCUAGUAGUUAUGUGAACCAAGACUUAACUCAAGAACAAAGUGAGUUGAGAAAUUUUAUACCUUUGUUGGUUCCUCUUUGCAUAUGCAAAGGCUAAUCACCCAAGGAGAGGGCCUUCAUUCCUUGCUUCUUAGCUCCAUGGCUUUCUUGGAUGAGGAUGGUUGAAAGGAUUCUCCAAGUUCCCAAAGUUGAGAACCCCUAAGUCUCCACACCAAGGUAGAACUUGAAGAAGAGAUGGGUGACCUAGAGGAAGUAAGAUUGCUAGCUAAAAUCCUCUAGGGUGGCCGACCUCUUAGAGAGAAAAGGGAGUUUACGAUCUCAUCUUUUCUCCAAAAGAAACCCUAAGGAUGAAAUGGCUAUAAAGUUGCCUUUAUACCACCUCACAAUGGAGUGGCAAACUUGCAAUUAAGCUAAGUUUACUACCCCUCUUUAUAUGGCCGGCCAUUAAGGGUUCAUUGGGCUUUCAAGCCUUUGUGGUUUCAAGUUGUCAUACAACUUGAGUUAAUGGGCUUGACAUUCAAAUCCCAUUGGGCCUUCCGGCCCAAAACUAACCCGAGGUCUAUAACGAACUUAUUCGUUUGAUUAAUUAACAUAUUAAUUAAUCCUAGCCAUAAAUAAUUAAACCAUUUAAUUAUCCUUACUCAUCUCUGUUGUUUCUUCAAUCUCUACCUUACACGGUGUACGAUCCAUUAGGUUCCUUUUAGCGAGGCAGUGAGCGAUUAGAACUCUUUCAAAUCAAUUGUGAAUUGAAACUUACUUUCAAUUCUCCCUUUAGUGAUUAUACAGGUUUAGGGCUUCCACAAACCAUGAGUGACACCUAGCAGUAUGUCAUGGUUACCCAAGCUAAUCAGAAGAGGUGGAGAACCUAUUCAGUUUAGGAUUACAAUGCAAUACGAUCUUUCUCUAAUACAAUACUCUUGACCACAUUGUUUGGUUUGAUAGUUUAUUCAUGUCUACUAUCCAAUGUGAUUCAUUUACUUAUAUGAUUACCUUGAAUGUGAUUUGGAACGACUUCCUAAAUUUCAUUCAUACUCUGGCCAGAGAUUCUUAAUCAUAUCAUAGAGUAUUGUGAAGGAAAUUUUGUGAAAAACAUGUUCAUUUGAGCAACAUCUUGAAGGAAAAUUAUGUGAAAACAUGUUCAUUUGAAUAACAUCUAUAGCAUGCAAUUAACAAUUAAAAGGCGGAAUCAUGCUUGUAUGCACUCAAAAACAAAACAUUACCCAUGAAAUUCAAAGCCUAGUAGAUUGGUGAACCUUGACUCAACUUAAAACAACAUUUGUUAGUUGAGAAAUUAUACCUUUGUAGAUUCCUCUUUGCAUAAGCAAAGGCUAAUCACCCAAAGAGAGGGCCUUCAUUCCUUGCAUCUUAGAUCUAUGGAUUUGGAUGGAUGAAAUGGUUCUCCAAGUUCCCAAAAUUGAGAACCUCUAAGUCUCUUCACCAAGGUUAGAUUGGAGAAGAAAUGAGUGACCUUGGAGUAGUAGGAUUAAGGAGAGAUUGCUAGCUAACCCUCCAAGGAGGCCGACCACUUUUAGAGAAAGGAGAGCUUAUGUUCCCAUCCUUUCCCAAAAGAAAACCCUAAUGAAUUUUGGCUAUAAAGUCAUAUUUAUACCUUAAUUCAUUGGAGUGGCAAACUUGUAAAUAAGUCCAAAACUCACUCCAUCUCUAAAUGGCUGGCCUUAGGGUAUUAUUGGGCUAAUUGGGCCUUUGUGAAUCAUUAUUCAUUAAGUUGUCAUACAACUUAAGUCAAUGGGCUUGACGUUCGAAGCCCAUUGGGCUUUAAGGUCCAAAACUAUCCCAAGGUCUUUAACGAACUAAUUCGUUUGAUUAAUUAACAUAUUAAUUAAUCCUUGCCAUAAAUAAUUAAACCAUUUAAUUAUUCUUACUCAUCUCCAUUGUUUCUUCAAUCUCCACCUUACACGGUGUACGAUCCAUUAGGUUCCUUUUUAGCGAGGCAGUGGGCGAUUAAAACCAUUUCAAAUCGAUUGUGAAUUGAAACUUACUUUUCAAUUCUCCCUUUAGUGAGUGAUUAUACACGUUUAAGGCUUCCACAAACCAUGAGUGACACCUAGCAGCAUAUCAUGGUUACCCAAGCUAAUCAGAAGAGGUGGAGAACCUAUUCAGUUUAGGAUUACAAAUGCAAUACGGGUCUUUCUCUCUAAUACAAUACUCUUGACCACAUUGUUUGGUUUGAUAGUUUAUUCAUGUCUACUAUCCAAUGUGAUUCGUGUGCUUAUAUGAUUACCUUGAAUGUGAUUUGGAAGGUACUCUGGCCAGAGAUUCUUAAUCAUAUCAUAGAGUAUUCUCCCCCAAACGGUUUGAAGGUUAGAGAUCCCUUGUUGCGCAUUCACUUGCCUCCAUGGCUAAGUGGCUUAACCCCGACGAUGCCGUGGACACCCACGGAUGGGGUGACUUUGACAUAAUCAAAAGAGGUGGAGAACCUAUUCAGUUUAGGAUUACAAUGCAAUACGGUCUUUCUCUAAUACAAUACUCUUAACCACAUUGUUUGGUUUGAUAGUUUAUUCAUGUCUACUAUCCAAUGUGAUUCUCUUACUUACAUGAUUACCUUGAAUGUGAUUUGGAACGACUUCCUAAAUCUUAUUCAUACUCUGGCCAGAGAUUCUUAAUCAUAUCAUAGAGUAUUCUCCUUCAAACAGUUUGAAAGUUAGAGAUCCCUUGUUGCGCAUUUACUUGCCUCCAUGGCUAAGUAGCUUAACCCCAACUAUGCCGUGGACACCUUCUGACGGAGUGACUUUGGCAUAGUCAAAGAUCAAGGACCUAACCACAAGACAACUAUGAUGCCUCAGGUCAAAUGACUACUUUGCAUUAUCUUAACCAUGAUUUCUCAUGUGACAUGAGUAUGAGAACUCCUUGUUGAUCGUGUUCAGUGGACUCAUUCUCUAUUGAGCACCUACAUGCUUGUCUUGGUGUCAGUCACACCAAUGACUCAAGACCAGUCACUCUCCCUAAGAGAAGACAUAACACGUACUGAUCUUAACGGACUGUCAAUUCCCAAUUGGCAAUCCUAUGACCAGGAACGUUUAGGAUAUGUAUACGGAAGAGAACGAUCUCAUGAAUCUAACUUCUUUAGAUCGCAUUCUCCCAAUUACAUAUUCCUUGGACUUAUCGUUUAAGCGUAUAACAUUUAUAUAAGAUGGCUUCAAACAAUAAUCUUUGCCCUUUAAAUUAAACUAUAUUAAUUUAACAUGUGAAAUGUCCGUAAAGUAUCAUCAUAUGAUUGGUUUUAGGGCACAUUUCCAACAAUCUCCCACUUGCACUAAAGCCAAUCAACUUGGUCAUCAAUGAUGAUACCUCUUCUGUAGUCAUUUCAAAAAUGGUUGAGUAGUAGGCCUAGACAAUGGAUAUCUAUAUGUUAUCCAUAGAAGCAACCUUGAGAAUAACGACGUCACCAUUAUACAUGAUUCUUAAUCAUGUGGUUUAGUCUCUCAUUUGAGUUCGGAUCCUGAUGAGACCUUGAUUCCCUGGCUUGAGCUAUCGCCCCAUUAGUGUCAUAGUGUCAGUACACUGGAGACACUUUUUGGUUGGAACCGAAUAGAGAGUUCAUAAAUGAACUUUCCCAUCCAAACAACAUUGUUGUAAGCUUCUAUAUGGCAAUAUAUUUUGCAUUCACAAUGGAACACACUAAAGUCAUUACUUUUAAUGUUUCCAUCCAAAUAUCUCUUUAGUCAUAAUAAAAGGAUAUCUGAUUAUCUCUUCAUUCAUAAUGAAGAAACAUCCAAUGAUGGAUUAGAUUCAUAAUCUAAUACAUUUACGCUUCCAUUAAGUUACUCUAAUUCUUCCUCAUUCUUUGAGGAAUAUAUCCUUUAGUAUUUCUUAAAUACUUAAGGACUCACUUGACAGUUGCCAUGGUUCUGAUCAUGGGCUUGCAUUGAUAUCGUCUUGUACCGAUCUUGGUACAACUCAUAUCAAUGUUUUUCAUACAAUAUGAAAUACGUAAAUCACCUUUCUGCGUAUGCAUAAAGGAUUCUAUUUAUGCAUUAUGUUUCUUUAGGAGUCAAAAGGGUACGUUCCCUUUGAGAAGAGCAACUUCCUAGUCUCACUAGAGUUGUCCUUCUAAUUGAAGUUUAUCAUCAUAUGAGAAACUUUAUACCUUUGUUGAUUCCUCUUUGCAUAAGCAAAGGCUAAUCACCCAAUGAAGCUUGUGUUCUCAUCUUUUCUCUAAAAGAAACCCUAAGGAUGAAAUGGCUAUAAAGUUGCCUUUAUACCACCUCACAAUGGAGUGGCAAACUUGCAAUUAAGCCAAGUUCACUACCCCUCUCUAUAUGGCCGGUUUUUCCAAGCCCUUGGGCUGUUUUGGGCUUCUUGAAUUUUAUUUGUUAAGUUGUCAUACAACUUAAGCUAAUGGGCUUGACGAUUCGAAGCCCAAUUUGGGCUUUAAGGCCCAAAACUAACUCAAGGUUUAAAAAGAACUUAUUCGUUUGAUUAAUUAACAUAUUAAUUAAUUCUUGCCAUAAACAAUUAGACCAUUUAAUUGUCCUUACUCAUCUCCGUUCUUUCUUCAAUCUCUACCUUACACGGUGUACGAUCCAUUAGGUUCCUUUUAGCGAGGCAGUGGGCGAUUAGAACUCUUUCAAAUCGAUUGUGAAUUGAAACUUACUUUCAAUUCUCCCUUUAGUGAUUAUACACGUUUAGGGCUCCACAAACCAUGAGUGACACCUAGCAAUAUGUCAUGGUUACCCAAGCUAAUCAGAAGAGGUGGAGAACCUAUUCAGUUUAGGAUUACAAUGCAAUACGGUCUUUCUCUAAUACAAUACUCUUGACCACAUUGUUUGGUUUGAUAGUUUAUUCAUGUCUACUAUCCAAUGUGAUUCUCUUACUAACAUGAUUACCUUGAAUGUGAUUUGGAACGACUUCCUAAAUCUUAUUCAUACUCUAGCCAGAGAUUCCUAAUCAUAUCAUAGAGUAUUCUCCUUCAAAUAGUUUGAAAGUUAGAGAUCCCUUGUUGCGCAUUCACUUGCCUACAUGGCUAAGUGGCUUAACGCCAACCAUGCUGUCGACACCCUCUGACGGAGUGACUUUGACAUAGUCAAAGAUCAAGGACCUAACCACAAGACAACUAUGAUGCCUCAGGUCAAAUGACUACUUUGCAUUAUCCCAACCAUGAUUUCUCAUGUGACAUGAGUAUGAGAACUCCUUGUUGAUCGUGUUCAGUGGACUCAUUCUCUAUUGAGCACCUACGUACUUGUCUUGGUGUCAGUCACACCAAUGACUCGAGACCAGUCACUCUCCCUAAGAGAAGACAAAGCACGUACUGAUGUUAACGGACUGUCAAUGCCCAAUUGGCAAUCCUAUGAUCCGGAACGUUUAGGAUAUGUAUACGAAAGAGAAUGGUCUCAUGAAUCUAACUUCUUUAGAUCGCAUUCUCCCAAUUACAUAUUCCUUGGACUUAUCGUUUAAGCGUAUAACAUUUAUAUGAGACGGCUUCAAACAAUAAUCUUUGCCCUUUAAAUUAAACUAUAUUAGUUUAAUGUGAAAUGUCCGUAAAGUAUCAUCAUAUGAUUGGUUUUAGGGCACAUUUCCAACAGGCAAAAACGACUAUUUUGCCACUACUUUCGUUUGUUUCUAUUUCAUUCGUUAUAACUCCGUUUGUCGAACGGUUUUCGCCUACACGCUUGUAGGGUCGUCCUCUGUUCAAAUAUAUCUAGAAAUAUGAUAAAAUAUAUGAGGAUAAAAUAUGUCUUUGUAUAAUUACGUUAACCAAAUAGGAGCAUUUUUGUCAUUUUUCACUUAAUGAAAAAUUGUACGACAUAAAUAAUAAUAAAAUUCAGAAGCUGGAUUUCAGAUUUUCCCCAUUCAAAUUUCAUAACCAUAAAUUGAUCUACUUUUGCUUUUCCUCCACAUAAACAAGAAAAUGAAUAUCCACUACAUCUCUAAAAUAUUCAGAACAAUAAAACUUAUGGUCCCAGCAAAACUGCACAACUAAGCUAUGAGAUUCCAUGUCAUGGAUCAACCAGCACCCUACAACGCCAUCCUCAGACGAUACUAGUCACAGAACAUGGAUUCCUUCCUUGUAGCUAAUUAUGUGUUGCCAUGUCGCUUGACUCCAAAAUAAAUCUAUAAAAGGCACAGCACCCACAGGAACAAAAAAAACCAGGAAACUGCUGACAGAAAACAGCACCCUCACCGAAAGACAGAUCUCUCAUGAGCCUCUCCAUAUCAGUUGAGCAACCAUAAUCUGAACUACAUACAGUUUGAUUCCCUUCCUAGGAUAUGUAGGCAGUCUGUUCCUGACCCAAUCACAAACGCCGUCAUUUGCGCCAAGACAAGUCCACACAGAACUCAUCUCCUAACGUCCCACCAUAGGCUUAUCAUCAAAAGUGAUACAUGAUGUAAUUCUUACAUCAUAUCAUAUUUUUCUUAAAACUACAACAGUGAUUUGAUUCUCUUUCCUAGAGAUAUGUAGGCAAUCCUUUUCGAAUUCAAUCACACGCCCUUAUUAAUCAUCUACAUUUCCCUCCAUAAAAAAUUUAUGAAAUUUGUUUGUUUUAUGUUCAAAAUCUAUUGUUUCCUCUUUGUUUUUUUGAUAAUGCUGAAGAUAUCUCACUCACUUAAGCAGAGCAUAAACUUUGAAAACUUAGCACGAUUACAAGUCUAAAAACUCAAACAUUGUUAGAAGAGUUUUUCUUAGCCCAUCCUGUAUUAUACGGUUAGCAGCAUGGGAUACUUGAACCGUAAUAAGCCCAGUUACGAUUGGUGGGCUGCGGGCACAAACACAUGACACCCUAACUCGAAAGUCCAAUGCAUUAUCCGACCUCCGAAAAGUUUAUACAACUAGAAAAGUUGUGGUUAUAACAUUCAAACCCAAGCUCUACGCCAUGCAAGGGAAGAGUCAAAAGGGCGAUCCGAAAAUCAUCUGAAAGUGAUCUAAACUUCAACCCCGAGUACUACUACUUCUAUCCCCAAGAAGAAUUUUUAUUCCAAUGGAGCUCCAAUACGUGGAAGGGCUUUGACCAAGCCAUCAAGGUAGUCCAAUUGGGAACACUCAGGUCCCACACAUAGGUCUGGCAAAAGGAUUCAAAAAGUGUUUCCGACCCACAUGUCAAUGACCAGGUCCCCAAAGAACACUUGUUUAAGAUUCACUGGGGACGAACACACAAUUCGGGCUAAGGGAAAAAUCCUUCCUUGACAACAUGUUGCAAGUAUUGAAUUCCUUGGUCGAAGAGCUAGGACAAGGCAUAAGAGAGUGUUUUAUUUUUCAUAAAAUUAUUUUAGGUACAAGUCCAAAUUUUCCUAUCCUUAGUCCGAUAAAGGCGUUUUGACAAGUACAAAGCAAAAGAUUCUUCAUGGGUUUAAUAUUUAAUUCCUGGUAUCCGAGUAAGGUGGUAGUCUGGAUAUUGCGAUGAAAAGCUUUACGGAUACUAAGUUUGGGAGGUAACAUUUUUCCAAAUCAACGUUGCCAAGGAGGGCUUUUAAGCUCUAGCCCAAACCCACAAACUUACUUGUUUUUCUGCUCUGUUAUUUGUCUUCUUCAAAAGUUCGUUUACUUUGGAAGGAUUAUCGGAUUAAGAUUUUUUUUAAGGAUAAAGAACGCAAAGAAGAGAAAUCUGGUGAAGUUUCAUGCAAGCACAUGUUUAUCAUCAAAGUCCCAUGAAGGGGCACGAAAAAGUACAAUUGGUUGGGAGAUAAGCCCUCACCCCUGGCACAAAAAUUUCCUAUAAAGACUAUGAAGCAAACUUGCAAAGUGUGCCCACUCAAUAUGCAUAAUCAUUACAAUCUUUAUGGCAUGACACUCAAGAUCACACAUAAGAAUCUGAAACGUUUCCAUUGCAUUCCAUGUCGAAUAACCAAACAAAAAAAGAAGACUAAAUGGUACAUAUUCCAGCUUACUCCGGAAGUCAUGGUUUUUGGAUAACUAUCCAUCCUUAAAGGGAAUAGGUUGUCUUUCCAAUGCAUAAUUAGGGGCAAUUGAGGGACCAUGAUUUUCUAGAGACAGAGUAAGGCUGAUCCGGAUACUGUUACCUCAGAAGUUCGAUCAUGGACUCAGCGAGUCCAAGCAUAGUUGUAUCAGACGGAAAAGCGGUGCCACCAUCACCUUGUUCCAGGGCAAUAGGCAAAGUUCGAAGCAACUCUACCGGAUGACCAUGCUUGUUCCACAAGACACGAGAUUUGAUCCGGAUAUGGACACAAUUAAAUUCUCAUAAGUCGAGUUCCUACAGUCUAGGAAUUAUCGUGCGUCGCAAGUAAUCACACUCUUAAAAUGACGCAAUAUCUAGUCCUAGAUAUCCUCUAGGAUUCUUUUGGUUUAUUACAAGGAUUCUAUCAUAAAAAGGUCUCUCUCCCUAUUAGUAUAAAUACACCCAUCUAGGGUUCAUCUCGAGUAACCCAUCCUUAGCAUACUUAUAGCCUUUGACUGGCACACAUUCCCCCCCCCCCCCUCCCCCUCUCCGGUCUUUGACUUGCUCACAGUUGUUUCUUGUUUUGUAGAUUACUUAAAUAUGUGCCUUCACCAUCCGCCGCGGCAUGCAUAUUUGGUUCCAACACUGGAUUCAUUUGUCUUCCUUGUGGGAAAAGCUUGUUCGGGAUUUGCAUAGAGGAGGUUUAAGUGGUCACCUGGAUUGUGAUAAAACAAUAGCAUGUGUGUGUGUGAAGGAAAUAUAUUUUUGGCCACGGUUAAAGCGGGACAUUGGAGCAAUUGUACGAAAAUGUUAUACUUGUCAGGUUUCUAAGGGACAAGUUAAAACACUGGUCUAUGCAUGCAUUCGCAUGUUCCCAACAACAUUUAGAAGGAUAUGGCUAUGGACUUUGUGCUCGGGUUGCCUCGUACGCAACGAGGUGUGGAUUCUGUUUUUGUUGGAUGACAGGUUCUCCAAGAUGGCUUGCUCCAUCGCUUGCAAGAAGAUCGCUGAUGCAUCAAACAUGGCCAAACUGCUUUCUAGGAAAGUUGUUCGAUUGCAUGAAGUAGCUAAGUUUAUAACUUAUGAUUGAGGCCCCAAGUUCUUGAGCCAUUUCUAGAUUACUUUGUGGCGAUUGUUUGGUACUGCCUCGAAUCGCUGUAGUAUUGCCCAACCACAAACUGAUGGGCAGACGGAUGUCACCGUCAGGACUCUUGGUAACAUAGUUCGUAGUAUCUGUAGAGAAAACCCAAAACAAUAUGCACCGCCUCAUAUGGGAUUCGCAUAUAAGAGUGAUGCUCAUAACCCAGCAAGGAAGUCACCAUUUUUCAUUGUUUACACUAUUGUCACUGACCAUGUAGUGGAUUUGGUGAAACCGCGUAGAGGCCCGAGAUUUUAGUGUUGCUGCAGAGAACAUGGCUAAAGAUGCGGUGGCAGUUCCUGAUGAGGUCAGACAAAGGCUUUAAGCAGACUAGUGCCAAGCACAGAGGUGCAGCCUAUAAACCCCCGCGAAUUAGUGUUUCAAAGCGGACUUUGUUUUAAAGUUCGUAAGCGAAUCAAUGACAAUGCUCAUGCUAUUGACAUGCAUGCCCGAUUAUAUGAGGAUCUCCAAUACUUCCAAUGUUGCCGACUCAUUUGAAUUCAACGACUACGAGGGUAUUUAUCCAGAUCAUGAUUCGAGGUCGAAAUCUUCUGAAGUGGAAAGUACUAAUAUAGAACAGACGGUCGAGUAGAUUUGACGUUCGAACUCCGUUUUGGAUGCACGAUACCUUUCCGUUGCAAGCUCACUGCUUUUCCAUGACAUGAUAAAUUUUAGCCAUCCGAGAUCAUUUAUACCCCAAAAACUAAGAUCCCUGAACUUCCCCAGGACUGAGUUUAAGUUUAUUAAGCCUUUCGGCUUCUAUUGUAAUACACAUUGAAUUAAUCAAAUUACACCUUUCAGAUUUCCAAAACAAUGUUCUUCUGGGGUUUACGUUUGUAUCCUUGUUAGCUUGUACCGCAUCAGCUAUGGAUCUCUCAAUGACGUCUUCAAAUUUACAUGCCCGAACCAAGAGGAGGAUCAGCUUGAGAAAAAACGGGUAGCUGAAUCGCAUGGUUUUUUGUCAAGUAAAAACAAGAGAACGGGGGACUCCACAAGCCAUCUGCCUUGAGAGAUAAAAAGGUAUAGCAGAUUGUUGGGAGAAAUCCGCACCUCCGGAUCUCAACUGAACACAUUUUACAACAAGACAAUUUCUGCACAAACAAAAAUUGAGGGAACGAUCAGCACAAGGAAAACAAUUAUCAAUGCAAAUCAGUCGUGAUAAUUGACAGUGGAGAAAAAUACAUAGUGAGAAACAGCGAGCAGAUACCAAAAUAUUGAAACUUAUCGUGUUUAUUUAGUUGUGUACCAAGAAACACAACUUCAAUUAACUUUACAGCAACCCUACUUCCAAUUUUAUUACACAUGGGCGGGUAUGCCUGAAAACAAAAUUGUGUGAAACCUGAAACUAGACAGACUUCCCUACCUGAUUAAUGGUCCGUUGCGGGAAUCUAAGUUAACCAAAGAGAACCUAAAAGACUGAUGCCUUCCGCGCUGACCCUUAUAUUUCAUAAUGUACUUGUGCAAUAUUUUAGAAAGUGCACUACUGGUCACCUAUCUUACUAUUCACCUUAGUCAACACACUUACAAUUCACCUACCUUAUAUCAUUCUCCACUCCAAUCUAUUAACUCGCUGCGAGGGGCACAAAGCUUGCUUGCUCGCUCUUUGGAUUCAACAUCAUUAACCACCCCCCGACAUCUUGGGAAACCACAACAACAUGCCAGUUGUUCAUCUAUUGAAAAGAAUCUGCGAUAAUAAGAAGAACGUUAGCCCAUGAAAUGAAAUAAUAAGAAAAAUUGCAUACAACAAGAAUCGAGGAUAACCUAUAGUCAUAUGUAAGUUCUUCCCAUCGUUUAAUGUCUCUCUUUGCAAAUAUAAUUAUAUGCUCAUCAUUAUUAACACUAAUGACUCUUGAGUAGCAAUUUGGCUGCACACAACAAAGGUAAAGGUGAGUAAGUACAAGGUUAAAUAAACAAAUAAAAAGCUUGUGCAGAAGCCAUCCAAUUUAAACUCAGUAAUUGCAAAAGUGUACACAAUUUAAAAUAUAAAUUUUAUGAUUUCCACCAUAUCUGAAAUGGCAACAAACCAUUGUGUAAAAUGUUAUACAAGGUUACUUGAGAACAAACACCUCUCCCUUGAUGAAAUUUUGUUUCCGAAAGAAUCAAUAGGAAAAGGAAAAUUUCUCAUCACUAAAUUCUUUCAUUAACUCAUUAUGUAUCAAAGAGAGGCAUCAUUCUCCCAUAAUUUCUUAUGUUUACGCAUUAGCUUGUUUAUUAAAUGAAAACGAUAUCAAAUCAAUCUACAUUUUGACUCCCAGAAUCUUGUGAUGCAUUACUUUGUGAGAAGCCUAAAGGGAUGUCUACUUAUCAUGAAUGAAAAAGUGCAUGUUGAACGUAGGUAUGUCAUACCCAAUGUCCGGAAUGCCGAUAAUAUCGGCGAUAUUUCGCCGAUAUUAUCGGUUUUUCACAUUACCGAUAUUUUAAUAGGUAUCCAACGGGUUUUCGUCAAAAUAUCGCGAUAUUAUCGAUAUUAGCGAUAAUAUCGCCAAGGCUCCGUCGUCGCAGCUGCCAAGAUUUGCACCCCUCUCUGCAAUCCACGCUCAGACCCAUCAAAAUGAGCAAUCUCUUUUCUCCGGAGGUGGCCGGAAUAUGGGUUGGGUGUCCUUGGGGUCAUCGGGGUUCCUCUGCGCGUCGCCGUGCUUCCCAGAGACGGAGGAAAGGGAGGGAGAGUUCAGGAGGGUGGUGGAGAUACUGAGCUGGCAUCGGGGUGGACGAAUUUGGGUGUGCCUGGGUGUGGGUGCGAUCGAGGAAAUGGAGUCCUCUGCGCGUCGCCGUGCUUCCCAAAGAUGGAGGAGAGGGAGGGAGAGUUCAGGAGGGUGGUGGAGAUGCUGCACUGGCAUCAGGGUGGACGAAUUUGGGUGUGCCUGGGUGUGGGUGCGAUCGGGGAAAUGGAGUGAGAGAAUGAGAGUUCGAGAGAGAGAUAGAGUUGAGAACUGAGAGAGAGUGAGGGGUCCGAGAGAGACUCGGGAAAAGAGAGAGAGAGAUAGGGUGAGGGUUAGUGGGCUGCCACGUGGCAGCGUGACGGAGAGUGAGAAUCAAGAUGGAGGGUCCAAAUUAGAUUAGGAUAAAGGACUCAAUUGCACAAUUUAUAUAAUUUCAGGGAAAGAGUGAAUAUAAAUUAAUCUGGGGUCCAGAUUAGAUUAGGAUAAAGGACUCAAUUUCAGGGAAAGAGUGAAAAUAUAUAAUUUAAGGGAAAGAGUGAAAAAUUUGAACCUCAAAGAGUGAAAAAUUUGCCAGCUCGCUAUAUAAUCAACUUAAAUCAGUUAAAUCCAUCAUGCAAUGCAUUUCCUUCCAAUUUUUUGUGAUAAACUAAUAGAUAAUUGACUAAAUAAACAUCCUGCAAAGUUUCAAUAAAAAUUUCCAAGUUUUUCUUACAAUUUCCGUGGUUUCCAUAUUAUUUUUAUCGAUAUCGAUAAUAUCCCGAUAUUUCCAUCGAUAUUCCGUGUUUUUGGACUUCCGAUAUUUCCGAUAUCAUCGAUAUUUAAUACCUUGGUCAUACCUGAACAACCAUGUAUGAUUCUCAUUCAUGACUUCUCCCAUUCCAAAUAAGUAAACAUGCCCUGAGUUUCUAGAGGGAGGAAAAGAGACUUGUUGCUAGCUGUGCUGACAAUAUUUUUAUGGGUUUUAAGUUUUGAGACAAGUAGGAGAUUUUUGAGUGCGGAGGUGGGGAUGGGCAUGUAUUUACGGGAGAGUUUGAUUCUGGGCAUCCUUGUGAAGUUCAGUUUCUACUGGAUUAUGUUCAGGAUAAAGACAAUUCAAGAUGACAAAUACUUCACAAAAGUAAAACUAAAUAAGUAGACAAGGGUUGGAUAAUACGCACUUCACAAGAGUGAUUAAUUAGGUGAGCAAUGCUUCCAGCUCUUGUGGCAUCAAUGACUCGUUCAUCAUCAAUCCGGAACAUAUAAGUCCCAGCCCCCUGCAUGGGAAACGGUAAGGCUUUAGAGCGCCAUUUCUUUCUCAUUUCAUACUCGAGCAUCAACAAAUGUAAAAGUUUCUAAACGGGAGAUAAAUAUGAAGUACUACAGAACCUUACAAAUACUAGAAAAUCCAAAACUUGAGUAACAAACAUACCCCUAAUAGAUACGCCUGAUUGUUUCAAUUCUCCAUAAAUUUGGACGAGAUUUUAAUGAAUAUUCCUAUAGCUUAAGUGGGCAAUAACAAAAUUCAACAAUUUUGAGGAAACCCCCAAAGUUGGGAUGCAACCCUAAGAAUUAUGUGCAAACCUAAAAAAUUUUGUUGAGCAUGAUGGAAUCUAAAAUAGUAGGUCCCUGAGCGCAUGAUUAGUGGACUUCAAUUUAGGAGAGGAUGCACCUAGCUAAGCUGCUUUUCCAUGCAAAUAGAAUUAAAAAUUACAUGGCUAAAGGAAUUCUUCAAUCUUGAGAGACAAUAGCUCACCUCUUUCACUAAACCUUGGGGAGUUUAUGGAAGUUCUAACCCUAAACAAAGUAUGAGUCUAUUAAUACCGCUAGCGCUUUACAACUAAGGCUCACAUUGGUUGGACAUUUUAAUAGUUUACACUUGCAGGUUACAGAUCACAUUGGUUUGACACUUUUACUGGUUUACACUUGGAGACCUGCACGCUCAAGGGAAGACGGCAACAUUGACUUCCAUCUAGCCUAGAUUGCCUAGUAAUUAUCCAUGAACAAUUUUGAUAUCUAUUCUGACGUGAUUUGUCAUGCAACAUAAAAUGCAUGCAAAAAUAAUAAAGCCUAAGUUCCAACGAGCACAGCAAUGACUUUAGUACAUAACUUACCACCAAUGAAUUAUAUAUGAAGUGCUCCCUCCUGUCAGCUACAGGAGGUCUAACAAGUUCGCCCGUGUAUUCAAUCACCUACAAGAGAUAUGAUCAGUAUUCAAAGUAUUCUUUUACAGGUUCAAAAUAUACUAAGAAAAUUACUUUACCAUGUCCCCUGCUCUAUGUGGGUGCUUUGCAAAGAUACCAAAACCAUGAAUUCCCGAUUUUCCUGUAGUUAAAAGAAAAGAAGUUCCGAAAGACGAACUCAGAAUAACAAUUAAAAUAUAACACUAAAUGAUGUGAUAUUUUUAAAAUUAUAUAUGCAUUUACUAUAUAUGCUCAAAGUGUUACAACGUGCUCCCUGAAAGACCUAGGUAUCUACUAGUAGCUUCGAAGUAGCAGCACAAUAUUGUUACCAAAAUAAAUUACAAAUCUAAAGAAACAGGUUGGAGAUUGGUGAAGAUAACCAAUCUGAACAUAAAUAGGAGAAGCUGUUAUUUACAUACAACAUUCUUAAAUGUUUCUUCAAUGAAAUCUCGGAUAACCAUAUGAGUAAGAAAAUUAUAUCUUACCAAAUGCUAGUCUUUUUCGAAAGGUGUCCCUCAUGUAUUUAUACUUCUCAGCCAUAGAAAGUAUGUCAUUAGGAGCAUCAAGCCGGGAGGCUUUCAGCCUCUGAAGGCUAGAACAGAACUUAGAGCCAUUCGGAAGCUGUGAAUUACUUGACAAUUGGUGUUGGCUGUAACCACCUACUAAGUAAGGCUGGUUCUCGACAAACAAACGCUUUAAGGAUGCAGCAGCUAUGGCUUCAGGCUCUUUUCUCCCUCUUCUACAAAAGUAGUUGUAUGGUUCUGCCCAAGGGUUGGAUUGAGAGAUUGCAACAAAAAAUUAAUGAAUUUCAAAAUAAUAAAUUCAACAAACUGAGUAUCUAUAUCAAUGAUUCAAUGAUAGUUGCUUAUGCACAAAAUCGGUUGGACUUUGGAUCAACUUAGAUCCAACCGUAAAUCACACAAAAGCACAAGAACACAAGGAUAUAUCAGGGUUUACCCUGAGUAGAGGCUACAUCCAUGUUGGUGUAGAUCUAGUUUCGCUGUGUAAAUGUGGGUUACAAUGCAAAUAGAGGCUUGUUGUUGCCUUUAAAAGAGUAGAGAGGCUAGGGUUUUUACUCUAGAGUCUAGAGCGAGGGUGAGGGAUCCCUUUUAUACGACAAGGGUUUCCCUCCCCUUAUACAUAGUCCAUGGGCUAAAUCAUGAGGCCCAAAUAUGGUACAACAAUAGUGCAUACACUAUAGGAGCAUUCAUAAAAUAAGAUCGCAAACACUACCGAAUCUCAUUAAUUAAACAGGACAGAUAAACAGGCACUCGAUUGUUUAUUAUCCUACAGCAUAUGACACUGGACUCGAUGUUUAAUAAAGACUAGUUACAUAAAAGAUCAGUAGAAAAUAUGGAAUUAAGUAUCGAUCUCGUAAAGCAUUUAAUCAUCUUUCAGUAUGAUCUGGAAUAAAGAAGUAAAGCGAUGGUGGCAGCAAAGGCCAAAUGAGUAAAUGAGUGAGAGAUGAUGAGGGAUGGUGAGAUAUGUAGGAAGUCAUACAGACAAUAGAGUCAAGUUCGUUUAGAACAUGAUACAAAACACGAACAAGCAGAUUAAAUCAUAAUCAACUUUGACUCUUUCAAUAAAUAAAGGGUGGCAACCUCAAAUAUGGAUCACACACUAUGUCGUAGAAAUAAAAAAUAAAUAAACAAUUAUGGCCACAGCUCAUGGCUUCAUAGUACAUUAUGAUUAUAACAUCAUAUCUGUCAAGUGUGCCAAAAGCGACGCAGAAAUGUAAACAAACUUGUGAGGUAAUUUGCAGUAGGAUUAUCAAAUUUCAUCUAAAGUAGACUGAUUAUACAUUUACAUACCCGUACGAGCACAUCCAGAUGGAUUUGUUGGUGGAGUGUAUUCUGAGCACUGGCGCCCAGUUCGACCAAUACAGUUAUCAGCAGCUGAACGGUCAUUUGUUGCCUGCCUAUGCUUCUUGCAGAAGGAAAGAAGACGAAUGCACUGCUCUACUUCAUCAUCGUCUACAGAUAGUAGAUGUAGUCUGUCCUCAUCCUCAAGCUUCGUAGUUAUAAUAAUAGAAUAAAAAUAAAUAGGAACAAAUUAAGAACUACUUGAGGAAAAAAUUCCAUUGAAAUAAUUCAGUAAUGCAUCCAGCAAAUUACUGAAAAAAAUAGAGUAACAAAAAACCAAUAAUGUCAAGUAAAAAUGAGAAGAAAAAAAAACUACCUCAACACAAAGACCAGCAGCUCGCGCGCAAAGUGGGUGAUAUGCCACACAACAGGUAUGGUUUGAACACUGGAAGGGACAAAAUUCAGAUGGUUAUUAUCAAUGAAUUUUGACUUUAUACAGUUAAGAAGGAAAAAUUAAUCGGGGAAGAUACAAAGAUGCAUGUAAUAUAUAUAUAGGAAAGUAGAUAUAUCCAGUGUAUUAAAAGCGUGAGGCGUGGGCGAGGGAUCCGAGGGAUAGCCUGGCCUAGGCAUGAGGCGAAGCCUCACUGGACCUAAAUUUUUUAAUAUAUACACUGAGCGUACACAUAUAUUAUAUUAAAAAAAAAAGAUUAUUAACCAAUAAUCACCCUAAGCACACACAUAUAUUAUACAUAUAUAUGCACGCAGACAACACACAUCCAUUAUAUAAAAAUUAAAAAUCAGAAAAAAAAGGCAGAGAGACGAUAGUGCAAGGAAGAGGUAUGAGGCAGUUAAAACCCUACCCAAAAUUUGGGUUUGGGAGUUAAAAAAAAAAAAAGCCCUGAGGCACGCCUUCCGCCGCCUAGGUGGCUCCGGCGAAGCCCUACGCCCACUCCCUCAAAAUAGAGGCGAAAACCCUCAAGCCUAGCCUCAGAGGGCGCCUAGGCACGCCCUAAGGCAAGCCUUUUAAAACAUUGGAUAUAUCAUAGAAAAUAAGUAAAGAGCAUAUGAAAGCCAACCAAUUUCUAAAUAGAUGCUACAAUUAUGUACGGCACAAAAAGAAUACAAAUUUAAGCUUUACACAUGAUAUUCUAAAAUGGAUUAAAAGUAUAUUUUUCUCCUCUAAGACAGACUAACCCUUUUUUCCAAGAAAUGCAACACUGAAUAAAGAAGAUUGGUUACUAGCAUACGAAGAUUCUAACAAAUGCUCAACUCUGGAGCAUUUAUUAUGUUAAUUAUUUCACUUGGACCAGGUACCCUUUUUUCUUCAAAAACGUAAUAAAUAAAGCAGAUUGAUGACCAAAAUAUAAGUAAAAUAUUCUAGAAAUCCCUCAAUAUGAAUCAUUCAUUCAGUGAAUUUCCAAAAAGACGAAAAAACAUUCAAAGUGUUUCUUCCCCGCAGGUUGCAACAAAAUAUUCAGCCAGUUUGACAUCACGAUACAUGUUAUAAAUUCAACAAAUUGACCAGCAGUGUAUUGUUAUAGGAAUAUAAAUGAACUUACUUGAAUGCAGGCUCCAUACGAAACGCCACAGAUACUACAUAAUAGCUUCCAACGGUCCUGUUACAAAACAGAAGAUUAGUGGAGGCAGGAAUACCUUGACAGUAUGGUUUUUUGCCAUUUUGAUCCCAAACGACCAAAAGUAUAUGAGAUCACUGCCACACAAAUCCUCACAAGAUAAACAUAAAAAAGGUGACACACGUCAAAGAAAAUGGGGGAGGGGCGAACACAAGGAGGCAGCCAUAGUGGUGUGGAAACAUAUAAUGUGAACAAGGAAAUACCUUAUUGAUUCUACUAAGCCCAUCAAUUGGCUCCAUUCUCUUAACAUCAGAUAGGCAGGUUUCUGAAACAUUUUCAGACCAUUAAUAGAAAAAUAAAUACAUAUUCAAUGAAAAAAAAUGGAAACUGUAUUUUCAUGAACCUGGUAUCCAUAUGGCACAAGCUAGAUGAGCCCAGCGCCCGUCAGUUGUAGGCUUCAUUGCACCCCCUGGACGAAAAUCAGUUCAAUAAUUUAAUGAUGUGAAAUCCAUGGCGUUACAAAGUUCAAAGAUUUAAUGAAUUAUAAGUACCUAUUACAGGACAAAGGCAGCAAGGUGGUAGAGGUUUAGGAGCCCCAGGCCGACAUAAGUUGCAUAACCAUAGUACCCCACCAACAGGUUCCAAUUCCCCAUAGCAUCUUGCAUGGACCUGCAAAACAUUACUACUGAUCAAAAAAAGGAACAUACCAGGAAACACACGACAAAGUAGAGAAUGAAGCGCUUCAAAUAGCCUUGAAAAAGAAAUUUGGUUGAAUAUUAUCUUGAAUUUCAUAGUUUAACCACCAUUAACAGUACUGCGAUCCCCACUACCAAAAGACCCUUACCAUCAUUCUGCAUUUGUCACACUGCAGGAACAGGUUGUUUUCAUACUCCUAUAAACAAAACACCAAUUAGCAAACCAAUAGGGAAAAGAGUUUAAACGAACUCCCACUUAAAAAUAAAACACAGCAACUAGCGGAAAAGACAGAAACAAUAUAUAUGUAGUAAAUCUUUUAAAGAAACAAGAUAAAAUAAAUACAGCAAACCAACAGACAACUAUUAUGCAGAACAGCAGAAAAAAGAAUGUCAGUUAUAAAAUGAUGUGGAAAAGCUUUUGGAGAUUACCUCAUCCAUGUGGCAAACACUGCAUUUAUCAAGGUCCUUCCAGUCCACACGAACAGGUCUGUAACCAACAGGAACAUCUCGAUAUCUCCUAGAGGCUAACUUGCACUUGGGUAAUUUUGAAGAAAGCCUGGAUUUUGAUAACCUCUGCCAAAACCCCAAAUGUUUAUAUUAGGCUAGAAAUCAAGGAAUAAGGGCAGAAGCAGAAAAAGCUGUGUAGCAUCUUAAAAUGGAAUGGGAUUCAACAAUUUACAACAUGUAUCCAAAACAACUAUUAGUCAAGAACCAUUAACUAAGCAACAGAAAAGAUUCCACAUUUUCAACAGAUAAGUAUAUUGCAAAAAUGAUAUAAUAAAGAAGAAUAUUGAUCUGAAAUUACAUGUGUGCGCACAAAUGCAUCUAUACAAGCAAACAUAUGCAUAUACAAUUUAUAAUAUAUCUUCAUGGUUGACAUGGCAUUUAUUCUAUAUCCAACCCAAGAGUACAGUAGUUCGGCCAGAUUCCCAAUCCUUACUUUGAUACUACUCAUUAGAGAGGUGCAGUACUAAACAGUUGAACAUGCUUAAAAAUUAAAAGUUAUAACAAUCGUUAUUACAAAAAUAAAAUAAAUUCUUAAUCUUGAUGGAACAAAUAAAUAAAACUAGGCAUCAAAGCCCAAGAAAAAAAUGAAAAAUAAAAGGAUCACAUUUUAUUCACAAAUAUAACGGUAGUAGAAACUUAGUAGUGCUAAUGCACAACUCAGCUUAGAUACCUGAAUAAGUUUAGCAACUUCCGGUAUAGAGAAACCAAACAUAUGAGAACCAGAUUUAUAGGUCCCUUCUAAUCUGCCGUCAGCAUUGCCAUUAGAACCAUCAAAUGAAGUGUUUCGUGCUUUCCUUAUCCUUUUGUAUAUUUUAUUCCAGCAAGCUGAUGGUGUAGAUCCUUUGAACUGGAAGAGAUGAGCAGAAGGGAAAAUAAAUAACACAACAACAUUGGCAGAUAUUUAUUCCAGAUACUUCUUUGUGCAACAUACACCUGUACUCAACUAAGGAAUCACAAAAUAGAAGAUGAAACAUAUAACAAGACAACGUCCUUUUAUUACGUACUACCUAGGCAGUGCACCAUAAUUAGAAAGAGAGCAUACACUGCUGUCAUUGCAAGUGGAUAUGUAUUCUGAAUUGUAAAGAAAUAUGUAUUCGGGAUUGUAAUUGUAGACCACAUUUAGGGGAUUUAAAGUUUAAACUAAGCAAUGAUAAGUUACUUAACCGUUGAUCAGAUGCCUAACAGGUUUAGCAAGGACAAGUUAAUUAACAGUUGAUCAAAUGCGUAACGAGUUUAUAUACAUUACGAAUAAAACAUAAGUGCAUUUACUAUAUAAUUCAAGAAGAUUAUCAGCAAGAAAACCCUCGUGGAAGUAAGAGGUAUCAGCCCUGGUUUGGUACUGAGGUGCUUUUGAAAAAAGUGGGUAUCAAAAAAAGCUGGGAGCCUUUUUACGUUUGGUAAACAUUCAACUUUAACUUUUUCUCACAAUUUUGCAUGAAAAAAAGCCAAAAACACAAAGCUGCAAAACCCAGCUUUGAAAAACCGGCUUUUUUUGCUUGCCCAGUUUCUACGCAAACCGAUUUCGAAAGAGGCGCUAAGGCCUUUAAUGAAAUUUUCCAAUACCCAAAAUGGCUUUUAGCAAUUAAAUAAAUUAUACAUUAUACCCGUCAACUUCAUCGCCAACCCCGCGAGUGAAGAUGAAGGGCCACGUGGGUUGGACCCAGAAGGAGCUGAGGACAUGCUGAAAGCUCCAAAACGACGCCGGUGAGUGGAAGACGACCAAGUGGUGGUAGUUGUCGGCAAUAACAUGAAGGGAACUCUCCCACGACUUCUCCCAAAUCUCCGUCGAGAGAGCAGGGAUUGUGUUCGAGGGAUUGCGAUUGGUGUUGCUGUGGUGGUGGUCUUCGAUAAGGGAGUGGAAUUUGUCGGUGACCCAGCCUUCCUUAGGAUAUGGCAGAGAGAGACGAGAGAGAAGGAUGAGAGAAGGAGUGGAUGGUGGAAGAGGAAAGAAAAUACAGGUUUUGCAAAAGAGGAGAACCAAACCUUGGAAAAGAAGAUAGAAUAAAAAAUUAUGAUUCCAUAAUAAAAGAAAAGAUAAAGAGUAAUAGUUGUAUAGUAAAUAGAUAUUAUAAAUGUUGGAUUAUGAUUUCUUGUUAAACAUUGGAUUAUGAUUUAUUGUUAAACGUUAGAUUAUAUGUUUAAGAUAAAUUUUAUAAAUAUUUUUCUUUUAAAAAUAAAGUAUAUUUAGUAAUUCACCUUUAUUUGUUAAGAAAAUUAAAUUAAUGGCGCAUCUAGUAUUAUACCUUUUUUGGCCAUUUCACACAGUCACAGCUGUUUUACAUAAAAGUUUACCAAACACUAUAAUACUGCUUUACUUUUUUGUUUUCAAAAGCACUUUUACAAAAAAAUUUACCAAACACUCUGCUGCUUAUUCUCACAGCACAGCAGAAGCAGUUUUUUUUUUUUUUUUUUUUUGAAAAGAAACGAUAGAAUUUUAUAAAACGAAAGAAUUACAAAAGAGAAAAAGUAAACCACGUGGAAAAGAUAUCCACCUAGGGCUAUAAGAGAACUAGCAAGGACCCCUAAAGAAAACUAAUUGAACAGAGGAAAAGCUAGACCAAAUCAAAUAACGGCUGCUAACAAAUCCCUAAAAAUAGAAAAGAAAUUGUAAUCUCUAAACUCCACUGAAACCGAAGCCCAAAGGGCUGCCCAGUGUUUUACUCUAUCCCAAAGCUCCUCAACCCCCACUCCCUUGUAAUCCUCAAAGACUCUUUUAUUACGCUCCAACCAAAUGUUCCAGAAGAGGGCCAUCAACAGAGAUCCCCACAAAGUUUUGGCUUUCCUCCCUUUCCCUAGGCCUUCGAAUUUAGUGCUUAGGAGCUCAAAACAACCCUUUGGGGUGACCCAUCUUGCUCCGGCUUCCUUGAGCAAUUUCCA
rnacentral:lncRNA from 1 species